rnacentral:lncRNA from 1 species
AAAAAAAAUCUAACAUAAUAUGAACAAAUUAAUUAUUACACAUCUAAUCUAACAAAAAAAAUCUAUGAACUACAUAUCUAAAUUACUACACAUNNNNNNNNNNNNNNNNNNNNNNNNNNNNNNNNNNNNNNNNNNNNNNNNNNNNNNNNNNNNNNNNNNNNNNNNNNNNNNNNNNNNNNNNNNNNNNNNNNNNNNNNNNNNNNNNNNNNNNNNNNNNNNNNNNNNNNNNNNNNNNNNNNNNNNNNNNNNNNNNNNNNNNNNNNNNNNNNNNNNNNNNNNNNNNNNNNNNNNNNNNNNNNNNNNNNNNNNNNNNNNNNNNNNNNNNNNNNNNNNNNNNNNNNNNNNNNNNNNNNNNNNNNNNNNNNNNNNNNNNNNNNNNNNNNNNNNNNNNNNNNNNNNNNNNNNNNNNNNNNNNNNNNNNNNNNNNNNNNNNNNNNNNNNNNNNNNNNNNNNNNNNNNNNNNNNNNNNNNNNNNNNNNNNNNNNNNNNNNNNNNNNNNNNNNNNNNNNNNNNNNNNNNNNNNNNNNNNNNNNNNNNNNNNNNNNNNNNNNNNNNNNNNNNNNNNNNNNNNNNNNNNNNNNNNNNNNNNNNNNNNNNNNNNNNNNNNNNNNNNNNNNNNNNNNNNNNNNNNNNNNNNNNNNNNNNNNNNNNNNNNNNNNNNNNNNNNNNNNNNNGGGCGGCGACGGCGUUGGGGCGUGGCGGGGCGGGGCGGCGACGGCGAGGCGGCGGCAGGGGACGCGGCGACGGGAGUGGAGGACGAGAGAUCGAAGUCGGGAGCGCUAAGUGCUGUAUAUAUAGCAAACGCUUUGGUCCCGGUUCGUGAAGUCAACCGGGACUAAUGCCCCCCUUUAGACCCGGUUGGAGCCGCCAACCGGGACCAAUGGCCUCUUUUCAGCAGCCCAAAGGGCGGGAAACAAAGACCAUUGGUCCCGGUUGGAGCCUCCAACCGGGACUAAAGAGUGGCAUUGGUCCCGGUUAGGGCCACCAACCGGGACUAAAGGGCGGCAUUAGUCCCGGUUGAAGCCACCAACCAGUACCAAUGGACCUGUCUAAUUACUUUUUUAUUUUCUGCAGUCAUUUUUUAGUUGAUUCUUUCUGCAGCUAUUUUUUUAGUCCCACCUCGCCAAGCGAGAGGCACUCACAGCUGUUUAUAAGCCCUGAGUGCAGAGACGAUGAAGAAGAGGCUCAAUGCUCACCUGCACGUUGGUUAGCUUCAAGCCUUGAGGAAUACGGUAGACUGCACAGAGCUAUGUGCAGUGCAGUUGACACUAUUCCGAAAGGCUUGAAGCAAAUUAACGAGCAUUGCGCCUCUUUUUUAUUUUUAAUGACUUAUUACAACUCAGAAAUAAAAAGAAAAAAAUAAAUGUAGGAGAAAAGAAAAAAAUAUAUAAAAAACCACUCAGAAAUAAAUAGAAGAAAAAAUAGUUUUGAUUAACUUUACUCAAAAAAUGAGCAUAGAUGCUUAUUUUUAAUGACUUAUUACAACUCAAAAAUAAAAAGAAAAGAAUAAAUGUAGCAAAAAAGAAAAAAAACUAUAUAAAAAACCACUCAGAAAUAAAUAGAAAAAAAAUAGUUUUGAUUAACUUUUUUAAAAAAUGAGCAUAGAUGCUUAUUUUUAAUGACUUAUUACAACNNNNNNNNNNNNNNNNNNNNNNNNNNNNNNNNNNNNNNNNNNNNNNNNNNNNNNNNNNNNNNNNNNNNNNNNNNNNNNNNNNNNNNNNNNNNNNNNNNNNNNNNNNNNNNNNNNNNNNNNNNNNNNNNNNNNNNNNNNNNNNNNNNNNNNNNNNNNNNNNNNNNNNNNNNNNNNNNNNNNNNNNNNNNNNNNNNNNNNNNNNNNNNNNNNNNNNNNNNNNNNNNNNNNNNNNNNNNNNNNNNNNNNNNNNNNNNNNNNNNNNNNNNNNNNNNNNNNNNNNNNNNNNNNNNNNNNNNNNNNNNNNNNNNNNNNNNNNNNNNNNNNNNNNNNNNNNNNNNNNNNNNNNNNNNNNNNNNNAGAAAAAAAGAAAAAAAAUAAAUAUAGCAGAAAAGAAAAAAACUAUAUAAAAAACUACUCAGAAAUAAAUACAAGAAAAAAUAGUUGUGAUUAACUUUACUAAAAAGAAAAAAACUAUAUAAAAAACUACUCAGAAAUGAACAUAGAUGCGCUUAUAGAGAAAAUUCAACCUAAAUUCAUAAUAAAUUUCUACUAACUUCAGAGAAAUUCAGUAUGAAUUUAGGUUAAAUUCCCUGUAUAAGGGCAUCUAUUUUCAUUUUGAGAGGAGCUCAACAAGGCAGAGAAGGAGGGGCUUAUAAACUGGUCUGAGCCGCCUUCGGUUGGCGAGGUGGGACUAAACUCUGGCCGCAACGAGGACCAACCCUUUAGUCCGGGUUGGUGGCCUGAACCGGGACUAAAGGGCAGCCUUUGGUCCCGGUUCAAGCCACCAACCGGGACCAAUGGUGUUGGGCCAGGAGCGAGGCCCAUUCGUCCCGGUUCGUCCCACCAACCGGGACCAAUAGGUCCAGACGAACCGGGACCAAGGGCCCACGUGACCCGGCCGGCCCCCGGGGCUCACGAACCGGGUCUGAUGCCCCCAUUGGUCCCGGUUCUGGAUUGAACCGGGACUAAUGGGCUGGGCCGGCCUGGACCAUUGGCCCGUUUUCUACUAGUGACUAUAAAUCUCAUAUACUAUUAAUAUUAUCAACAACCAAAGGCAAUCUCGAAAACCACAUUAGGCCCUAUAUAUAUGCAUAGAGGGAGUAUAUAAAAGAUAUGUCCAUCUAUGUUCUGAGUAUUUCUUUUCUGGCCACCAUUGUAUUGCUAAACAUUCACACUGUGAGAAUUGUUAUAAAUGUGGAACUUUCUUCUGUACUAGUACUACUGCCUUCGUCAUCUCUAAGGUUGCAAUCCGCUGUUCAAAUCUCGACUCCAAAUUGUUAAGGGAUAAUUAAUUUGGUGCCCUUAGUUGUGUUCCACUCGACAGGUUUACCCCUAGUUUCCGAAAACACUUGUUCCUGCCCAAACCACUUUGCUCCUCUUAUGCUUUUGCCCUUUGACUGUUUGACCAUCACUUUUAAAACUUCAUAAAAAAAUUCAUACUAACUCAGAAAAAUUCAAAUAAGAUAUCAAAAUGUUCAGAAAAACAUCACCUAUAUGUGCAUGUCAUUUGCAUUCAUGAAAAAAGUGUUGGCCAGUCCCCAUCUCAGUUUUAGCUCAUAUGAUCUUAGCAUGAACAGUAAAAUCUAAAAAAAAUCUAAAACUUCUAGAAAAAAUUGGUGGCAAACUUUGACCAAUGUUUUGAGUGCUUGCCAAGUUUCAUAACAGAAUGACAUUCGUAGAGGUCGUGGCAAAAAAAAUUUGGAGCAUUGCUUUUUAUUUUUAUUUUUGCCACGACUUCCAUGAAUGUCAUUCCCUUAUGAAAAUUGGCAAGCACUCAAAGCAUUGGUCAAAGUUUGCCACCAAGUUUUUUUUAGAAUUUUCUAAAAAAAUGAGAUUUUACUAUUCACUCUAAGAUCAUAUGAGCUAAAACUGAGGUGGGGACUGGCCAACACUUUUUUCAUGAAUGCAAAUGACAUGCACAUAUAGGUGAUGCUUUUCUGAACAUUUUGAUAUCUUAUUUGAAUUUUUCUGAGUUAGUAUGAAUUUUUUGUGAAGUUUUCAAAGUGAUGGUUAAACGGUCAAAGGGCAAAAGCAUAAGAGGAACAAUGUGGUUUGGGCAGGAACAAGUGUUUUCGGAAACUAGGGGUAAACCUGCCGAGUGUGACACAACUAGGGGCAUAAAAUCAAUUAUCCCAAUUGUUAAAUACCUUCCUCUUGUUAAUAAGGCUCAAAUAUCAAGAGUACCAUAUCACUCGUCAUGUCGUACGCAUACUGGUAUCGUACUAGUUGUGAAUAUAUUUUAUAUGGUGUUAUUAUGAUAUUAUCUGUAAGUGUUGAACAUUAAAGAUUUCAUAAACUAAACAUUAUUUUUAAAUAGUUCUAUAUAUAAAUAUACAUAGUACUUUUAGUUUUAAAUUGCACAUCAACCAAAAAUGAUGCCAUUUUUAAUUAUUUCUCUGUUUGUUUGCAUGUAGAUACCCUUCAUAUUAGCUAUCUAUGUUCAGUGAUGUUCUAUUUACAUUAUAGUGAAUUGAUAUCGAUAAUUUUCAUGCUACAAUAUGUACCUUUCUUGAAUCUAUUGGAAUCCAGUCAUAUGGUCGUUUUACUUUCAAAAUUGGAUUAAAACCUAGUUGGAUACAAUAUUUAGUUUACAUUGAUAUAAACCUCUAAUAGAAUGUUCUAUAUGUCUAUCAUAAGUUUCGUCUCCUAAAAAAAUGUGUUAGUUUCAUCACGCGCAACUAAUAUUACUGUACAAAUUGUAACCUAAUAUAAGCCUUCAUACUCAUAUCAAUGUAUUUCAAAAAUAACAAUAUUCAGACAUGUAAGAGUUAAGUACAUGAACACAUUCGUAUUCAGUAAUUGAAACCGAUGCAACAAAUGUUCACUAAGCAAAUAACAUUCAUAGAAAAUAUGAAAUGGUGACAAACAGGUACCCACUGGAGAACCACUAAUUCCGUCUGCAACCACGUCAACGACCACUAUCAAGAGCACCUCCUCUGGCUCGGCCAUCGGCAACACCGACAUGACUGGCACCAUCGACAACACCUAACCCCCUUUCAUCCACAACAGCAAGGCCACCAUCUCUGACGCUGGCGACGCUAACUCCACGCCCGCGGCCUUGACCGCGACCAUACCCACGGCCACGGCCUCACUGACCAAUGCGAUCAGGACCAUACACUAAUGCAAAGAAGUCGUUGAGGUUGUCUUCCUACUGCGACCAGAUCUCUUCCGGAAUCUCGGCCAGUGCCUAGGCAUCCUCGUCUUCUUCGGCAUGAAGACGGCAAAUCUCCUGCAACACCACGUGCAAGUCCACCUAAAACUUCGAAAGAUAAUUCUCUGGCUCAACUUUGUGUCCACCAUUGUCCGAGGGUGUUUUGAGGGAAUGGACAAUGGUUUAGAGAAGAAUCGAUUAUGCAGCGACGAACUACCCCAUGAACUACUCUAAUUAUAUACAAGCCCUCCUUAACUAGAAGAGGUAGGCGGACCGGUCAAACAUCUCGUCUUCCCAUAAUGCAUUGGAUUCCAAACCAUCAUUUAUAUCGAAUCCGUUCGUUGCUAAUAAACUUACUCUUAAAAAUGUAUAGUCAAAAUUUAAUUGCUACUUUAUCUCUUGUUACGUAUUGUUUAUUUUCUUGCAGUGACAUGCAGUUUGACCAACUCCAGAAUAACAAAGAAAUUGUUUCUCAUCGUUAUUAUGACUAUUCAAUUUGAAAAUGUUUUCUACUUCUAGUGCUAAAUUUAAUUUGUACUUUUUGUUUAAGUAAUUGUAUAUUGUUCUCUCAUAUGAUAUAUUCUUUGAUUCCAUUGUUCAUACUACAUAUCUCACAGGAGAAGUUAUAUUUUAAUUCAAAUCAAUUAUUGUUCCUAGGCCACAUACUAUCUUAAUUUAGUUAUCAAAAUGUUUUCAUAAAUAAAUAAAUUUCUAUCAUGUUGUAACAAACACUCUUGAAAUAUAUAUCAAAUCACUUUUCUUUUAAGUUUAUAUAUGGAUAUGUUUCAAUCUAUCUUUUUAUACCCAUAUCAUUUUGAAAUACAUCUACAUGAAGUUUGAUCAUACAUAUGCUAUACUUUGAUCAACAUAUAUUUAUUACAUGCUCAAAUUUAUACUACUUAAAUAACAGUUCAUUUUACUGUUAUUAUUUAUUUGUAACUUUUUUAUCAAGCAUCUAUUGUUUGUAUUUGCAGAGCCAACAUUUUUGGUUUGACCUUUAGGGCUUAGUGUUUAGGUUUAAGGUUUAAAGGUUAGUUUUACGGUUCAGGCCUUAGCGCUUAGAUUUAGGGUUUAGGAAUUAGGAAUUAGUUAUUAUAAUUUACAUGUUAGUUAUCAAAAUCUUUUCAUAAAUAAAUUAAUUUAUAUGUUGUUCUAACAUACACUCUUGAAAUAAAUAUGAAAUCACUUUUGUUUAUAGUGUAAAUAUCGACAUCUUUUGAUCUAUGUUUUUACCCUAAAAUCAUUUUGAGAUACAAUUACACCCAAUUAGAUUAUAUAUGUUUUACUUUGACCAAUGUAUAUUACAUGCUCAAGUAUACUCCUUAAAUAACAAUUGUUUUUACUAAUAUUAUUUAUUUAUAACUUUGUUAUCACAGAACAAGCAUCUUGGCUUUGGCCUUUAAGGCUUAGAGUUUAGGGUUUAAGAUCUAUGGCAGGUUUUAUGAUUAGGUUUUAGGGCUUAGGUUUAGUGUUCAGGGUUUAGGGUCUAGGGCUUAUGCUUAGGUUUAUGGAUUAAUGUAUAUAAUAUUUAGGGUUGAUUUAUCAAAUAUGGUGUUUUGGGCUUAAGUUUUGAGGUUAAGGUUUAGGUUUAGCGUUUACAUCACGGAGAUAUUCAAGAUCAGCAAUAUUAUUUAGCCCUUAAUGAGUAGAAUAUUCAGAUUAGAAGGUACCCGGAGCUGUUAUUCCGUUUUUAUUGUUCUGUUUUAGAAUUUGCAUUCACUUUUAGGGUUCUUAUUUAUUCUAGUUCAUUAACCUAUGAUAUAAUUCUAAAUAAUUGUUGUUGAACAUUCUUUUAGACACAAUCAUUGUUCGUUCAUAAAUUUGUAGCUACAGGUCAAUUAGUGAUCAACUCUUACUAUAGUAGUAUUCUUAUUUACAGAUUAACUUUUUGAAUACAGUUCUUUAAGAUUAAAUUCGUGACCUAAAUUGACAUUUUGUACAUGAAUAAAUGUCCAGGAAUUGACUUGGUUCACAAUGUUCGCAAUCUUAAUGUCCGAAGCAAUAUGUGAUGAAGCCAUGUACCUAGGGUAGGGUCAUGGACCUGUCCAAAGUACCCUCCCCAAGGACAUCUCUAGAAGAAACUACCUUUCAGUCGACCUGGAAGGGUUUCACUCGACGGACUCGAAGACACUCGACCAUGAAGCCACUCACUCGACCACCAGGAGAUCUAGAGUCACUCUGCACACAAACGGUCUGUCAUUAAGUAGUCUUUAUGGUCAUUGAGGGAGUCCUGGACUAGGGGAUGUCCGGACAGCCGGACUAUCAUUGUCCGCCGGACUCCAAGACUACGAAGAUACAAGAUUGAAGACUCCGUGCCGUGUCCGGAUGGGACUUUCCUUGGCGUGGAGGGAAAGCUUGGCGAUACAGAUAUGUAGAUCUCCUACCUUUGUAACCGACUCUGUGUAACCCUAGCCUCCUCCCGUGUCUAUAUAAACCGGAGGGCUGUAGUCCGUAGGGGAAAACAUACAUUACAACAAUCAUACGAUAGGCUAGCUUUAGGGUUUAGCCUCCUUGAUCUCGUGGUAGAUCCACUCUUGUACUACCCAUAUCAUCAAUAUUAAUCAAGCAGGACGUAGGGUUUUACCUCCAUCGAGAGGGCCCGAACCUGGGUAAAACAUCGUGUCCCUUGUCUCCUAUUACCAUCCGCCUAGACGCACAGUUCGGGACCCCCUACCCGAGAUCCGCCGGUUUUAACACCGACAUUGGUGCUUUCAUUGAGAGUUCCUCUGUGUCGUCACCGAUAGGAAGGAUGCCUUCACCCGUCUUCAAAGACGGUAUUUUCGCCAAAGGGGCCUUGGCCGCCGGCCAAUCUAUCCGGCUAGGCGGUUUUCUCAUGACCGCCUGUCCGGCCACUCCUUCGACAAUGACUUCCCAAGUCGUCAAAAGCAAUCUCCGCGCCAGCUCGGAAUUCGCCGAGCGGGUGGAUCCAAUAGACCUCUCGUUUGUCAACGAGCUCUUGGAUCGCAUCGCCGCCCUGGAAGUCGCUACAGACUACAAUCAGAUUGGGCUUAAAACCGAUCUGAGAGAGAUUAACUCUCCCCAGGUCACCCACCACGUCGCAGUGGUAGAGGAACAAUGCGGCGACUCUUCGCCUAUAUCGAAAACUAGUCACGUCCAGAUUCCCGAACCCUCCAUGCAGGAUUCCCGCGGAGGGACGGACUUCGAUCGAGCAUUGAACUCAAAAUCAUGCAUCGUUCCGGACUCGCUGGAUCGUGUCCAGCAAAUGAAGCUUCCGAACUCGGAAACUCCCCGGUCGUUAAGCCCCAAGAUGGGUAGGGAUCCGGAUUUUAUUCCACCCACCCGCCCAGACAUAUGCGAUCUAUCUCUAAUACGGCAAGAGCCCGCUGAAACAGUACAUCACUACUGGGCCAGAUUCCUCCUGGUUAUGGACAGGAUAAAGGACUGCCGAGAGGAAAACGCAAUCUCAAUCUUUUGCAAUAAUUGCACGGACAAGGGAAUAUUGAACGCCAUCGGCCUUCGUAAAAUUACACGCUUCACCGAUCUGGCAUCCAUAGUACGAAAAUACUGUGCGAUGGAGAGUUUCCGGAAAACCGAAAAUCAGUUUUGGGACAAUCUGGCUCCAAAUACAACCCUAGUCCGCAACAAAAGGGUGCAUCGUACUGAGGCACCAGAUGUAAAAACCAAAAAGCAAAAACCCCUUAAAGGGCACGGAACCGUACUGGAAGGAUGGCUCGCCGGACAAUUACAGAUCCGAAGAAGUCACGUUCCAAGUGGCCCCGUUCAACAGCGGAUAUCACGCUAUAUUAGGACGAGAGGCAUUCACAAUUUUUCAAGUCGUACCCCAUUACGGGUAUAUGAAGCUCAAAAUGCCUGGGCCCAGCGGAAUAAUCACUCUCGCUAGUGAUCCGGACAUAGCACUCCGCGCCGAAAACAAGACAGCCGCACUAGCCCUGGAGGCACUAUCCGAAGCCCUAGCGACAGAAGAACUCACCGCGCUGCGCUCUAUGAUGAACAGGGACGAUGUGAUACUCGAUAAAAGAUCCAAGUCCACCUCCUUCAAACCAGCAGAUGAAAUAAUAAAAUUCCAGGUCCAUCCAACGGACCCAACAAAGACGGCCUCCAUUGGGGCACAAUUGAACCCCGAAGUAGACGCCGCACUGGGCGAAUUCCUUCGGGAAAAUUGGGACAUUUUCGCCUGGCAUCCUUCGGAUAUGCCCGGAAUCCCACGCAGGUUGGCAGAACACAGCCUAAACAUCCUAAAAGAAUUUAAGCCAGUCAAACAGGCUCUUCGACGAUUUUCUGAACCCAAAAGACAGGUAAUGGGAGAAGAGCUAGCCAAACUAUUGGAAGCCGGAUUCAUCAGAGAUAUCAAACAUCCGGAUUGGCUAGCAAAUCUGGUAAUGGUACCAAAGAAGGACAAAUCCUGGCGCCUAUGUGUCAAUUUUAAAGACCUCAAUAAGGCUUGCCCAAAGGAUCCCUUCCCUCUCCCCCGCAUCGACCAAAUCAUCGAUGCUACCGCAGGGCACGAUUCGUUGUGCUUCCUCGAUGCAUACUCCGGCUACCAUCAAAUCAAGAUGGCGGAAGCAGAUCAAGCCGCAACGGCAUUCAUCACUCCAUAUGGACCAUUCUGCUUCAACACGAUGCCCUUCGGACUUAAAAACGCCGGCGCAACAUAUCAGCGCAUGAUUCAAACAUGUCUGGCCACCCAGAUCGGCAAAACAGUAGAGGCAUACGUAGACGACGUAGUCGUCAAAACCAAACACGUCGAAACUCUAGUAGACGACUUGAGGCUCACAUUCGACAACCUCAGAGCAUAUGACAUCAAGCUGAAUCCGGAAAAAUGCGUUUUCGGCGUGCCAGCCGGAAAGCUACUGGGCUUCAUCGUAUCCGGUAGAGGAAUUGAAGCAAACCCAGCCAAGAUCCGAGCUCUGUCACAACUGGAUAUCCCAAAAGACCUCAAGCAAAUACAAAAAUUAACUGGAUGCGUGGCGGCUCUAAGCCGCUUUAUCUCCCGUCUAGGAGAAAAGGCAUUGCCCCUCUAUCGCCUCCUCAGGCGCACCGAACACUUCGAGUGGACGGAUGCUGCCACUGCCGGACUCGAAGAAAUAAAGGCCAUACUGGCAACAAAUCUGGUCCUGGCUGCGCCCAACCUGGGCGAACCAAUGUUGUUAUACAUCGCAGCAACGCAUCAAGUUGUAAGCGCGGUACUCGUCGUCGAACGAGAGACAGAAGGGCAUAAAUUCCCUCUUCAAAAACCAGUGUAUUACGUAUCCACUGUGUUAACCCCCUGCAAGUCCCGUUACCCACACUAUCAGAAGAUAGCGUAUGCGGUGUUCAUGGCAUCCCGGAAGCUUUGACACUACUUUCAAGAGUGUUCGAUAACAGUGGCCUCCGAAGUACCACUCAAUGACAUCAUAAAUAACCGUGACGCAACGGGCAGGAUUGCAAAAUGGGCCAUUGAGGUCUUACCAUUCGAUAUAACUUACAAACCUCGGCGAGCUAUAAAGUCACAAGUUUUGGCUGACUUUGUAGCUGAAUGGACCGAGGCCGAACUCCCUAAAGAGUACGGCGCAUACUCCAAUUGGAUUAUGCAUUUUGACGGCUCUAAAAUGUUGGCCGGACUGGGGGCUGGCGUUGUAUUGAUGUCCCCAACCGGGGACACAGUCCAGUAUGUACUUCAAAUAAUGUACACGGACUCCAACAAUGCAGCCGAAUACGAGGCCCUGUUACAUGGUCUCCGGAUGGCAGUCUCCAUGGGCAUUCAACGCCUAGAGGUGCGCAGGGAUUCAAACCUUGCAAUAUCCCAAAUAAAUGGAGACUUUGAUGCCAAGGAUCCGAAAAUGGCAGCAUAUCGCAACGCUGUCCUAAAAAUGUCAGCUCGGUUUGAAGGACUCGAAUUCCAUCACAUAGCCCGAGAUAACAACCAAGCAGCCGACGUACUGGCACGCAUCGGUGCGAAACGUGACGCCGUCCCUCCAAAUAUCUUCCUGGAACGGCUCUUCAAGCCAUCCGUACUAUGGGAAGAGGAGCCCGGAAGUGACAAACCGGGAAAAACCGCGCCAACCGGCGAUUCAGCCGAUGACAUAACACCUUCAGCCCACGACAUAAUGGCAGUAAUCGCCCCGUGGACAGAACCAUUCCUAGCCUACUUGCUUAGGCAGGAACUUCCCGAAGACCAAAACAAGGCCCGCUGCAUAGUCCGGCGAUCUAAAACCUACAAGGUCCAUGAGGGAGAACUUUAUAAGAAAAGUACAACCGGAGUCCUUCAAAGGUGUAUCUCCGAAGAGGAAGGGCGAAACCUCCUGGCUGAAAUUCAUGCCGGACUAGGCGGACACCACGUAGCAGCCCGGGCCCUUGUAGGAAAGGCAUUCCGUACAGGAUUUUAUUGGCCGACGGCCCGGGCAGAUGCCCAGGACUUAGUCCAGAGAUGCAUCGGUUCUCAGCUCUUUGCUAAUCAGAGCCAUAUGCCGCCCACCGCCCUCAAAACUAUACCCAUUACCUGGCCGUUCGCGGUCUGGGGCCUUGAUAUGGUUGGACCCCUUAAAGGGGGAACCCACAAGCAAAGGUACCUAUUGGUCAUGGUGGAUAAAUUCACCAAAUGGAUAGAGGCCAAACCGGUCAAAAUGGCAGAGUUCGGACUAGUGAUAGACUUUAUAUCCGGGGUAGUACACCGUUACGGAGUCCCCCACAGCAUCACCACCGACAACGGCACGAACUUCACAGCCGACGAGGUUAAGUCAUGGUGCAAAAAUAUGGGCAUCAAGCUCGACUACGCUUCAGUCUAUCACCCUCAAACCAACGGUCAAGUGGAAUGAGCAAAUGGUCUAAUAAUGAGCGGCAUUAAACCCAGACUAGUGCGGUCACUUACUAAAUCUGACACGCACUGGGUUGAGGAGCUCGACUCCGUACUCUGGGGGCUGCGGACAACGCCUAACCGUACUACCGGAUUCACACCAUUUUUUAUGGUAUACGGCGUAGAGGCAGUCCUGCCCUGCGACAUUAUUCAUGACUCACCUCGAGUGCGCAUGUAUGAAGAAAGAGAGGCCGAGCUGGAUCGGCAGGACAGCUUGGACACAUUGGAGGAAGAACGCGACGUCGCCAAGGCUCGUUCCGCAUUCUAUCAGCAGCAGGCCCGAAGAUAUCAAAGCAGAGAAGUACGGGCCAAGACUUACAACGUUGGCGAACUAGUUCUACGCCUGCCGGACAAGAAAAAGGACAAGCUCAAGCCCAAAUGGGAGGGGGCCUUCAUUAUUGAUCAAGUCCUGACCGGCGGAGCGUACCGUCUACGAAAUGCGUCGGAUAACCGACUCGAGCCGAACCCAUGGAACGCAGCCCGCCUCCGAAGAUUCUAUGCCUAGCGCCAGACUAAGAGUUCGUCCCCUUCCUCUGUUCAAAUUUUUACACUUCGGCUGUCUUUUGUUUCUCUUUCUUCUCCUAACCUUUUUACCAAAAAGCCCCUCAGGGCCUACCUCCGCAUUGUUCGCAUACACUUGAUGUGCCAUCCACACUCAUUAUACCUGGGGGCUUCUUUUCCAGAAGCUCAAUUAUAAGGGCUUCAUGCCCAGCACAUGUGUCAAGCUUCCACAUGUGCCUUUUACUCACCAUUAUAUGCAUCGAUAUGACUUAAGUUUUGGCCAAGCUGGGUUGCCUGGCUCCUGUGCUUACCCCUACGUUCCCGAUUGUUCGGCUAGGAGGUAAAGGGAGCACCUCUGUGAUUGUUACUGUCGGGUCAGUCGGAUGUGUACCUCAGACUGGGUGAAGCCGAAAGCUAGCGUUCUUAAGGGAAUAUUCGGUCGGUGACUUGAAAGAUGAUUUUUUACCUAUUUAUUUAUCUGCCCCCAGAUGUUUUCCUGCUCUUUUCGCAGUCCGGACAUGCACUUUAGGGCAUGCCUCCCAGGGAAAGGAACCCUUAACAGAACUAUUCUCCCUGGAAGAUGUUUCUUACUAACCAUGUAAUAUAACAUAACUAGUUGGGCACUUGUCUGAUAAAGCACUAAUGACCCCUACGCCUGGUCUCCAUGCAUACCCCGGUUGUUUCUUAACCAAGUAGGUAUUUGGACACACUCCGGACUCUAGGGUCCCGAGGUCGAAGCGAAAAGGUCGGCAAAGACAAACGAUCUACAAUCCGGCUAGAAGGCAUUUCACAUGUCAUUUUAAAAUACAUUGUCAAAUUUACUGAUUGUAUUCCUCCUCAAUCCCGUCUAACAGGCUGUCUAACUUACAGUCCCGUUGGGAAAAUUUAGCAGCCAACUCUACCUGGCUGUAUACUGAACUCAUAGGGAUCUCCUUCCCAUUGGGCCCCACCGGUCAAACUUCGGCCAUGUGGUUGGGAUCCGCCUUCUUGUAACGCGUCUUCACCAUGGCCCAAGCCUCCCUGGCACCUUGACGGCAAGCCGAAAUCUUCCACAAACGGAAGCGCUGCCGCACUCCCUGGAGCUUCUCCGCAAGCUCCCCAAGGCCCUCGGGUAGGGAGAGGGCUGGCCAUAAAGCCUGGACGACGCCGCUUAUUGCCUGCCGAACUCGUUCGAGCAGUUGCAACAGCUCGGGAAGUUGAUCACCCGUUGAUAUGGGCAUCUCCUCCGUAGGGCGACCUGUGAGUAUACCUACAAGACAUAUUAUGUCAAUUUACUUCCUCGCCGAACUCUUCUUUUCAAAGGAGUCCGCUCAAGCACUUACUAUAAAUGCCGCGACGAAGCCGCUCAUUCUCCUUAACGGAGCCAGACAGCCCGGCUCGAGCGCCUUUCAGCUCUUCUCCGAGCUUGGCAUUGGCAUCCUGGAGCUUGUUCCUUUCUUGCUGCACCCUAUUCAGCACCCUCUCACCGGCCUUCAGCUGGCGCAGUAAUUCUUGCAUGUCCGGAUCUUGUCCGGCGGCACCUGCAAAGUCAUUAUUAGACUCGCGCGCACGCCGCACAGCGCUUAUAUUUAUUAAUAAAAAUGUGUUACCAGGAGGGGUCUCUGCGUUUCCUCCUGUGGCAGCAAGUGCGGCCUCAAGUUGGGCCUUGCAUUCUUGCAGCUCCUGAGACAGCUGGGCAUUCUUCUCGGUAAGAGCCUGCGUUUCAAAUGAUCCUUAAAUCAGUUAACAUAACUACUUUAAGUCUCGGGGGCUACUGGCAUAUAUAACCAUUAAAUUCCCUUACCCGUAUGUCUUUUACAUACUGAUCCAUGGCUCGGGUAAAACCGUCUUGAGCAGCACGGAGGUGCGUGUCCCCUGCGUUAAAGGCGUCCAAUGCCUCAGGGGAGAAGCACGCUUCACGAAAUACUGUCCGGCGGCGCCUGUGGUUCAUGGCGCUCUCCACCUCAGACUUGGUGGCGGACAGUCUGUCAGCAUCCUCCGUUGGAGGAGUAUCCGGCCCGCGCCUUGCGCUUGCCUCCCCCUCCAGGCCGGGCGUUGGAGCCUGGCUGGUAUAGGUCGGAUCGGCAACCUCUACGCCCGCAGUCCGGCGGGCGCUUUUUCUCCUACAAAGAUCAUGAGCACUCAGACGCUUCCUAGGAACGUUGCUCUGAAAAUUUAAAUAUGAGCUAUACCUUUGCGGCGAUGUUUUAGUCCGUGCCGCGCUCCUUUUCCGCCUGCUGGUCCGAACUGACCUUUGUUGGUCAGCCGCCGCGGGCUCGGCUUCCCGCCUUGAAGGCGCUUCCUGUAAAACACCAUCGUUCGCGAAGGUCAGAAAUGGGCAAGGAAGAGAUAAUGGUGUCCGAACCUCGGUCACAGUCACCUGGGAAGCCGGAUACAGUCCGGGGUAGUCCGCCAUAAUGGUGACUAAAGCGUUAUCCAUGCUGAGUUGAUGGAACACCCCGUCGAUCAGCUCCACCUGAAUAUCCGGGUCCUCUUCGGAGGCCGGAUCCCGGGAUCUUUCUGGAUCCUCGGGUUGUGGAGCGGGACUUACCAUGUCCUCCACAGUCCGGCGCAGAUCCUGCGCCGAAGACGUAAUGUAAGAAGCCUAAACUUCGAAAGCACGGGUUGAGCCCUUAAAAGUGUUUGCUUACCCAGCCUCUAGGGUUGUUCAUGGAAAACCCAUUCAAAGGGUUCGUUCGAAGGAAGUCCUCCUUCUCCCCCUUGUACAGGCCGGACAGGAUCUGCACCAGAUCCUCGGUCGAAUCCGGCCCUUCGCGGCCAUGACGGGUGGCGUCAUCUUCCCCGUUGAAAUCCCACAUGGGGUGGCCUCUGUAUUGCAAUGGCUGUACCCCCCGCAUGAUGCAUGUCACCAUGACUCCGAUCAUGGUCAACCCGGAAUGGGCCAGUAAUCUUAUUCGGCCCAUCAAGUAAUGGAUGCUCUUGUCUUCCUCCAAUCGGGGGCUCCGUGGGCGCCAGCUGAGGCGUUUCUUCAGAGGAGCAGCGCUAAACUCCGGGAGGCCAAUUCGGAUUGGGUCCGGCAGCGGAGCGUCUUCUAUGUAAAACCACUCUAAAGGCCAGUCUUCGGACGCCUUCUUAGGAGUACCGGAUGGGUAUCCGGUCCCGGCAAUGCGCCAUAUUUCGGCGCCGCCUACUUGAUAUAUAGAUCCCUCGUGAGAACGGGGUACGAGGCAGAACAGCCUCUUCCACAGUGCAAAAUGGGGCUCGAUGCCCAGGAAAAGCUCGCAAAGAGCUACGUAGCCCGUGAUAUGCAGGAUAGAGGCGGGCGUAAGGUGAUGGAGUUGGAGUCCGUAGAACUCCAGGAGCCCGCGGAGAAACAGAUGUAUUGGGAAUCCGAGUCCCCAUAUCAGAUAGGGGACGAAGCAUACCCGCUCCCCUUUGUUGGGACUUGGGGUAGGCUCCGCUUGCUUCCCACCUUGGUAGGUGGCCAGCCCGGCUCGAACCAGGACCAUGAAGGCCGGAGGGAGAUAUCCCCCCGCUUGGAGCUUCACUAGCUCGUGUGUGGAACAGAGCACCUCCUCCAAUCUCCUGGCGGUGGGCUGGGAGCGCGAGAAGAGGAGCCGCGUCGACGGUCCAUGAUGGAAUGGAUUUUUAGAUCAAGGGCGCUCCGAUGAAGUAUUCGCGGAAGGAAGAUGGUGUGGUUUGGAUCUGGAUUUUUGCCUCUUUUGUAGGCGGAUGACUCGCACGACUAGGGGGUGAAACAUAAAAGACACCCUGGCUUUUUGCAUUCGUGCGAUGCGUGGAAGAAGGCCAUUAUUGGACGUAGAAGCCAAGAAACACAGUAUUUAUGAUGAAGCCGGACACUGUUCGGCAGGUACAUGGAACUUGAAGGGAGAACCCGCCUUGCAACGCCGAAGACUAUAUACGCGCUGGACUUAUCGUCAUUGAAGCCUGGUUCGGGGGCUACUGAGGGAGUCCUGGACUAGGGGGUGUCCGGACAGCCGGACUAUCAUCAUCCGCCGGACUCCAAGACUACGAAGAUACAAGAUUGAAGACUCCGUCCCGUGUCCGGAUGGGACUUUCCUUGGCGUGGAGGGCAAGCUUGGCGAUACGGAUAUGUAGAUCUCCUACCUUUGUAACCGACUCUGUGUAACCCUAGCCUCCUCCGGUGUCUAUAUAAACCGGAGGGCUGUAGUCCGUAGGGGACAACAUACAUUACAACAAUCAUACCAUAGGCUAGCUUUAGGGUUUAGCCUCCUUGAUCUCGUGGUAGAUCCACUCUUGUACUACUCAUAUCAUCAAUAUUAAUCAAGCAGGACGUAGGGUUUUACCUCCAUCGAGAGGGCCCGAACCUGGGUAAAACAUCGUGUCCCUUGUUUCCUGUUACCAUCCGCCUAGACACACAGUUCGGGACCCCCUACCCGAGAUCCGCCGGUUUUGACACCGACAUUGGUGCUUUCAUUGAGAGUUCCUCUAUGUCGUCACCGAUAGGAAGGAUGCCUUCACCCGUCUUCAAAGACGGUAUUUUUGCCAAAGGGGCCUUGGCCGCAGGCCAAUCUAUCUGGCUAGGCGGUUUUCUCAUGACCGCCUGUCCGGCCACUGCUUCGACAAUGACUUCCCAAGUCGUCAAAAGCAAUCUCCGCGCCAGCUCGGAAUUCGCUGAGCGGCUGGAUCCAAUAGAGCUCUUGUCUGUCAACGAGCUCUUGCAUCGCAUCGCCGCCCUGGGAGUCGCUACAGACUACAAUCAGAUUGGGCUUAAAACCGAUCUGAGAGAGAUUAACUCUCCCCAGGUCACCCACCACGUCGCAGUGGUAGAGGAACAAUGCGGCGACUCUUCGCCUAUAUUGAAAACUAGUCAUGUCCGGAUUCCCAAACCCUCCAUGCCGGAUUCCCGCGGAGGGACGGACUUCGAUCGAGCAUUGAACUCAAAAUCAUGCAUCAUUCCGGACUCGCUGGAUCGUGUCCAGCAAACCAAGCUCCCGAACUCGGAAACUCCCCGUCCGUUAAGCCCCAAGAUGGGUAGGGAUCCGGAUUUUAUUCCACUCACCCGCCCAGACAUAUGUGAUCUAUCUCUAAUACGACAAGAGCCCGCUAACUUGUUAUAUGCAGUGCCAAUUACUGUACCCGCGGUCUAAGAUACAAUUCAUCCUAAUUCAAAUCUCCAACACAAAAAUUGCUCUAGGAUGAAAAAAAUGGAACAAAGAACAACAUUAACAAUGAAAUCUUCGACCAUUCAUAUCUUUUAAGACUUUUAAUCCGCAAGGAAAGAAGAUAAUCAUGUUUAGAUAACAACAUCAUGCUUCCCAAAUGAAUCUGCCCCUUAUCGUACCUAUAUAUGCUGCAUGUGUUCUUUUUUUUAGAAAAGGAGGAUGACCUCUGGCCUCUGCAUCUGGGCGAUGCAUACGGCCACUUUAUUAACUAUUCUCAUAAGACCUUACAAAGUCAUACAACAGCAAGACUAAAGCCACCGUCUAAGCAACAGCUGUCGCUAUACCUAUCGAAUUGAUGAAGGGGCGCAGAUAGUCUGGGCCUAAUACCAAAUAGACAUCGCAGCCAAACCUAAACAUCUAAGACCUAAGGUCCCAUCCAGGACGCCUGUCGGGUAUGGCGCACCUACCAGUCCGGCGCACUCCUCAACCAGGACGCCUGCCGGGUAUGAGGCCGCCGCAGCCACCUGCCACCAAUCCAUCUUCAGAGUUGUACUGUUGCAUGUACCGUGUUAGGUCUCUCUGCCAUCGACGCCCGACAGCGUCGUCCUCCUACGUGAGUCCAUCCUCCCACAGCGAACUCCGAAUCUGCACUGCGCCACGCUGUCAAGAUCCAUCGCCAUCAGUGUAUAGGAUGAAGCACCGCUCCAGCAAAGAAUCUGUCCUCUGGUCCCUUGAUCACGUGUGUACCUCCAAGAAUGACGCCCCCAAGGGAGGAACGACACCAGAGCGCCGCCGUCAUUCGAUCAUCCGAUCUAGGGUUUCCCCCAGAGGUAGCAGAGAGUGGCCUUGAACUUCUCCACGGCGAUGCCUUCAAGAAGGGAACGGCACAGAUAGAGCCGCCACCGCCGGCCUUAGCAGACGCCGAAGGCAAGUUUUCACCCAGAUCAGUUCGAAGGGAUCCAACUCUCGUGCACGGGCCGCGGUCACCACCAGCACCACCAGGCAGAACCCUGGAGCACCGGCAGAUCAGCGAGCCACCGGCACCACCGCAUCCAGAUCGUCGGCCAUGCCGGGCCGCCGCCAUCCCCCGCGUCGUCCGGGUCAGAGAUGGAGCCGCCGACCGUGCACGUGGACCAUCGCCGCCUGCACACGCCAGGGCGCCGCUGAGAGCCCAGCGCCCAUCACCGAUUGCCAAGGGCCGCUGUCGCGCGUCCCGAGCGGACUCCCACACACACCCCUCCUAUAAGCCACCCCCUCCUCAGUGUAAAUGGUUCGCACCCCUGUAACUCAUACGCAUAUAAUCCAGUCGACCGCCUCCGGGCUCCGAGACGUAGGGCUAUUACUUCCUCCGAGAAGGGCCUGAACUUGUAAAUCUCUUGCGUAUACAACUACUCCAUAGCUAGGAUCUUGCCUCUCCAUACCUACCCCCUUAUUCUACUGUCAGGCUUAAAACCACGACAGUUGGCGCCCACCGUGGGGCGGGUAUCUUAGCGACCUAUUGAAGAAGUUGCAAUCGUUCCGAUCUCCUUCAUCAUGGUUUCAGGCGGAGUUUUGGUUGAGGGCCGCGAGAUCCGUCUCGGUGCGCUCACGUUCAUCGCCGACGACUCUGCUUGGCUUCAGGAGGCUCCACUCGACAUCGACGCGCUCCCUGUCCGCGGGGCGACGCACUUUCGCGCGCGUGUCCACGGUGUCCUCCUACGGCAACCAUCGACCCCGUAUCGAUCGACCCCUGUGUCGUCCUCUCUCCCUGUCUCCCGCCAGCGCAAGCGCUCCGGAGGGUCGAGGCUUCAGCGGUGGGUGAGGCACGCGGUGGCCCGCCAGUCGGCCACCCCUCAAGUCACGGCGAUCGAACCCAACGAAUCUCUCUACGGCCUGUUCGACCUGUCAACUGGCUCCAUACAGACUGCAUCCGAGUGCGACAGCGGUGAUCCAGUGGCGAGGUCCUGAUGGUCAAUGGACCGCACAGUCCUCCCGGCUUCCCCCGCGCUGACGGAGGGGACGGCGGAGGCGACCCAACGUAGGUCCACGAAGAGUAUCAACCCGAGCCACUCACUUUGCUGCAAAGGGAAGAUCUUCGCCGCCGGAACAUGGAUGCGCUGCAUACUCCUAUCGUUGGAGAAACCCCCGAGGCUCGUGCCUUAGAGGACGCACAUUUGGCCAACUUGGCUCAGUGCACUCGACUGGAGAACCUCCAGCGAGCACUCGACGAGCGUGCGCGGCAGCGGGUACCAGACUCCAGUCGACGUCAACUCUUUCCACCACUGACUCAGGUAUAUCGAACUCUGAUUCAGAGUCUAGCGGCUGCAGCCCGUAUAGCAGAGUCAAUUCAGCCCUCCCAGUCAGAGGCUGGCAGAGGCUUGAUGCAGAUCAGAGAUUUGCUCCGGGAAGUAGGAGAUUAGAAUUCACUGGAUCACAGUCGCGAAACAGGAUUCACAGCAGAUCUGUCGCUGCGAAUACAGUCCAAUCGGCCCAUAGCCCGAGAUCACCCCCGAGGCGUGAGGGACGUGGAGGUCGGCGUGAUCAGUAUGAUGACUGAUUCUAUCGCGAUGACCGACGUCGAGUGCCUACUCCUCCCCCAAGGUGUGGGUCAUACGCUCCUCGAUAACAAGAUGACAGACGCCAGCACAGUGUGGGGCGAAGGGUUCCAGUCGACCCCAAAGAACCAGGCUUUGAUGCGAGAUCCAUUAUUGUUCAAGGUUUGGUCGAUCGGAACAGAGCUCACCGAGAAGGCCAUGACAGAGAUGUGCCCACCAGCAGUAGAGUUCACAUCUCAGGACCAGAGUGUUUUAGCAGAGCCAUCAGGGCCGCGGUGAUUCCUCCCAACUUUAGGUUGGCGACUGGAGUCAGCAAGUUCACCGGCGAGUCCAAGCCCGAUACUUGGCUUGAGGACUACCAAGUGGCUGUUCAGAUUGGUGGCGGCAAUGAUGAGGUGGCCAUGAAACACCUACCACUUAUGUUGGAAGGCUCGGCCAGAGCAUGGCUGAAUCAGUUAGCACCUAGCAGCAUUUACACUUGGGAAGAUCUUGCCCGAGUGUUUGUCAGAACAUUUAAAGGAACUUGCAAGCGACCAGCAAGGUUGAUAGAGGAGCAGGUUUGUGUGCAAAAGUCGAAUGAGACUCUGAGGGAUUACAUCCAGAGGUGGAUCACAUUGCAUCACAUAGUGGAAAAUGUAUCUGAUCACUAGGUAGUCUGUGCCUUCAAGGAAGGCGUUAAGAACAGGGAGUUAAGUUUGAAGUUCGGUCGGACCGGAGACAUGACUCUGAGUCGAAUGAUGGAGAUUGCCACCAAAUAUGCCAAUGGUGAAGAAGAGGAUCGGCUCCGGAGUGGCAAGUACAAGCCGACCGCUCAUGAAACAGGGAGAGGGAACUCCAGUCGGAAGCAAAAGCGGAAAGCCGAGCCACCUGCUCCUGGAGAAGCCUUGGCCGUGACUCAAGGAAAGUUCAAAGGGAAGCCUAAAGGGUCUUGGAACCCUAAGAAGGUGAAGGACAAGGAAGGAAAUGACGUGAUGGAUUUGCCGUGCCACAUCCACACGAAGAAAGAUGAGGAGGGUAACUUCAUUUACCCGAAACAUACCACUCGGCAGUGUCGGCUCUUGAUCCAGCAAUUUCAGGGGAAACAACCCAAAGAUAAGGAAAAGGAGUCGAACAAAGUUGAGGACAAAGAGGACAAUGAUGAAGGAUACCCCCAUGUCAAUUCCACCUGAUGAUUUUUGCUGAUGUUGAAAGCAAAAGUCGAUUGAAAGUUAUCAACCGUGAGGUGAAUAUGGUUGUGCCGGUGACACCCAGUUAUCUGAAAUGGUCUCAGACCGCCAUCACAUUUGACUAGUCUGAUCAUCCGACACACAUAGCCACCCCUGGGAGGCAAGCUUUGGUGGUCGACCCAGUCGUCGAAGGCACUCGACUGACUAAGGUUCUGAUGGAUGGUGGCAGCGGCCUGAAUAUAUUGUAUGCGGAGACGCUAAAACGGACGGGCAUUCCGAUGUCCACACUCAGUACCAGCAACAUGAGUUUCCACGGAGUCAUUCCUGGGAAGAAGGCUGAGUCACUCGGCCAAAUAUCUCUUGAUGUGGUUUUCGGCGAUUCAAAGCAUUUCCGCAAAGAAAAGUUGACAUUUGAAGUUGUGGAUUUCCAGAGUGCUUAUCACGCUAUUUUAGGCAGGCCAGCUUAUGCACACAUCAUGGCUCGACCAUCUUACUGAAGGAAAUAUGCCCUAGAGGCAAUAAUAAAGUUAUUAUUUAUUUCCUUAUUUCAUGAUAAAUGUUUAAUAUUCAUGCUAGAAUUGUAUUAACCGGAAAUGUAAUACAUGUGUGAAUACAUAGACAAACAUAGUGUCACUAGUAUGCCUCUACUUGACUAGCUCGUGAAUCAAAGAUGGUUAAGUUUCAUAGCCAUAGACAUGAGUUGUCAUUUGAUUAACGAGAUCACAUCAUUAGGAGAAUGAUGUGAUUGACUUGACCCAUUCCGUUAGCUUAGCACUUGAUCGUUUAGUAUGUUGCUAUUGCUUUCUUCAUGACUUAUACAUGUUCCUAUGACUAUGAGAUUAUGCAACUCCCGUUUACCGGAGGAACACUUUGUGUGCUACCAAACGUCACAACGUAACUGGGUGAUUAUAAAGGAGCUCUACAGGUGUCUCUGAAGGUACAUGUUGGGUUGGCGUAUUUCGAGAUUAGGAUUUGUCACUCUGAUUGUCGGAGAGGUAUCUCUGGGCCCUCUCGGUAAUGCACAUCACUAUAAGCCUUGCAAGCAAUGUAGCUAAUGAGUUAGUUAUAGAAUGAUGCAUUACGUAACGAGUAAAGAGACUUGCCGGUAACGAGAUUGAACUAGGUAUUGGAUACCGACGAUCGAAUCUCGGGCAAGUAACAUACCGAUGACAAAGGGAACAACGUAUGUUGUUAUGCGGUUUGAUCGAUAAAGAUCUUCGUAGAAUACGUAGGAGCCAAUAUGAGCAUCUAGGUUCCGCUAUUGGUUAUUGACCGAGAAUAGUUCUAGGUCAUGUCUACAUAGUCCUCGAACACGUAGGGUCCGCAUGCUUAAGGUUUCGAUGACAGUUUUAUUAUGAGUUUAUGAGUUUUGAUGUACCGAAUGAGUUCGCAGUCCCAAAUGAGAUUGGGGACAUGACGAGGAGACUCAAAAUGGUCGAGACAUAAAGAUCGAUAUAUUGGACGACUAUAUUCGGACCUCGGAAAGGUUCCGAGUGAUUCGGGUAUUUUUCGGAGUACCGGAGAGUUACAGGAAUUCGCCGAGAGAAAUAUUGGGCCUUAUUGGGCCAUACGAGAAAGAGAGAGGGGCUACCUAGGGCAAGCUGCGUGCCUCCCAAGGCCUAGUCCGAAUUGGACUAGGGGGAGGGGCCGCACCCCCUCCUUCCUUCCCUUCUCUCUUCCCUUUCCUUCUCUCCUACUCCUACUACAUGGAAGGGCUCCUAGUUCUACUAGUAAAGGGGGAAUCCUACUCCCGGUGGGAGUAGGACUCCCCUAGGGCGCGCCAUAGAGAGGGCUGGCCCUCCCCCUCCUCCACUCCUUUAUAUACGGGGCAGGGGGCACCCCAUAGACACACAAGUUGAUCUUCAAGAUCGUUCCUGCGCCGGUAGAACAUCAUCAUCAUCACCACGCCGUCGUGCUGACGGAACUCAUCCCCAACACUUUGCUGGAUCGGAGUCCGGGGAUCGUCAUCGAGCUGAACGUGUGCUGAACUCGGAGGUGCCGUACGUUCGGUACUUGGAUCGGUCGGAUCGUGAAGACGUACGACUACAUCAACCGCGUUGUCAUAAUGCUUCCGCUUACGGUCUACGAGGGUACGUGGACAAUAUUCUCCCUUCUCGUUGCUAUGCAUCACCUUGAUCUUGCGUGUGCGUAGGAAUUUUUUUGAAAUUACUACGUUCCCCAAUAGUGGCAUCCGAGCCUAGGUUUUAUGCGUUGAUGUUAUUUGCACGAGUAGAACACGAGUGAGUUGUGGGCGAUACAAGUCAUACUGCUUACCAGCAUGUCAUACUUUGGCUCAGCGGUAUUGUGAGAUGAAGCGGCCCGGACCGACAUUACGUGUACGCUUACGCGAGACUAGUUUCACCCUUACGAGCACUCGUGCUUAAAGGUGACUGGAGGGUGUCUAUCUCACUCACUUUAGUUGAACCGAGUGUGGCUACGCCCGGUCCUUGCGAAGGUUAAAACAACACUAACUUGACGAACUAUCGUUGUGGUUUUGAUGCGUAGGUAAUAACGGUUCUUGCUUAGCCCGUAGCAGCAACAUAAAAUUUGCAACAACAAAGUAGAGGACGUCUAACUUGUUUUUGCAGGGCAUGUUGUGAUGUGACAUGGUCAAGACGUGAUGCUAUAUUUUAUUGUAUGACAUGAUCAUGUUUUGUAACCGAAGUUAUCGGCAACUGGCAGGAGCCAUAUGGUUGUCCCUUUAUUGUAUGAAAUGCAAACGCCCUGUAAUUGCUUUACUUUAUCACUAAGCGGUAGCGAUAGUCGUAGAAGCAAUACAUGGCGUAACGACAACGAUGCUACGAUGGAGAUCAAGGUGUCGCGUCGGUGACGAUGGUGAUCACGACGGUGCUUCGGAGAUGGAGAUCACAAGCACAAGAUGAUGAUGGCCAUAUCAUAUCACUUAUAUUGAUUGCAUGUGAUGUUUAUCCUUUAUGCAUCUUAUCUUGCUUUGAUUGACGGUAGCAUUUUAAGAUGAUCUCUCACUAAAAUUAUCAAGAAGUGUUCUCCCUGAGUAUGCACCGUUGUGAAAGUUCUUCGUGCUGAGACACCACGUGAUGAUCGGGUGUGAUAGGCUCUACGUUCAAAUACAACGGGUGCAAAACAGUUGCACACGCGGAAUACUCAGGUUAAACUUGACGAGCCUAGCAUAUAACAGAUAUGGCGUCGGAACACGGAGACCGAAAGGUCGAGCGUGAAUCAUAUAGUAGAUAUGAUCAACAUAUUGAUGUUCACCGUUGAAACUACUCCAUCUCACGUGACGAUCGGACAUGGUGUAGUUGAUAUGGAUCACGUAAUCACUUAGAGGAUUAGAGGGAUGUCUAUCUAAGUGGGAGUUCUUAAGUAAUAUGAUUAAUUGAACUUAAAUUUAUCAUGAACUUAGUCCUAGAAGUAUUUUGCAAAUUAUGUUGUAGAUCAAUAGCUUGCAUUGUUGCUUUCAUAUGUUUAUUUUGAUAUGUUCCUAGAGAAAAUUGUGUUGAAAGAUGUUAGUAGCAAUGAUGCGGAUUGGAUCCGUGAUCUGAGGUUUAUCCUCAUUGCUGCACAGAAGAAUUAUGUCCUUGAUGCACCGCUAGGUGACAGACCUAUUGCAGGAGCAGAUGCAGACGUUAUGAACGUUUGGCUAGCUCAAUAUGAUAACUACUUGAUAGUUUAGUGCACCAUGCUUAACGGCUUAGAAUCGGGACUUCAAAGACGUUUUGAACGUCAUGGACCAUAUGAGAUGUUCCAGGAGUUGAAGUUAAUAUUUCCAGCAAAUACCCGAGUUGAGAGAUAUGAAGUCUCCAACAAGUUCUAUAGCUAAAAGAUGGAGGAGAAUCGCUCAACUAGUGAGCAUGUGCUCAGAUUGUCUGGGUACUUCAAUCGCUUGAAUCAAGUGGGAGUUAAUCUUCCAGAUAAGAUAGUGAUUGACAGAAUUCUCUAGUCACUAUCACUAAAGUUACUAGAACUUCGUGAUGAACUAUAGUAUGCAAGGGAUGACAAAAACGAUUCCCGAGCUCUUCGUGAUGUUGAAAUCGACGAAGGUAGAAAUCAAGAAAGAGCAUCUAGUGUUGAUGAUUGACAAGACCACUAGUUUCAAGAAAAGGGCAAAGGGAAAGAAAGGGAAACUUCAAGUAGAAUGGCAAACAAGUUGUCACUCCCAUGAAGAAGACCAAAGCUGGACCAAAGCCGGAAACUGAGUGCUUACACUGCAACAGAAAUGGUCACUGGAAGCGGAAAUGCCCUGAAUAUUUGGUGGAUAAGAAGGAUGGCAAAGUGAACAAGGGUAUAUAUGAUAUACAGGUUAUUGAUGUGUGCCUUGCUAGUGUUUAUAGUAGCCCCUGAGUAUUUGAUACUUGUUCGGUUGCUAAGAUUACUAACUCGAAACAGGAGUUACAGAAUAAACAGAGACUAGUUGAAGGGAAGUGACGAUGGGUGUUGGAUGUAGUUCCAAGAUUGAUAUGAUCAUCAUCGCACACUCCCUAUACUUUCGGGAUUAGUGUUAAACCUAAAUAAAUGUUAUUUAGCGUUUGCGUUGAGCAUGAAUAUGAUUUGAUCAUGUUUAUUGCAAUACGGUUAUUCAUUUAAAGUCAGAGAAUAAUUGUUGUUCUGUUUACAUGAAUAAAACCUUCAAUGGUCAUACACCCAAUGAAAAUAGUUUGUUGGACCUCGAUCAUAGUGAUACACAUAUUCAUAAUAUUGAUGCCAAAAGAUGCAAAGUUAAUAAUGAUAGUGCAACUUAUUUGUGGCACUGCCGUUUGGGUCAUAUCGGUGUAAAGCGCAUGAAGAAACUCCAUAAAGAUGGAUUUUCGGAAUUACCUGGUUAUGAAUCAUUUGAUCCUUGCGAACCGUGCCUUUGGGCGAGAUGACUAAAACUCCGUUCUUCGGAACAAUGGAACGAGCAACAAACUUGUUGGAAAUAAUACAUAAUGAUGUAUGCGUGACCAAUGAGUAUUAAGGCUCAUGGUGGGUAUCGUUAUUUUCUGACCUUCACAGAUGAUUUGAGCAGAUAUGGGUAUAUCUACUUGAUGAAACAUAAAUCUGAAAUUGUUGAAAGGUUCAAAGAAUUUCAGAGUGAAGUGGAAAAAUCAUCGUAACAAGAAAAUAAAGUUUCAAUGAUGUGAUCGCAGAGACAAAUAUUUGAGUUACGAGUUUGGUCUUCAAUUAAAACAAUGUGGAAUAGUUUCACAGCUCACGCCACCUGGAACAUCACAAUGUUAUGGUGUGUCCGAACGUCGUAACCGCACUUUAUUGGAUAUGGUGCGAUCUAUGAUGUCUCUUACUGAUUACCACUAUUGUUUUGGGGUUAUGCAUUAGAGACAGCUGCAUUCACGUUAAAAGGGCACCAUCUAAAUCCGUUGAGACGACACCAUAUGAACUGUGGUUUAGCAAGAAACCCAAGUUGUCAUUUCUUAAAGUUUGGGGCUGCAAUGCUUAUGUGAAAAAGUUUCAUCCUGAUAAGCUCAAACCCAAAUUGGAGAAGUACAUAUUCAUAGAAUACCCAAAGGAAACUGUUGGGUACACCUUCUAUCACAGAUCCGAAGGCAAGAUAUUCGUUGCUAAAAAUGGAUCCUUUCUAGAGAAGGAGUUACUCUCGAAAGAAGUGAGUGGGAGGAAAGUAGAACUUGAUGAGGUAACUGUACCUGCUCCCUUAUUGGAAAGUAGUUCAUCACAAGAACCGGUUCCUGUGACAACUACACCAAUUAGCGAGGAAGCUAAUGAUAUUGAUCAUGGAACUUCAGAUCAAGUUUCUACUGAACCUCGUAGGUCUACCAGAGUAAGAUCCGCACCAAAGUGGUACGGUAAUACUGUUCUAGAAGUCAUGUUACUAGACCAUGAUGAACCUAGGAACUAUGAGGAAGCGAUGAUGAGCCCAGAUUCCGCGAAAUGGCUUGAGGCCAUAAAAUCUGAGAUAUGAUCCAUGUAUGAGAACAAAGUAUGGACUUUGAUUGACUUGCUCGAUGAUCAGCAAGCCAUGUUAAAUAAAUGGAUCUUCAAGAGGAAGACGGACACUGAUAGUAGUGUUACUAUCCACUAAGCUCGAGUUGUUGCAAAAGGUUUUCAACAAGUUCAAGGGGUUGAAUAUGAUGAGAUUUUCUCACUCGUAUCGAUGCUUAAGUCUAUCCGAAUCAUGUUAGCAAUUGCCACAUUUUAUGAACUCUGGCAAAUGGAUGUCAAAACUGCAUUCCUUAAUGGAUUUAUUAAAGAAGAGUUGUAUAUGAUGCAAUCAGAAGGUUUUGCCAAUCCUAAAUAUGCUAACAAAGUGUGCAAGCUCCAGCAAUCCAUCAAUGGACUGGUGGAAGCAUCUCGAAGUUGGAAUAUACGCUUUGAUGAGUGGAUCAAAGCAUAUGGCUUUAUACAGACUUUUGGAAAGGCCUGUAUUUACAAGAAAGUGAGUGGGAGCACUACAGCCUUUCUGAGUGGAUCAAAGUAUAUGUAAAUGACAUAUUAUUAAUUGGAAAUGAUGUAGAAUUUUCUAGAAAGCAUAAAGGAAUGUUUGAAAGGAGUUUUUCAAAGAAAGACCUCGGUGGAACUGCUUACACAUUGAGCAUCAAGAUCUAUAUAGAUAGAUCAAGACGCUUGAUAAGUUUUUUCAAUGAGUACAUACCUUGAUAAAAUUUUGAAGUAGUUCAAAAUGGAACAGUCAAAGAAGGAGUUCUUGCCUGUGUCGCAAGGUGUGAAAGUGAGUAAGACUCAAAUCCCGACCACGGCAGAAAAUAGAAAAGAGAAUGAAAAGUCAUUCCCUAUGCCUCAGUCAUAGGUUCUAUAAAGUAUGCUAUGCUGUGUACCAGACCUAUUGUAUACCUUGCUCUGAGUUUGGCAAAGGAAUACAAUUUUGAUCUAAUAGUAGAUCAUUGGACAGCGGUCAAGAAUAUCCUUAGUGAGGACUAAGGAAAUAUUUCUCGAUAAUGGAAGUGAUAAAAGAGCUCAUCGUAAAAGGUUACAACUAUGCAAGCUUUUACACCAAUCCAGAUGUCACUAAGUCUCAAUUUGGAUACAUAUUGAAAGUGGGAGCAAUUAGCUAGAGUAGCUCCGUGCAGAGCAUUGUAGACAUAGAAUAUUUGCAAAAUACAUACGGCUCUCAAUGUGACAGACCCGUUGACUAAGCUUCUCUCACGAGAAAAACAUGAUCACACCUCAGUACUCUUUGGGUGUUAAUCACAUAGCUAUGUGAACUAGAUUAUUGACUCUAGUAAACCCUUUGGUUGUUAGUCACAUGAUGAUAUGAACUAUGGGUGUUAAUCAUAUACAGAUAUGAAUAUUAGUGUUAAAUCACAUGGCGAUGUGAACUAGAUUAUUGACUCUAGUGCAAGUGGGAGACUGAAGGAAAUAUGCCCUAGGGGCAACAAUAAAGUUAUUAUUUAUUUCCUUAUUUCAUGAUAAAUGUUAAUUAUUCAUGCUAGAAUUGUAUUAACCAGAAACGUAAUACAUGUGUGAAUACAUAGACAAACAUAGUGUCACUAGUAUGCCUCUACUUGACUAGCUCGUGAAUCAAAGAUGGUUAAGUUUCCUAGCCAUAGACAUGAGUUGUCAUUUGAUUGACGAGAUCACAUCAUUAGGAGAAUGAUGUGAUUGACUUGACCCAUUCCGUUAGCUUAGCACUUGAUCGUUUAGUAUGUUGCUAUUGCUUUCUUCAUGACUUAUACAUGUUCCUAUGACUAUGAGAUUAUGCAACUCCCGUUUACCGGAGGAACACUUUGUGUGCUAUCAAACGUCACAACGUAACUGGGUGAUUAUAAAGGAGCUCUACAGGUGUCUCUGAAGGUACAUGUUGGGUUGGCGUAUUUCGAGAUUAGGAUUUGUCACUCUGAUUGUCGGAGAGGUAUCUCUGGGUCCUCUCGGUAAUGCACAUCACUAUAAGCCUUGCAAGCAAUGUAGCUAAUGAGUUAGUUACAGAAUGAUGCAUUACGUAACGAGUAAAGAGACUUGCCGGUAACGAGAUUGAACUAGGUAUUGGAUACCGAUGAUUGAAUCUCGGGCAAGUAACAUACCGAUGACAAAGGGAACAACGUAUGUUGUUAUGCGGUUUGACCGAUAAAGAUCUUCGUAGAAUAUGUAGGAGCCAAUAUGAGCAUCUAGGUUCCGCUAUUGGUUAUUGACCGAGAAUAGUUGUAGGUCAUGUCUACAUAGUUCUCGAACCUGUAGGGUCCGCACGCUUAAGGUUUCGAUGACAGUUUUAAUAUGAGUUUAUGAGUUUUGAUGUACCGAAGGAGUUCAGAGUCCCGGAUGAGAUUGGGGACAUGACGAGGAGUCUCGAAAUGGUCGAGACGUAAAGAUCGAUAUAUUGGACGACUAUAUUCGGACCUCGGAAAGGUUCCGAGUGAUUCGGGUAUUUUUCGGAGUACCGGAGAGUUAGGGAAUUCGCCGGGAGAAGUAUUGCGCCUUAUUGGGCCAUACGGGAAAGAGAGAGGGGCUGCCUAGGGCAGGCUGCGCGCCCCCCCAAGGCCUAGUACAAAUUGGACUAGGGGGAGGGGCUGCACCCCCUCCUUCCUUCCCUUCUCUCUUCCCUUUCCUUCUCUCCUACUCCUACUACAUGGAAGGGCUCCUAGUUCUACUAGGAAAGGGGGGAUCCUACUCCCGGUGGGAGUAGGACUCCCCUAGGGCGUUCCAUAGAGAGGGCCGGCCCUCCCCCUCCUCCACUCCUUUAUAUACGGGGGCAGCGGGCACCCCAUAGACACACAAGUUGAUCUUCAAGAUCGUUCCUUAGCCGUGUGCGGUGCCCCCCUCCACCAUAUUCCACCUCGGUCAUAUCGUUGCGGAGUUUAGGCGAAGCCCUGCGCCAGUAGAACAUCAUCAUCAUCACCACGCCAUCAUGCUGACGGAACUCAUCCCCGACACUUUGCUGGAUCGGAGUCCGGGGAUCGUCAUCGAGCUGAACAUGUGCUGAACUCGGAGGUGCCGUACGUUCGGUACUUGGAUCGGUCGGAUCGUGAAGACGUACGACUACAUCAACCGUGUUGUCAUAACGCUUCCGCUUAUGGUCUACGAGGGUAUGUGGACAAUAUUCUCCCUUCUCGUUGCUAUGCAUCAUCAUGAUCCUGCGUGUGCGUAGGAAAUUUUUUGAAAUUAAUAUGUUCCCCAACAGUUACGUGUACCUCAAAUUGAAGAUGCCUGGUCCCAAGGGUGUGAUCACCAUUACUGGCAAUCGGAAAAAGGUAGAAGAGUGCUUUCAGAAGGGCUCAAAGAUCGCCGAUGCUCAGAUAACAGUGGUAGAGCUGCAGGAAUACCAGAAAACUGCAGAUCCGAGUGAUUUAUUGCGGGCCAAGAAGCCCGCCACAGUGUCAGUGUUCCAGUCGUCUGGUGAGACGAAGCCCGUUCACAUUCACCGGACUGACCCCAGUGCUGCUCCGACUCAUAUCUCCACAACACUCGACUCUAAAUAGGAAGAAGCGCUCAUCCAGUUCCUCCGUGAGAACUGGGACAUCUUCGCAUGAAAGCCUGCUGACAUGUCGGGUGUUCCCAGGGGGCUGGCUGAGCAUCAUCUACGAGUCGACUCAAAAGUGAAACCUGUCAAAGAAUAUCUUCGACGGUCCGCCCUCCAGAAGAGAAAGGCCAUCGGCAAGGAGGUGGCUCGGCUCCUGGCAGCAGAGUUUAUACGAGAGAUUUACCACUCCGAGUGGCUCGCCAAUGUUGUCAUGGUCCCCAAGAAGGACAAGUCACUUCGCAUGUGCAUUAAUUUCAAACAUAUCAAUCGGGCCUACCCGAAAGAUCAUUUUCCUCUCCCCCGUAUCGACCAAAUAGUCGACUCGACUGCGGGAUUUGAGCGCCUGUCUUUUUUAGACGCCUAUUCCGGUUACCAUCAGAUCCGUCUGUAUGGACCCGACGAGAUCAAAACAACUUUCAUCACUCCAUUUGGGUGCUUCUGCUAUGUCACCAUGCCAUUCGGCCUCAAGAAUGCCGGAGCCACGUUCAUGAGGAUGAUUCAGAAGUGUUUACUCACUCAAAUCAGUCGGAAUGUGGAAGCAUACAUGGAUGAUAUUGUGGUCAAAUCAUGGAAGGGUUCCGACCUGUUGACUCACCUUGCUGAAACAUUUGCCAAUCUCAGGAGGUAUGAUAUCAAGCUUAAUCCAUCAAAGUGUACAUUCGGAGUUCCUGGCGGAAAGUUACUCGGUUUUCUCGUUUCCGAACGAGGAAUCAACGCCAACCCAGAAAAAGUUGGCACUAUACUCCGAAUGAAACGUCAUGUGCAUGUGCACGAUGUACAGAAGCUUACUGGAUGCUUGGCCGCUUUAAGUCGAUUCAUCUCUCGUCUUGGUGAAAAGGCAUUGCCUCUUUACCGACUGAUGAAGAAGUCAGACAAGUUCGAGUGGAGUCUAGAAGCUGAUGCAGCGUUUGCAGAGCUAAAAGCUCUGCUCUCCACCCAGCCGGUGCUUGCUGCCCCAAUCAGCAAAGAGCCUUUGCUGCUUUACAUUGCAGCCAAAGGACAAGUCGUCAGUACAGUACUUACGAUCGAGCGGGAAGAAGAAGGGAAAGCCUUCAAAGUUCAGCGCCCAGUAUAUUAUCUUUCCGAAGUGUUGACCCCAUCGAAGCAGAGAUACCCUCAUUAUCAGAAGCUUGUAUAUGGGAUUUAUAUGACCACGAAGAAGGUUGCUCAUUAUUUCUCUGAUCAUUCCAUUACAGUCGUCAGCGACGCCCCAUUAUCAGAGAUUCUGCACAACAGAGAUGCAACUGGUCGAGUGGCAAAAUGGGCGAUUGAACUCCUUCCCCUUGAUAUCAUGUUUGAGGCAAAUAAAGCCAUCAAGUCCCAAGCUGUAGUAGAUUUCAUCGCCGAGUGGAUUGAACAGCAGCUACCGACUCAAGUUCACUCGGAGCACUGGACCAUGUUCUUUGAUAGUUCUAAGAUGCUGAAUGGUUCCGGUGCUGGGGUGGUGUUGGUUUCCCCCCGAGGAGAUAAGCUCAGAUAUGUGCUCCAGAUCCACUUUGAUUCCUCCAACAAUGAAGCAGAAUACAAAGCACUUUUGUAUGGGUUGCGUAUGGGCAUUUCACUCGGCGUCCGUCGCCUUAUGGUUUAUGGUGACUCAGAUUUGGUGUUCAAUCAGGUGAUGAAGGAGUGGGACCUCAGAAGCCCAGCCAUGACUGGUUACUGCAAUGCAGUGAGAAAGCUUGAGAAGAAAUUUGAAGGGUUAGAGCUCCAUCAUAUACCCCGACUUAAAAAUCAAGCGGCUGAUGAUUUGGCAAAGAUAGGUUCCAAGAGAGAAGCCAUUCCCAGUAAUGUGUUUUUGGAACACAUCCAUACUCCAUCAGUUCAAGAGGAUCCUUUCACCGAAGAAGCUCCACAGCCAAAAAGUGUCACAGAUCUGACUGAAGUUGAAGUUCCAGCGGUGGUCGACCUGAUCAUGGAAGCUUUGGUCAUCACUCCCGACUGGACAGGGCUAUACAUCGCGUAUAUCCUAAGGAAAGAGCUCCCAGAGAAUGAAGAAGAGGCUCGACAGAUCGUCUGUCGAUCCAAAGCCUUUACCGUGAUAAAGGGACAGUUGUACAGAGAAAGCGCGACUGGAGUCGGUCAGAAAUGUAUAACGCCAGAAGAAGGUCGGAUAAUCCUUGAUGAUAUCCACUCGGGGACCUGUGGUCAUCAUGCGUCCUCUCGAACCAUUGUGGCUAAAGCAUACCGAGCAGGAUUUUACUGGCCAAGAGCAAAUGAAAUGGCACAGGAGAUAGUCGACAAGUGUGAAGGAUGUCAGUUUUACUCCAAUCUAUCGCACAAACCCGCCUCAGCCUUGAAGACCAUCCCACUAGUCUGGCCCUUCGCUGUUUGGGGGUUAGAUAUGAUUGGACCACUGAGAACUGGCAGGAGCAGCUUCACUCACUUGCUAGUAGCAGUCGACAAGUUUACCAUUGAAGCUAAGCCUAUCAAGAAUCUGGAUGCUGGCACUGCUAUCAGCUUCAUCAGAGAGUUGGUUUUUAGAUAUGGAGUUCCACAUAGCAUCAUCACUGAUAAUGGGUCAAACUUCGAUUUCGACGAAUUCAGAGCCUUUUGCGCCUCUCGGGGCACACGAGUCGACUACGCUUCAGUCGCUCACCCCCAGUCGAAUGGUCAAGCAGAAAGAGCAAAUGAUCUAAUUCUCAAAGGACUGAAACCCCGGUUGAUGCGCGAUCUUAAGCAUGCAGCAGGAGCGUGGGUCGACGAACUUCCUUCAGUUCUUUGGGGAUUGAGGACCACUCCUAACUAGUCGACUGGGCGAACUCCAUUCUUUUUUGUUUAUGGAGCUGAAGCAGUCUUGCCGAGUGACCUGCUUCACAAUGCACCCCGAGUCGAACUCUACACUGAAGAUGAAGCAGAGCAAGCCCAGCAAGACGUAGUUGACCUUCUAGAAGAAGAAAGAGAGAUGUCCAUGGUCCGAUCGACUAUCUAUCAGCAGGACUUGCGUCGAUUUCAUGCCAGAAACGUGAAGAGUUGAGCCUUCCAAGAAGGAGAUUUGGUUCUCCGAGUGGAUCAACAGAAGCCACACAAGCUCGCUCCUACUUGGGAAGGUCCCUUUAUCGUCACCAAAGUCCUCCACAAUGGAGUGUACCGUCUUUACAAUGUCGGUCACUAGAUUGAUGAGCCUCGAGCUUGGAACGCGGAGCUGCUCCGCCCCUUUUAUACUUAAGUAUUCACUCGGAUGAGAUGUAAUAAAAGUACUUUUGUAGUUUAUUUAUCAAAGACAAGAGUGUUAUAAUUUUCCCCAGUGAUUGUUGUUACUUUUGUUUACAUGAGAAAUCCCGCAGUGGGUGGCUUAGCUACGAAUCCGUUUCGCCUAAGUUUGUAAAAAAAAUCCUUGCCGAGUGCUGAGCCAGCCUCCCACUCGGAGGCUUAGCUACGAAUCCGUUUUGCCUAAGUACUUUAAAAUCCUACCAAGUGAUGAGCCAGUCUCUCACUCGGAGGCUUAGCUGCAGUCCAGUACUCGCCUAAGUGUUUAAAAUCCUACCAAGUGGUGAGCCAGCCUCACACUCGGAGGCUUAGCUGCAGUCCAAGUACUCGCCUAAGUGUUUGAAAUCCUACCGAGUGAUGAGCCAGUAUCUCACUCGGAGGCUUAGCUGCAGUCCAGUACUCGCCUAAGUAUUUAAUACAGUGUGCGCUCCGCAAGGAGGACGAGGUGCAGGUCGACUGCUACCUUCUCCUUCCGAGCUACGCCACAAAUACAACGUGCGCUCUGCAAGGACGAUGAGGUGCAGGUCGACUGCUACCUUCUCCUUCGGAGCUACGCCGCAAAAAAUCCUACCGAGUGGAGAGCAAACCUCCCACUUGGGGGCUUAGCUGCAGCUCAGUGCUCGCCUAAGUAUCUGAAAAUCCUACCGAGUGGAGAGCAAACCUCCCACUCGGGGGCUUAGCUGCGGCCCAGUGCUCGCCUAAGUAUCUGAAAAUCCUACCGAGUGGAGAGCAAACCUCCCACUCGGGGGCUUAGCUGCAGCUCAGUGCUCACCUAAGUAUCUGACAAUCCUACCGAGUGGAGAGCAAAUCUCCCACUCUGAGGCUUAGCUGCAGCCCAGUGCUCACCUAAGUGUCUGACAAUCCUACCGNNNNNNNNNNNNNNNNNNNNNNNNNNNNNNNNNNNNNNNNNNNNNNNNNNNNNNNNNNNNNNNNNNNNNNNNNNNNNNNNNNNNNNNNNNNNNNNNNNNNNNNNNNNNNNNNNNNNNNNNNNNNNNNNNNNNNNNNNNNNNNNNNNNNNNNNNNNNNNNNNNNNNNNNNNNNNNNNNNNNNNNNNNNNNNNNNNNNNNNNNNNNNNNNNNNNNNNNNNNNNNNNNNNNNNNNNNNNNNNNNNNNNNNNNNNNNNNNNNNNNNNNNNNNNNNNNNNNNNNNNNNNNNNNNNNNNNNNNNNNNNNNNNNNNNNNNNNNNNNNNNNNNNNNNNNNNNNNNNNNNNNNNNNNNNNNNNNNNNNNNNNNNNNNNNNNNNNNNNNNNNNNNNNNNNNNNNNNNNNNNNNNNNNNNNNNNNNNNNNNNNNNNNNNNNNNNNNNNNNNNNNNNNNNNNNNNNNNNNNNNNNNNNNNNNNNNNNNNNNNNNNNNNNNNNNNACUCGGGGGCUUAGCUGCAGCGCAGUGCUCGCCUAAGUAUCUGAAAAUCCUACCAAGUGGAGAGCAAACCUCCCACUCGGAGGCUUAGCUGCAGCCCAGUGCUCGCCUAAGUGUCUGAAAAUCCUACCGAGUGGAGAGCAAACCCCCCACUCGGGGGCUUAGCUGCAGCCCAGUGCUCGCCUAAGUAUCUGAAAAUCCUACCGAGUGGAGAGCAAACCUCCCACUCGGGGGCUUAGCUGCAGCCCAGUGCUCGCCCAAGUAUCUGUAAAUCCCACUGAGUGGAGAGCAAUCCUCCCACUCGGGGGCUUAGCUGCAGCCCAGUGCUCGCCUAAGUACUUAAUCUAUUCCGCUCUACAAGGAUGACGAGGCGCAGGUCGAUCGUAACCUUCUCCCUCUAAGAUACGCCACAAAUACAAUGUGCACUCCAUUUGUGCUCCAUCCUUACCUGCAAAAGGCGGUGAAGUGCAGGUCGACUGGGCUUUCCACCUCAGAGCUGCGUCUCAAGCAUUAAAAUAUAUUCCGAGUGAAGAAGAAAGUUUGCUCGAAGGCAAAUGCAAGCAUAUUCAACGAUAAGCAAAGUUUAGAUAACGGAUUCAAAGGUACUCAGGCGUCAAGCCUGCAGAAGUUUAUCGGUUACAAAAACCACUCGGCAUUCCGAGGCAAAUUUAAGGUGAAGCAUAGAAGUUUUUUACUCCUCAGGUGGAGGACUGGAAGGCGCAAUAAACUGUUCAAGGUCGAUUCCAUCUGCAAUCCGAGUGGCAGCAACAAUUAAGGUCUCCAUGAAAGAUUGGAAGUCAUGCUUCUUGGUAUUAUCCACCCUGAUGGACGCCAGCUUGUCCUCUCGAGCAUCCUUGCAGUGAACACGUACCAGGGACAGAGCAACAUCAGCACCACACCUGGCGGAAGACUUCUUCCAUUCCUGCACUCGACCUGGAACGUCAUUCAGUCGAGUCAUUAAAGACUCGAGGUCAUUUUGAAGCGUCUCUCUUGGCCAGAGUGUCGUGUCGAUCCGCGACACCGCAACCUUCAGUCGAGCGAGGUAGUACACCACACCAGAAAUGCGAGAUUCCAGUCGGAACACGUUCAUAGCAGCCUCGUCCUUCAUAGGAGAGUUGAUGGGAUCCAAGUUUUUCUCCAGCCGACUGGUCUCCUCCUCGAAGUUUUGACAGAAUUCUGUAAGCACAGUUUGAGGUUAAACCAACAGUCCAACAAUGAGUCGACGAUAACGAGUCAGUCGGAUAAAAGAGAUUACCUUCAAGCAUGAGGAAUAACUUCUUGGCGAGUCCUUCCAGAUAAGCCUCCAGAUCAUUUUUCUUCCCCAUCAGUUCGCUGGCCUUGUCACUCAGAGCUAUCUUGUCAUUCUUCAGUCGGCUGACCUCCUUGUUGGCCGCGUCGAGAGCAGCUUUCAGACUGGUGUUUUCCUCUUCGAGUUUACUGACUGAAGCCAGCUUUUCUUCUGCCAAUGUCUUGUCCGAAGCCGCUUUAUGCGCCUCAGCGAGGUCAAGGUCCUUCUUCUUCAGAGCCUCCUUCAGUUUAUCUGCAAAGUGACAAUGAGAUCAGAAUCAGGAAUGGACAAAAAAAAGACAAUCGUCAAGAUUCUCACCAAACAUACCUUUUGCCUCCUCCUUCGCCUUCAUGAAGUUCUCCUGGACAAGCUUCAAGUCAAGUUCGAGCUGGAUAUGUUUGUUCUCCAACUCAGUAUAACGAGCCACGAGCUCGCAAGAUUUCUGCGAAAGAUUAGUCGACAGACAUCAAAGAUAGGUCACUUCCGAGUGACUAAGAGAAAAAUCGUAGCAUUUCUAAGACUAGAGCCGACUCAAAAUAUUCAAGUGUAGUCUCGGGGACUACACCCAGUGGGUGCACUCAGCAUGCCCCCACUGGUUCUACCGACUCGGUUCGAUCAGUCGAACGAAAGAGACAGAAAGUUAUGAUCCUAAACCAUAGCUAACUGAUAGCAGUCAGCCACAAAAAAAAGAUGUUCUUCAGACCAUAGUCGACUGCCAGCAGUCGACCAUGGUGUCGGGGACUACACCCAGUGGGUGCACUCAGCGUGCCCCCACUGGUUCCAAGAUUCCACUCGACCAGAUCGAGUGGAGAACUUAGAGUGAACAAAUUCAAAGUAUAGAGACUACAGUCGACUGCCAGCAGUCCACCAUAGUAUCGGGGACUACACCCAGUGGGUGCACACAGCGUGCCCCCACCAAUUCAAACAGUCAAUUGACACACCUAGUGGGUGUAUAGAUACUAAGAUCUUCAGAAAGAAGAGUUUUCAGGUACCAUAUCCUAACAGAACAAGCGGACACCAACUAACCUGAACAUUACUCUAAAGAGCUGAGCUUGCAUCAUAAGCUACUUGGCUGGCGUCUCGGAUUGCCUUCACUUGCUCCAUCAUGACCCCCGCCUGGCGUAUAGCCUCCUUAGCAGCACUUGCUUGGUCCUCUGGGACGUGGUAUGUGGCGAAAAGGGAAGGCGGAUCAGCACUCGACGAUGAAGGACGAGCACUCGUAAGUGGCACAGCAAAGGACACGGUAGUCCGAGUGACGUUGCCUCCCUCCGGAACCAGCGUCUCAGGUGCUGAUACAACCUGAGCAGUCUUACCAGCAAGCGCCUUCUUGUUCCUCCUUUGCCUCAGUGGCUCCUCAUCAUCAUCAUCAGGGAGAUCAAUGACAUGAGGUGGGGCUACAGGAAAGAUUCAAAGUUAAAAAUGAAGAUCCCAUCGACCAAAAGCGAAACUACAGAGAUUGUACCAGGGUUGGAAGUGGCAGCAUCUUCCAUUUCUUGGUCCUCUUUCCUGACUGAGGUUUCAGAGGUAGCAGCACUGCAGAUUCCAGAAAUCAGUCGGUUAGCCAACGAGUCAAUCAAGAGUUUAUUCGUGCCAAACAAGAAAACACAAGUACUGCUAUUACUCGGAAAUAGUGGGAAUCACCAUCCUCAUCUUCGGCAGUGCCUUCGUCGGCUUCGAUGAUGUCACUCGGAGUUGCUUCGGCGCUUUCUCAGUCGGCACCAGAGAGGUCGUCCGAAGGCGUUUCAUCGACUGUCCAAUAGGCACAGUCGCUUUGCCACGCUCGACUGCGGGGUCAUGGGCGAGCUUGGGUCGCCUUUCAGUGCAGGGAGGGACGACUUCCUCCUCCUCUUCCUCCUCCUCCACCUCUUCAUCAGAGUCGUCGUCUUCUUCAUCCUCCUCACCAUCAGAUUGCCACUCUUCCUGACUUUCACCUCUGCUUCCCUCCUCCUCCUCGAUCUGUUCUUGCGCCCCGUUGGGCAUCGAAUACAUCUCAAUAGUAACCUGGAAGACAACAAACAAGACAAAAGUCAGUCGACCGAUGUUAAGCAUACAGGUUGGAGAAAGUAGGAUCACAGUCGAAGAUAUAUAAUUAGGACCUUGUCUGGCUCGUACGAUUGGUCAAGUGGAGGGAUCCUCCUGGCUCCUCGGGGGUUGUCUUUGUUUCCUGUGAUGGCAGUCAUCCACCUCUCCAGUGUGGCAUUCUCGACCUCCUAUGGAUGGACCCGAGUGGUGUCUUCAGUGCCAGAAUACAUCCACAUCGGAUGGUCUCGAUAUUGAAGUGGAUGUAUGCGUCAUCGAAGGAAAACCUCCAGUAGAUCCAUGCCAGUCACCCCAUCACGGAUGAGCUGGACUACACGCUCGACCAACACCUUAACCUGAGCCUUCUCCUCCGGGACCACCUUCAGAGAGGACGGCUUGCUCACUCGAUCCAUGGAGAAAGGAGGGAGUCCAGUCGACUGCCCUGGCGUCGGCUGGUCUUGGCAGUAGAACCAGGUCGACUACCACCCUCGGACCGACUCAGGAAGGACCAUGGCUAGAAAAGCACUUUUACCCCUCAUUUGAACCCCAAGACCCCCACACAUCUGAAUCACUUGGGUUUUCUCGUCACUCGGAUUGGCCUUUUUCACCGUCUGGGAGCGAGAGGUUAAAAUGUGUUUGAAAAGGCCCCAAUGGGGUCGACAACCCAAGAAAUUCUCACACAAGGACACGAAAGCUGCGAGAUAUACUAUGGAGUUGGGGUGUGAAGUGGUGGAGUUGUGCCCCAAUGAAGUUCAGAAAUCCCCGAAAGAAAGGGUGGGGCGGCAAAGAAAAUCCGCGGUCAACAUGGGUGGCCAAGAGGACACACUCACCCUCCCGAGGCUGCGGCUGUCACUCCUUCCCCGAGAGCCUCGCUGGUCCAUGGGGGAUCAGCCCUUCGUUGGCCAGGUCGUCGAGAUCCUUCUGGCGGAUGGUCGAGCGGAUCCAGUCGCCCUAGAUCCAGCCCUGCGGCAGACCGGCCCGCGACGGGGAUCCACCCUGACUGGUCGCCCUUCCCUUCGCCUUCGCCGUCGCCUUCUUCGCCUGCUCCAAAGCCAACGUCUUCUCCUUCACCAUCGUCGCCGGCGAAGCACACACAGAGCAGCAGCGCUGGGAUGGUGGCGAGCGCAGCAGAUGAAUCUGAGGAAGAGGGAGAGGAAAAUGAGGGCGCAUUGUUCAAAAACCCCCGUCGGGCGCCUUAUAUGGGGUUACUUCCGAGUGACUAACUGGUAGGCCCAGACGAUCCUGUCAAAUCCCGCAACAAUCGCGCGCACGAUACGUGGCGAAAAAGGUGGCGCAAAGAUCGAGGCGUUCCUGCCUUAUCCCAUCCGAGUACCGCGGCCUCCUCCGCCUUGCGCGCUUCCUGAAAUUCAGAUCCCGCUAAAUCCGCGAACAGCAGAGCAACUUGUCAGACUGAAGAUUUCCUCCGAUCCGUCGAUCGGAGAACGACAGUACAGAAAAGUCACUCGACAGAUACAAAGAAUGGAUCAAGGCGACUGAAAAAGAAGUUGGUGCCGUCACCUAAAGUCAUUGGUCCAGAACAAGACAUACUCAUAGCACAAAAAACAGAUCGGAAGAAUUCUCAACUCCUUCCUCACUCAAACCUCGAUCCAUUAGGGGGCUAAUGAUGAAGCCAUGUACCUAGGAUAGGGUCAUGGACAUUUCCAAAGUACCCUCCCCAAGGACAUCCCUAGAAGAAACUACCUUUUCAGUCGACCUGGAAGGAUUCCACUCGACGGACUCGAAGACACUCGACCAUGAAGCCACUCACUCGACCACCAGGAGAUCUAGAGUCACUCUGCACACAAACGGUCUGUCAUUAAGUAGUCUUUAUGGUCAUGAUAGCACUUUAUGUAUGGCGUUACCAGUAACGUCAGGCCUUAAUGCACUUUAAACCCUGCAUAACUGAGGGCCAGAGGGAUCUGGCGAACUCUAUAUAAGCCACCCCCCUCCUCAGUGUAAAGGGUUCGCGCCCCUGUAACUCAUACGCAUAUAAUCCAGUCGACCGCCUCCGGGCUCCGAGACGUAGGGCUAUUACUUCCUCCGAGAAGGGCCUGAACUCGUAAAUCUCUUGCGUAUACAACUACUCCAUAGCUAGGAUCUUGCCUCUCCAUACCUACCCCCUAUUCUACUGUCAGGCUUAGAACCACGACAAUAUGUGAAAUAAUAUUACUAUGUAGAAGAACAACAGAAAUUUAAAAACAUAAAGAUGAUUAACAAUAUCAAAUUUCUAUUAUGUUCUAAUUCAAUCUAGUCCAACCAUUCAUUUAUCAGAAUUCUAUAAACACGCCUAAGUAUGAAGCUAUACAAAUAAGUCAAAAACAAAUAUUAGGUUCACCUUAAGUUUCAUUACAUGUAAUGUGUUCGUAAACAGUCUGAACAUAAAGUUUCAGUGACUCUAACUUGUUAUAUGUAGUGCCAAUGACUGUACCCGCGGUCUAAGAUACAAUUCAUCCUAAUUCAAAUCUCCAACACAAAAAUUGCUCUGGGAUGAAAAAAAUGGAACAAAGAACAACAUUAACAAUGAAAUCUUCGACCAUUCAUAUCUUUGAAGACUUUUAAUCCGCAAGGAAAGAAGAUAAUCAUGUUUAGAUAACAACAUCAUGCUUCCCAAAUGAAUCUGCCCCUUAUCCUACCUAUAUAUGCUGCAUGUGUUCUUUUUUUUAGAAAAGGAGGAUGACCUCCGGCCUCUGCAUCUGGGCGAUGCAUACGGCCACUUUAUUAACAAUUCUCAUAAGACCUUACAAAGUCAUACAACAGCAAGACUAAAGUCACCGUCUAAGCAACAGCUGUCGCUAUACCUAUCGAAUUGAUGAAGGGGCGUAGAUAGUCUAGGCCUAAUACCAAACAGACAUCGCGGCCAAACCUAAACAUCUAAGACCUAAGGUCCCAACCAGGACGCCUAUCGGGUAUGGGGCACCUACCAGUCCGGCACACUCCUCAACCAGGACGCCUGCCGGGUAUGAGGUCGCCGCAGCCACCUACCACCAAUCCAUCUUUAGAGUUGUACUGUUGCAUGUACCGUGUCAGGUCUCUCUGCCAACGACACCCGACAGCGUCGUCCUCCUACAUGAGUCCAUCCUCCCACAGCGAACUCUGAAUCUGCACUGCGCCACACCGUCAAGAUCCGUCGCCAUCAGUGUGUAGGAUGAAGCACCGCUCCAGUAAAGAAUCUGUCCUCUGGUCCCUCGAUCAUGUGUGUACCUCCAAGAAUGACGCCCCCAAGGGAGGAACGACACCAGAGCGUCGCCGUCAUUCGAUCAUCCGAUCUAGGGUUUCCCCCAGAGGUAGCAGAGGGUGGCCUUGAACUUCUCCACGGCGAUGCCUUCAAGAAGGGAACGGCGCAGAUAGCGCCGCCACUGCCGGCCUUAGCAGACGCCGAAGGCAAGUUUCACUCAGAUCGGUUCGAAGGGAUCCAAAUCUCGUGCACGGGCCGCCGUCACCACCAGCACCACCAGGCAAAACCCUGGAGCACCGGCAGAUCAGCGAGCCACUGGCACCACCGCAUCCAGAUCGUCGGCCAUGCCGGGCCGCCGCCAUCCCCCGCGUCGUCCGGGUCAGAGACGGAGCCGCCGACCGCGCACAUGGACCAUCGCCGCCUGCACACGCCAGAGCGCCGCCGAGAGCCCAGCGCCCAUCACCGAUUCCCGAGGGCCGCUGUCGCGCGCCCCGAGCAGACUCCCACACACACCAGGGGAAACUGUCGUCGCCCCCAAGCCUGCGCCGGCGCGCCCCGCCUCCAGCGCGCCGCCAACCACCGCCGCGAUCCGCCCAAAUCAGAUCCAGCGAGCCGUGGGAGAAGAGAUCCCGCCGCCGCCCCCGCCGACCGGGCUUUGCCCGGCGGCGCGCCCCGGCGGCAGCGAGGAGGAGAGGUCGGGGGAGGGACGAGGAUGCGGCGGCGCUAGGGUUCCCCCCCGGUUGCCGCGCAGGGACGACACGGGAGGAGUCGGGAGGACGUGGUGUUAUUUCUUUAAAAAUGGGAGAGAUUUUCACUUCCCGGCCUCUGCACCAACCAGGGAUGCAUGUGUUCUUAUUUUCCAGAGCUCAAUAUGCAAGGACCGAUCCAAAGUAGGCUUAACCAUGGAUGUUUCGUGAAAAAGGAAGAUUAGAAGAAACAAGAUCUAAGAAGGACAAGAAAAGAAAGGUUUAAUGAAUAAUGGUAUAAUUUCUACUUCAUAUUUAUGAAGAAGAAAUAUGCUGAUAAUCUCUAUCUUUUUUUUGAACAAAGCAAGGCACCAACAGGCGCCCAAUUUCAUUUCAGCUCAUAAGUGAAGUACAUCAGUGAGUACAGCAGCGAGAAGAUAGACAGCAAGGAGAAGUACAGCCAGAGGGGUAGAGCUGAAAGAGAAAGCAAAGAUAGGUUGAGGAAACACCCAACCAGAUGAUCAACGGCUAAUUUAGAAAGCACAGAGCAAGAUCAUUCCAUCAGUCACAAAAGUAGAUGUAACAGCCCAUCUGCAGCCAUAGGAGAAUGUGAAGAAGUGCUGAUGCUCUGAAGAGAAGCAGAAGAUUGGGAACUGUCCUUAUUCCUUAUCCAAAGUGGCAAAUGCAAGAGAACAUCUCACAGAUUAAUUGUUGCCUCCACUUGCUGGUAUUGAACAAAAUGAGAGUACACCAUCUGUAAAAUAGUCUGGCAGCAAACUUGUUGAACCUGCAUUUCACACACUUAUGACCAUAGCUCAUCUUGUACAGAAUGCAAGCCUGCAAGAAACAUUAAAAGGGAAAGAGGCCAGCGCUUUCUGCAAAAGACAAAGAGAAAAUCCUGCCCGAAGGCGAAUGUUAGGUAAUAACAGUGAAUAGUAUGCAGAUUUAUGCCUUGAAUCUGAAAGUGAGAAAGAAGAGAAAUCAUGGGGCAAGACUGAUGGGAAUGAGCAUGAGCAAAGCAAGAGAUUUGAGAGCUAGCAUUAGAUCUAAAAACCGGCUGAGCAAGAUUGUGAGCAAUACCAUUUAUCUCCCUAGAAAUGUGAAACACUUGAGCAUUCAAAUUAGAUGUGUCUUUGAAAAAAUGAGCAAGAUCAUUCCUAAUAUUCCAAGGAGUGGCUGAAAUAUUUCUUACGGCAGCAAAAGAGGCUAAAGACAAACAAUCCAUAAGGAAAGUGGAGUUAGCAAGAUUAAGUCUCAAAGCUAGAUGUGCAGCACAGGAGAGAGCCACAGCAUCAGCCUGCAAAGGAGUAGAGGUAGGAGGGGCCGAAGCCUGAACCUGAACAUUAAGCUCGCCCUGAUCCGAAGGUAUGGAAAUAAAAACACCUAUACAUGUACCCACUUGCCCUUGAGCGAGACCUGGGAUUUUUGUUGAUCUAAACGCUGCAUCAGAGAAGAUUUUAGUCCCAGGAACUAACAAGUCAGACUUCAGCGUUUUGCCCUGCAAAGGAAGAACAUGAGUUUCCUGAACAUCAUUGGAGUGAGGUUUCUUAGUAGGGGGACAAGAAGGAUCAACCAGUGGCUCAUAGUCCAGAGCUGCAACAACAAUAUUAACUUGAUAAGGAAGAUGAUUUUUCCUAUCAAAAAGAAAAUCAUUUCUAGCUUUCCAAAGGCACCACAAAAAAUUUAAAACAUUCUUAAUGGAAGCAUGAAGAUGUCCCAUUCGAGUAAGCACAAUGAGAAUGGAAUGCAUAGUAUGGUGCCCUUGGGUGAGAACAUCCGAGCGAAGGAACCAGGGCGAAGAAAACCAAGCUGCUCUCGCAAAGUUGCAAAGGAAAAAAACAUGAAAUUCAUCUUCCUGCUGGCCACAUCUACAACAAGUCUGAGCAAUAUGAAUAGAAAAGCGGCCAGCCCUCAUACCCGUAGGCAAAGCCCUUCGAAGAAGUCUCCAAGCAAAAGUUUGAACUCGAGGGAGCAGAUUUUUUGUUUCCAAAUGAACUUAAGAAAAUCUUUCAAGUCCAAAGGAAUAUCUAGAUGAGCAUUUCUUGGAAUACUGUGAAGCUCCUGCAAGCAAAAUUUGUAAGCAGAUUUUGAAGAGCAAAUACCAUUUGGGGUAAGAUCCCAACACAACAAAUCUGGACCAUCAUCAUCUAAAAUUUGAGUAUUAACAAUGUGAGAGGCUAAAGGUUGCUGAAAAAGAGAAAAUAUGAGCGAAUGAUUCCAGCUUUUCAAACCAGGAAGCCAAAGAUCUUUCACAUGAGACGGGUAAACAAAACCAGCUUGUUGUGGAACAAGAUGAUCAUAAAUAGAAUACCAAAGAUUACACCAAGGCAUGCUCCACAAAGAAAUGUCACCCUGAGUGAGUUGAUAAAAAGCAUGAUCUCUUAGUUUAGGCAACAUUUUCAAGAUAGAGGCCCAGAAAGCAGAUUUAGGUGGGGUAGUAGUGGCUCUCCAAAUUGAAGUAUCAGGAAAGUACUUAGCCUUUAACACAAGGUACAAAUGAGAAGAAGGACCAUUGGCUAACCUCCAAGCAGCUGUGAGUAUGAGACUUUCAUUAAUGGCUUUUAGAUUCCUGACGCCCAAGCCACCUUCUCCCUUAGAACUACAAAUAUCCUUCCAUGCCCUAAGGCAGAGACUUUUCUUUGAGUCAGUCUCUCUAACACCUGUCCACCAGAAAUUUCUAAUAACAGUCGUGAGCUUAGCAAUGAAUUUCUUAGAAAACAAGAUGUUUGCCAUGUAAUAGACUGGAAUAGCUGAAAAAACUGAUCGAAUCAAUUCAAGCUUAGCAGCAUGAGAGAGCAUAUUAGCUUUGUAAGAGGGCAGCUUAUGUAAAAAUUUAUCUAACACAAAGUUGUGAGCAGCCACUCUAUUUUUAGCAGGAAGAAUAAGUGGAUGACCAAGAUGAGUGAAAUUAGCAUCAAGAUUAGAAAUAGGAAAUAAUUGCUUAAUGCUUUGAAUCGUAGCUUGAGAAACAUGCGAGCUAAAAAGAAUUGCAGAUUUGCCCCAGUUGGGAGUUUGACCAGAGAGCUCACAAAAUUGAUGAAUAAGAUUAGCCAUAGUCUGAGCUUCUCGAAGAGUAGCCUGUCCACAAACCAAUAAGUCAUCUGCAAAUAGAAGAGAAUGAACAGAGGGGCAGUUUGGACCAAGAGAAAUACCCUGCAAAUGGUUAGCCUGAAGAGCCUCAUUAAGCGAUAUCGAAAGUUCAUUAAUGGCAAUAACAAACAAGUAAGGAGACAUGGGACAGCCCUGCCUAAUCCCUCGAAAACUUUUGAACUUAUGAGAAGGUUGUCCAUUGAUUAGCACAGAGAAUGUGGGAGAAGAGAUGCAUGCAUGAACUAAAUUAAUGAAAUGACCAUGCGGCCCUUUACGAGCAAGCGCAGAAACAAUAGAGUCCCAUUCUAGUCUGUCAAAAGCUUUAGCAAGAUCAAUUUUAAGCAUGAAGGCAUCCUGUUUCCAAGAUUUGAGGGAGAAAGAAUGAGCAAUUUCCUGGGCAAUGAUAAUAUUAUCACUAAUUCUCCUACCCUCGAUAAAAGCUUGUUGAGCAGGAUCUAUAUAACUAGGAAGGUGAGGCUUAAUCCUGUUGGCAAGAGAUUUGGCAAUGAUCUUAUAAACAACAUUACAAAGACUAAUAGGUCGGUAGUCCAUAGGCACUUGAGGAACAAGCUUUUUAGGAAUGAGAGCAAUGUUGGUGUCAUUAAUGUGCGGAGGAAGAAUUCCAGUUAAAUAAAAGUUAAUAACAAGCUGAGUUACCUCAUCUCCAAUCCAGUCCCAAGUAGCUAAAUAGAACUCAAAAUUAAAACCAUCCGGUCCUGGAGAAGCAUUGAGUUUCAUAUCCUUAAGAAUCUGUAAAAUCUCAUGAUUGUCAGGAAGAACAUAAGUAGGAUCCAAAGAGCCGCCGGGCCAUUGAGUGGAAAGGUAAGGUCUACUCACAAUAUUAUUGGGAGAAGAGAAAAUGUAGCGAAAAUAGUUAAUAAAGGUAUUCAUGAUAGCGGUAGGAUUGAAAUUAAUCAUAUUAUUCUCAUCCUUAACGGAACAAAUGGUAUUUCUCUUCCUACGCUUGACAACAGCUUGGUGGAAAAAUUUAGUGUUACGGUCACCAGCCACAGCGCACUUAUUCUUACUACGUUGCUUAUAGAAUUGAUUAAGUUUAGAAAGAGUGUGCUCAUAUGUAGCAGUGAGACAAGUUUCUAACUUGUGAUCCUGCUGCUGGAAAGGAAGUUGCUGAAGUUGAUUGAUGCGAGCUUCCAGAUCCAAAAGCUCAUUUUGAAGAGGCUUUUUCUUCUUACACCACCUUUUUAAAGAUCCUGCCAAAGAAGAAGACUUUGCUACGAAAGAAGAUGAGGAAGUAGCAUUCCAGGCAGAUUUAGCAAAGGCAUGAAAAUCUUUUUCCAUCAACCACCAAUUUUCAAAUUUGAAAGUUUGUCGAGGCUUGACAAAAUUACCUUCAGUAGACACUAGAAUGGGGGCAUGAUCACUCAGGAUAAUAGGCAAAUUAAGAACUUUGGUAGUAGGAUAGUGCGUGCACCAAUCCGAGUUAACUAAACAACGAUCGAGGCAUCUAUAAAUAGGAUUGGAAGUGUGUUGUCUACCACGCCAAGUAUAGGCAGGACCACUAUAACCUAUAUCAAACAAGCCACAAUUUUUCACAAGAGAACGAAAAGCAUGCAUACGAUAGUAAUUCACAUUGCCAUUACAACCAUCAAUAUCAUACAAGAUGUCAUUCAAAUCCCCCAUACACAUCAUGGGCAUGCCUAGAUUAUCUACUACUACUAUUAAACAAUCGAGUUGUGGCAGAAACAUUACAUCUCAGCCAUACAUCCGCCAUCUCUCAAUGGACCAGAUUGUCUCAAUGUUGUAUCACAUCAUUUACCAAAAUCAAUUACCAAUAACAUUUACCAAAAUCAAUUACCAAUAAUUGCCAUGAUCUAUGCCAUCGUAAUUACGCAAAACUUACCAACCUGAGCCUAUUUUAAUCAUAAUCAAUUAGCAAUAAUCAAUCAUAAUCAAUUAACAAUAAUUACCAUGAUCUAAUAAUUACGCAAUAAUUACCGCGAUCUCGCUCCGACUGGAGACCUCCACCUUGGGCCGUCCGGUCCUCGCUCAAACCUCUCGAUUCGAAUUUCUGAGGCAGCCCUCCUCAUGCCGCCGUCGACCUCCUUGCUCCAACCCCUAUCUGUGUUGUACACGUACAUAUCUCUUCUCUACUACUAUUAAACAAGCAAACAUUUUCUUUCUUAAAGAUACCCGUUAAGUGUACAUCGAUUAAUUAUCAUCGUUUGAUCAUCUAAAUUAAUGAAAGCUAACAGAUCAGACUAAUCUGAUGAGAUAUCAAAGGGUGCAAUUAGCAAUUACUGAAGGCGGACCACUCCACCGGCGGACGAAAUUUUUCUACGCCUGCUUCGGCAACUUCCGCUCAAGCAUCCAACCAAAUCUUUGAUAAUUACUACUCCUAUACCAUAUAUAAUUGCCAUCUAAUUAUUAUUAACCUUUUUUGUUGUCGGAGCAUCUAAUUAUUAGUAUCAACUAAAAGAGGAAGCCACUCAACCUAAUUGAUCUCUUCCUACCCCGCGUUGAUGCUAUCGGCGUCGAAACAUGCCCCUUCAUCCCUCCAUGUGCCCUCUCUAUCUACGUCAUCGUCCCUUCCUUUUAUACCUCGGCUGAAAACAUAUCUUCUCUAAUCCCUCGCACUAUCCGCCAUUGCCUCUGCAACGCAACACACACCACCUCUGUCGCCGCCGUAUGGGACACCGGAGUUGCUGCGACCUUCGAUUCGACGCGCUACCAGAUCAGGGUGGAGACGGUCUGUGCCGGUCUGACCAGCCUGGCAGUCCUAUUUUCUGUGACUAGAACGCCUGCGCUCCAGACCGGGCCGGAUCGAGCGGAUCGAGCGGACAGGCAAGUGGCGACGACGAUCGGCGGCAGGAGACCAUGACGAGCACGCACGACGGUAGGAGGCCACGACGACUGUCCCGGCGGCGCAUGGCAGCAGGAGGCCAUGGAUGGCGCCUGCAGGAGACGUCUACGACGUGGACACCGACAACAGCGAGGACGACGAAGGAGCCAUCGUGACGGCCAGUCGCGGCAACUCUGGUGCGCUCCUGCACUCGCUGACGUUGUCCAUGGGCUCUGGGUCCCUCUCCACCUGCGUCAGCAUGCAACAGGCGCCCGCACGCGCCCAUUCCUAAGGCGCUGCCGGCGGCGAGUACAUCGGACAGAAACAGGAGGAUUCACACAACUUCGAUGCAUUGACUGUAUAACCUCUUAUUUUCGUGGAUGUCUCCUGCGCGCACGCAGAUGCAUUGACUGUAUGGAUGGAGCGAGAUUUGGUUUUUCUUCAGUUUUCUAUAGGGACAUGCAACAUGAGACCUGACGACCUUUUCACGUGCAUGGAAUCAUUUUCUGUGGACGAAGCGAGCACGGCGGCGACGACAAGUUCAAUUUCAUCGUCAGAGAAUUAAGGACGAAGUGGGCACCCGAGCUAGUUGUUUGCAGAGCAGAAGAACCGUCGUUGGGAUCUGCCAUACCUUGCUCGGAAUACAUCGAGAGUAUCGCUCCUCUCCAGACAAUGCCGAACAUUUUCACGGUUCUUUCUUCUACUUCCUUACAAGCAUUCCUGUUUUUACAACUUGGGUUUGUAAGGACGUGUGUUGCUUAAUACUCAAUAAUCCUAGGCCUUUUUGCAGAAAAUAAAUAAAUUGAAUGAAGUCUUUUUUUGUUCACCUUCUCAACUACAACGAGACUGAAGAUGCCGACUGAAGAUGCCUACGCUUUAUAACAAUUGAUUAAACAUAUAAAAAACUGAGAUAAUUAGGUGCCGGUGCUCUAUGCAUACGAUGAUUCAUUUAAAUGAUAGGUCGAUUUGUAAUAUCUUUAUUAGUAUUAGAAUAUCUUUUCUACGGGAAUUCUUAUUUUUGUCGGUAACCAAGGUGGGCAAAAGCGGACCUGUAUUAUUUUCAUUACCAUUUAUUUAAAAAACAGAAGGUGAAACAAUCAAGCAUCAUCGUUGACCGGAGUGGAGAUCUGAGUCUGACCAACACCUGCCUACCUCCGCCAAACCAUCACUUCCAGACACACCAAUGUGGCCUCACCCACCAGACGCGGAUCCAACCUGCGCGAGAAGAAGCAGAUAGCCGCCAAUGGGCGUCCUGACGGGCACCACUGGGGCUAAACCUUCCUGGGACUGCGCCCCCACAGACAACAUAGGUGCUGCCACGACCCUCCCACAUGGAGCCGUGCAACCACCACCGCCACCCAUCAUUGUCUAGGGGUGGCACUGUUGCUGAGAGGGACGUCUCCCUAUGAGCAGCACGCGACACAUACAUCGGAUCGCCACGCUCCACCGAUCACCUGAGACCUGUGCCAAAAUAACAGCCUGCGAAAAAGGAUGCCCUGCCUCCACCUUCCCUGGGGCACAGGUGGCUUUGUCGGCGCCCCCUCCGACAGCGGUGAAGCGAGGGAGGAGGGGUGGUCUUGCGGUGCAGGUAGGGUUUUUUCCAUAUCACCCGAGUAGAAUAACGCGAAUAUAAUAUUAGUCGAGACGUGCGUUGCACGUGCACACUUACUAGUCAUACACAAAAGAAGAAACUUGGUCCCAGAUGACACUAGUCUGCCAUAUAUGCAAAUCAAACAAAAGUUUACCCCCGAAUCUACCUGAACUACUUUAUCUAAUAUAUAGUGGAAAGCAGCACUAUGAACAGAGAUUUUAAGAUCAUCGGUCCACAUUAACCAAAGACCUCCUGAAGUACCUCUAGAAGGAACAACAAAACCAUUAGUAACAUCAAACCUGUUAACAAGAUCAAUAGAACGAACUUUGGAGGACUUGAUUUCCGAAACAAAAGUUAUCUGAGCCUUCGUGGACCGCAUCAAAUUAGCCAGGUAUAGCAUCCGCUCAUUGCCGAGGCCCCUGCCCAUACCUCGACAAUUCCAAGCAAUGGCCCUCAUGGCGGAGCUAGCAUCAGCACAGGCCCCAGAGCAGCCAAGAGCGGACAGGAAGAAAAGCAACAACCGGUACUUGGAUCUUGAGGCCACCGAACGGAUCUGGGAGGAAGAGGACUAAAGGAAAGGAAUCCAGAGAGAAAAGAGAUGGGAUGGGGUGAAUCAGGCUACGAAAGACGGGGGAUCCAAGAGGCGACAACUGAGAUGGGCAGGAUUAGAAGAAUCAGGGGAUCAGCACCGAGCCGCCAAGAUGAAGCACGGGCCAGCAAUCAGGAAAGGGAUAAAAAGAGGAUCAAGGGGAAGAUAAGGAAAUAAAGAGAUUAGAUCAGAGGAGAGGGGGGAGGAAGGGCAGCAUCCGCCAAUCACCAGAUACUCACCGGAAGUCGCCACCGCUUUUCACCUUUCAUGCUCUGGAUUUGAGAACAGAGGCGGAGCUUGUGGAUGAGGGACAUGCUAUUGAAAUAACAGGAGAAAAGAUGGGAGAGCAAAUAGAUCAGAGGAGAAUCAAGAAGGACGUAGAGGAAAGGAUCAAGGGGAAUGGAGAAUCGGCACAACGCCAGUCGCCGGACAUCCGCCGGAGUUCGCCACGGGGGCAGAGUCGUGGGGCUGUUUUCCUUUCUUGCUUCUUGAAUUUCCGCCCGGUUCCUCCCAUGGGCAUCUCUAUCUAUUUCAACCAACCUUCCGAUAGAAGUCCACUUGCAUUGCUGAUAAUCUGUAUCUAUUGUAAGAUGCGAACUAGAAAGUGAGAGAUAGCAACGAAGAAGAACAUCGGAAGAAGAGCUAGCUAUCUGUACUACGAAUGGAUCGUUUACUUGGGACUUGUAUAUGUCCAGAUACACUUACCGUAUAUACCUCACACCAAGAGUUAUCUAGCCCCACCGAAAAACAGAUAUACACAGCAUUACGUAUUAUACAACAUAAAAAGACUAUAUACACAAAAAUAUGUAUGAAUCUUGGCGCACAGCCCACAAAGUGGGUGCCGUAAAUCCUCUCCCUCGCAAACAUGCAAGGAUCCGUUUGCAAUCUCAACAACUCCACAAAUCGCACAUGAUUCCACCCUUUUCUGUUUUCUCCACCAAAUGGCGUGAAAAAGAAGGGCCUUGAGGGCAUCGCGCUCGCUCACCACGAGAGAAGCAGCUGCACAGCCGAAUAUUUGCUAUUUUGCUUGUUCCGGGUCACUGCUCGGCCGUGGCGUGACUGGCUAGCUAGCCAAAGCCAAGCGAGGAGAAAAAGGCAGCACCACGAAAUGUUCUCUGCAACUUCUUUACGGUUUGCCCGGCCGGGGCCCAGGCACUUUCACGACAAAUCCAACACGUGUGAAAUGGCGUAUAUAGUAUAGUCGACACAGCACUCACAGUGACGGACAUCACUAGACCUUCGGGAAAAAGAAAGAACUCAGACCAUCACAUCGCAUCCAUGCACACCACUUUCCUUCUUUCUUCCUCGAAUAUCUGCAGCAGUAGAUUAAUAACGAGCCAACAGUAACAGAGGUACGCAUGAUCACGGGUAAUUGAUGGCUUCAUUAGUCAAAGAUCGUCUACCUCCACCUAAGUAAAGUUAGCUUCUCUCUGGCAGGGCAGGCAGGUUCUACACUGUUCAAAUGCACAAGCGUGCGUGCAACUUUUUCAACUCGUCGAUCGUGCGUGUCACUAUGUGUGUUCCAACAUUAUUCCGUAAGUCUAUGGCUUAAGCAAUCACCUAUUAUUGCAUGCCUUCUAGCAAUAAGUAGUACUACAAGUAACUACUGGUGCAUUUUGCACGCAUGAGGCAUUCUUCAUUCUUCGGGGGAAAUGGUUAGGGAUAAAGUGAUGUGCAUGCUGUGCCGGCCAACCUUGCUAAGCACGUCCCCAUAUGAUUAGUGUGCCUUUUUCCAGACUUCCAGGCGUGUAUCUCAGGUAUUAGAGCAUCUUUAGCCGCGCCCCAACAGACACCCCUCCCCCGACAUUUUUUUAGCGUCGGCGCCCAAAAAUCGGCCCAGUCGUGCCCCCAGGAGCCCGUUUUUCAUCGGUUUGGGUCGAAACUGGCGCCGGCGGACCCAGGCCGAACCCGGCGUGCUGGGGGCGCCCCGGUGCACCGGGCAAUCGUUUUUGACGCGAAAGAAUGGCGGGCCCGUCGAGUCAGCGACCCCGCGCCUCGUCGUCCUCAUCGUCUCGGUUUCCCGUGGGGAAUCAAUGCCAAGGCUGCCGCCGGUCAGCCUUCCAUUGAUUCCUCACGGGCGGCGCGGUGAGGCGACGCGGCCCCUCCCGCCACGCGUACACACGACGCCGCCCCCCGGCCGCUAUAUAAGCCCCCCCUGCCUCGCCGUCGAACGCACCCCACCAUCAGCCCUCCUCUCUCCCCAUGCACGCACAGCUGCCGCCGCCUCUGAACUCUCUUUCCCCCCUUCUUCGACGAAGACGAUGUGCGAAAGGUUCCCCGGCGAUGGGGCGGCGGCCAAUGGCUUCAGUCACCACUCUCUCCACGAGUGGGAAACCCAUCUCCUCCACCAAGUGAACAAUCCGGCGGCUCCUGACGUCCGCGCGUCGGGGCGGUGGCGGCUCAGCGCCGGGGGCGUCCCCGUUCCCCCGCUGCCCGACGUCGAGCACCCCACUACUUCCAGGCCGAGAUUGACCGCGUGCGGGUGCCUCCACCAACAACGCGCCACUGGUGAGGGGGCGCAACAACAGCGACGGCCGCCGCCUGUGGUAGGGCGCCCCCGGCAGCAAGCUACAGGACGUCCUCGAGUACCUCGAGGGCGGCAACGACCCGCCGCUGACGUACCCGGCUGCCCCCGCUGGAGUUGCGGUCCAUGGAUGCCAAGGAGGAUGCUGGGCGGGUCCUCCUCCUGCUCCUCCCACUCCUCCGGGUCACCGGCGCUCUUAAGCGUCAAGGCCGAGCCCGUGGAAACGCCGUUGGGCCGGCGCAACCGCGGCAUCGUCAUCAACGAGGGCGGCGGCGGUUCCUCGGGCGGCGGCGACGGUUCCUCCCGCCUCGUCAGGCCGAAGACAGAGCCGGUGCUCGGCCCCGUCAAGCGCGAGCACAACGACGAGGCCGCCAUGAAGUGGGCGCGGGAGGACUGGGCGCGGACGAAGAGGGAGCGCCAGCGCCGCGCCCUCGAGGAGAUCGCCGCUCGACGGCGUGGCCGCGACGAGGGAGGCGUCGUCGUCCUCGACGACAGCGACAACGAGGUGCCGCCGCCGGCUAAACCAAUCCGCCAAGAGUACCCUGGAUAGGAGUCGACCAGGGACGGCCGCGUGAAGGAUGAGAAGAAGGACGGCUUCGGCGUGUUCUACGAGUUUUUCGGCCAGUAGGCGCGGCCUUUUUUCCUUCCUUUUUGUAUUGUUAUGUUUCUACAUGUAAAAAAGCUGUGAACCGCCUUCGCCGAAUGUAUGUCAUGUUUGCUGAAAUUUGUCUAAUUAUGUUUUAAAAAAACUUGAAAAAGACCGUCUGGGACCGACCUGGGGCGGCGGCUGGGAAGCCGAUUAUUCCCACGCCGAAAAUACCGCCGGUUCACCUUCAAACGGCGCUUUUUUCUAGCCCUUCAGAGGCCGAACAGCUAGUGAUGCUCUUAGAGCGACCGAAGAAUCAAGGCCUAAGGAUCGAUGCGAUUUGGUUUGCUUUAAAGAUGCUAUAAUUUGAGACGUCCCCGGGUUUAUUAAUUAAUUAGGCUGAUGGCCUGCAGGUACUGGUGGUCAAUUGAUUCUGGAGUUGCGUGCUUAAUUUGGAACCUAAAGAACAUGGAGAUCUCUUGAUUCCUGAUUAUUUUGGAACCUAAAUAUUCUUGCAAGGCUCGUGGUAUUUUGAAUACCUUUACUUGUUCGAGUCCUUUGCCGCUUAUCAGCUUCUAUGGGGGAGAAAGGCGAACAUUGGGCCUUGUGUAAAAAACAAGUGUAAUCCUUCAAAUGUUUCUUUUGUAGGGCAUCGGUUUUUUUUUUUGGUGGACGCAAAUUUGUUUCCGCCGCUCCAAGUAAAAAGAAUAUUUAUAUAUGGUAGUUUUGUGUGUGAUCAUACAUGUUUUAUCACAAUUUUAAACAUUCUAUUUUUUGCGGGGAAAACAUUCAAUGUUAUGAAAUUUUGAACUGAUGCGGAUUGGCUGGCCAAGCACUCAGGACUUGUCAUGCCAAGUGUUGUGUUCUAUCUUAAAUGCUACUCCCUCCGUCCUAAAUUACUCGUCGCUGAAAUGGAUGUAUCUAAAACUAAAAUACAUCCAGAUACAUCCAUACGUGCGACAAGUAAUUCGGAGCGGAGGGAGUACUAGCUACUCCGUAAAUAAAUUACUAGUAAGAAAGUGCCAAAGCGUGCGUGCAUAAUUGACUUAAUAAGCAGAAGAUUGUACGUUUUACUAUGAGUACUGAAAUUGUUGAAAAUAAUAUAAUACUAGUUAGACCCGAAUCACCACUAGCUACUCCGUUUUUGUGCUCAUGGAUGCUGGCCUGAAGAUUCGGGUCUCGCAGUCGCAGUACACAAGUACUGCCGACUCAUGGUGGCCUCUCCAAUUGUCUGUCCAUUUGCAAGGAUACGAAGUAUAGUUGGGAAUAUAUAUAGCUAGCUGGCACUACAGUCCCUCGGUACCUCGUGUGACGUGUGACGUCUGUGCACUGCAUUAAUGUGAAACUUUUCGUCGAUUGCGCGUACACACACGCGUACAGAUGCGCUCGCGUCUGUCUCUUGUAAUCUCAAGAAGAAUAUGCUUAGCAAUUGGGUUUAUGGCAUAGCAUCGUAUCGCUGAAGCCUGAAGGGCUGUCAUCACAGUUUCUCCGGACGGCUCGCAAACACCUUUCCUUUGUCGUGAUCACGCACUAGCUAGCCAUAUCUAUUUCCAUGUGACACUACGUGCCCUAGUUACCAUCCAGGUUUGUCUCGCCAAAGUGCCCCAACCUUAGCAAUCUGAUUAUCUAGCAACUGUAGCAAGCUAGCUAGCCAGUGUGCGAGCUUUUUCGCCAACCUUUUUAAUCUUGCAUGCAAUGUACGUACUUCCUCCGUUCCAAAAUAGAUGACCCAACUUUGUACUAAGGUUAGUACAAAGUUGGAUCAUCUAUUUUGGAACGGAGGGAGUACGAUUUAUUGGUUGCAACUCCCAUAUUUGGCACAUUGUUCGAUCGAAAGAAAUUUUAGCUUCUAACAGAAGUCAGCUACACAAGGAUUUAGGAACCUACUGUUAUACUGGCUAGCUCUUCAAUACUCCCUCCGUUCCUAAAUAAUUGUCUUUUUAGAGAUUUCAACAAGUGACUACAUACGGAGCAAAAUGAGUGAAUCUACACUCUAAAAGAUGUCUACAUACAUCCGUAUGUUGUAGUCCAUUUGAGAUGGCUAGAAAGACAAUUAUUUAGGAACGGAGGGAGUAGAUAUUAAGAUCCGAUCGCGAAUGGGCCAAAAGUGGAUUUUUUUUUUGAAACGGAGGCAAAUGCUUUGCCUCAUCCAUUAAUUAAGAUAGAAAAGAGUUUGUUACAAGACACCCAACAAACACGGCAUGCGGAUUACUCGCGUAAAAUAAAGGACCCUAGCUUCUUUGCGCCGGCGAUGACCCAAAGGUUGGCCUCUGUAGAAAUGAAGGAGAGCAAAUUGGCGGUGGAGCACUCUUAUGCUUAAACACUCUUGCGUUACGCUCGUUCCAAAUCGUCCAUGAGACGAGCAUAGUGAGGGAGGCCUUGGCUUGGCGGUUCGGCGUACCAUCGGCGCAGGUGCUAGCCCACCACUCGUCCACCGAGUCGAACAGGGGCCAAGCGGAAGUGUCAAGCCCAUGCAUGAGGAAUUUCUCAAUGACCAAAGACCAAAGACGCCGGGUGUAGCGGCAGCACCGUGCUGCAAAGAGGGCAGAGAUCGCAAUUAGGCCACCCACGCUUUACCAAUCUAUCCGCCGUCCAAACUCUGUCUUGAAGGGCCAACCAAGCAAAAAAAUUGACUUUGGGGUGGUGCCCAAACCUUCCAAACCAUUUUGUCCAUGGGAGAAAGGACCGUCCCUAGGAACUGCGCCCUAUACGCGGAGGCCGCCGAGUAUUGCCCACAGGUAGUGUGUUUCCAAAGGAUAUCAUCUUCGUUGAGCUCGUCAAGAUGGACCUCAUUUAAUAUCAUCCAUAGAGCGAAGAAUUGCGUGNNNNNNNNNNNNNNNNNNNNNNNNNNNNNNNNNNNNNNNNNNNNNNNNNNNNNNNNNNNNNNNNNNNNNNNNNNNNNNNNNNNNNNNNNNNNNNNNNNNNNNNNNNNNNNNNNNNNNNNNNNNNNNNNNNNNNNNNNNNNNNNNNNNNNNNNNNNNNNNNNNNNNNNNNNNNNNNNNNNNNNNNNNNNNNNNNNNNNNNNNNNNNNNNNNNNNNNNNNNNNNNAGAAUCCAAGUGUUGUGCUUCAUGGCCUCCCUCACCUUCCAAUUCUUUCUCUUGGAGGCUUCAUAGAUGGGCGGGGCAAUGUCUUUAGGCAUUCUCCCAAAGAGCCAAGGAGAGUCCCAAAAGGGGGUCCUCGCACCGUUACCAACGGUGAUGGUGGUGGAAGCAUAGAAAAAGUUGAGGUCCUCCUCAUUACAUGGGUUUCCCAUUCCCACCCACAUUUUGGUGGGCUCCUUCCGUUCGUACCACGGCCAUCCCAAACGAAGAGCCCUCAUAAACUUGUCAGUGUUGAGGACCCCGAGAGCUCCGUACUCAAGGGGCCGGCAAACAUUCUCUCAAUUCACCUUGCAUUUGGCCCCCGUUGUCUUGUCCGAACCGGACCAAAGGAAAGCUCUCUCGAGCUUGUUGACGCUGUGAAGGAUGGUUGGUGGGAUGACCAACUGGGUGGCGGGGUAGACUAGUUGGGAAGUGAUCACGGACUUGAGAAGGGUCGUACGUCCAAUUGUGGUGAUGUUCUGGCCAUCAUACGUUGAUAACUUGCUUGCAACUUUGUCCAUGAGAAAUUGGAGAUCCACCAACUUUAGCUUCCAAACGGAGAGGGGGAGCCCCAAGUAUCGCAGUGGGAAAGAGGUCCGUGCAGCCGGCAAACUCUGAGUUAAGCGUCCCAAAUCAAGGUGGAAAAGUGGAUUUUCAUUAUUGAGUGCCAUGGCAAUGCCCCAACAUCAUUGUUGUCCACGGAAGGAUGAAAAAGAAGCAAAAAGGCAACAUCACAGUUCGAUCUAGCAUAGCUAUCGAGCAAUGCAUGAUUUGUUUCUAAAUAUGCAACGCAUGCUGAAGCCAUUUGCCUCCCUCAGGCCCUCCCUCUUUUUUAAAGCCGGCCCAGCAAAAAGUUGCACCUAGCAUUUACACACACACACAACAAAAAAAAGUUGAUCAACAGCAGCCUAGGCAUGUGAGAAAUCGGGCAGAAGUCAGUUUUGAUGGGUGGCAUUAUUUCUUUUGAGCAAUCAGAUCAUAUGGCCACUUUUGGGUGGCUUUUCUUUUCAGCAUUACAUGUCACUUUGCUAAGGUUUGAAACAGACUAAAAGUUGAUAGAAUUUUAGAUGGGCCCGUGAGCUUAGCUUUGUCCAUACGCAGAGACACUGAAACACAUUCCAGUUGCAUGAUCAAAUCGGCUAGACAUAUACUCCCUCCAUUUCUAAAUAUAAGCCUUUUAGAGACUUCAAUACAAACUAUAUAUAUACGGACAUAUAUAGACAUAUUUUAGAGUGUAUAUUCACUUAUUUUGCUAUGUAGUCCUUUAUUGAAAUCUCCAAUAAAGACUUAUAUUUAGGAAGGGAGGGACUAUAUAUACUAGUGAUCUUCCUUGGUACAACAAGAAUUAAUUAAGUCAGUGCUGCCAAAUUAGCAUGUAACAUACAAUAUCACAGUGUAUAAGGCUGCAUCACAAAGGCGCCAAAAAAAGUACGUGGUGCGCUAUUCUAUAUAAGCACGUCUCGGCAUAUACAUUGCAUGAUGCAGCUGGAAUCCAUGGAUUUGCCGGAACCAAAUCAAAUCUACCUGAUCACUUGGUAUUUUAAUCAGCGAGAGCGUAUGGAACAAAAGAAGCUAGAUAUCGCAAUCUAGAUCGACAGAGUUGAUUAAGCAAACACUCGCUCGUGACACAUAAGUUAGUGCCGUCCAGGAGAAAUUUAUGCCCAACACCGUCCAUGUUUUUGGGUGUCUGUCAUGUCCAUGUUUCAUUCGUAAACGCGUACCAGGUACUAGCUAGAAAGAUACAGCCACAGGUACUUACCUAGCAAGAACAGAAAUUUGUGCUAGCUAGCUGCAUCAACUAAGCAGUAUGUUAAUUUAUUCGUUGGAUUUGUCCUAGCUACCGUUCGAAGCAACAAGAUCACACAUAUCUGACCAUUGGAUUUGCGAGCUAGGUAGAAACACUACCGUACCGGCCGGCCGGCUGACCUGUGAUACAUGCAGACUGAUUUGUGGCAAUGUGUCAUUUUACAGAGUAAAAUUUAAACCCCAGAGACACAAUUAAUCAUCCAGCCGACCUGACUUUGGCACUGCACCAAAAAAUCCUCAGACCGGCCAAAUUAAUUGUCGGCUAAACGAUCGCGUCUUUCCGUAUCACUCCCAAUCAUCAAAUCUAGUCACCACCCAUUAAGCUUUUGCUUUUGCUUGGCAGCUAGCUAGGUGCAUAUGUACAUUUGCCCUCUUCGAUUUGCAAUUGCUUUUGUCACAGUACUGCAUGCAACUGGACAGGUAGCACAUUAAUCAUUACAAACCAUAGGAUAUUGUGUACUUUCAACAGCAACAACCACAUAUCAGUUGCAACCAGAAAAUUGAAAGUGACAUUUCCGAGAGGCAGGUACGGCGCCGACGUGUGAAACCGGCAAACCAAACUACAAAAGGGACUAAUUGAUUUAUUAAACUGCGCUUAGCAAAUGUACUGGCUUUGAAGGAGGAAGCUUCCAUGCGUCUUACGCCAACAAAACGUCAUGCAUCUACACGUACGUAUAAUCUUAACCAUAGCAAAUACUGCGAAGCAACCGAGAGAAGUCGAUCGAUCGAUCGAUUGAUGUAACGUAACGUUUUUAAGUAAUGGCCGCCACGUAUGAUUGACUAUGAAUCGACUGUGCCCUUUGGGUUCUUUCUCUCUGUCCUUGUCUCCACCGAUCCUCUUGAAAAAGCGCUCGCCCGGGAAGAAUCUCAGCUGGCGCACUGACAUGUGCUUGACUAGGCACGUAGUAAGUACACAAACACACACAUGGUCUUUCCCUCCUUGGUAGCUCAGUUUUGCACCCAACGCAUGCAUGUGCUUGGACGCUUGGUACGUAAUAAAGUUAAAUGAAUCAGCUAAGAUAUGCAUACAAUUUCGUUGAGCACGUACAGAGACAUAGUGUCUCUGCACGUCGCCGGAAGCGGCAUCCACGCAGACAUGUGCAGCCACGAGCAUGCAAUGCAUAUGCACCGCGAACCGGAGACCCACGGUGAAAGGUAACGAUGAGUUAAUGACCCAUUCUUUUUGGAAGAACAUAUACGUCCUUAAUUGCGUAGGUAGGCCAUAGAUUAGUCUUCACAAGGUAACUAAUAAAGCUUCAUCACGCCACAUACAUCCCUCGAAACAAACUUUCACCCCGCUUUAUAUAUAAAGCAACAACCUAACAUAAUAGACGGCCGAAUGAUACAAGGUGAUGAAGUAGCCCUCAUACAAUGCCGAUCCCAAGAUAAUCAGAUUACACAGUAAAUACGCUAUCGAGAGAGAGCAUAGAGAGAUCAGAGUACAACGCCAUGCAACACACCUAACCUCCACGACAACGAUUGGGGUGGAUAAUGGCGCGAACGUCGCCGCUACCGAGUCCACCAUGGACAAGGGUCUUCACCCAGAACCCUGACACGAAAAGGAGAACCACGACAACAUCUUUAGGAAGAGAGUGCCACCCGCGAGCGUCGCCGUCGUCGGCGUCAAAGUGCGAAGCUUUCACUCGGCAGCUCCACCGUGUCACCACGAGGCCUCCAGGACACACGCGAUGAGGAUGGAUCCCCAGAUCUGGAUCGGGGCGCCACCACUGCCAAAGACAGAAAACACGCUCGGGCUACCCGCUGCUACACCUCUUACCGCCCACACAACCAACAGGGAAAACCGCCAUGGUGCCCCGACGGAGAGCCAACCAUGCAGACCGCCAUCCUGAGCCGCCACCCCGACAUCCAUGUUCGAGGCAACGCCCACUGCUCACAUCAUGAAGCACCCACCAAAGUAGGAAGAGUAAAAAAGGUUCCUCAAAAAAGAGAGUAAAAAAGGUAACUCCUUGGAGUCCUAGCCCGGCAUUAGCCAUGGAGUCUGGGUCAGCGCCUUCACCGUAGGAGGCAACCACGCCUGCGUCCAUUGCCAAUCUCAGUGGACCGGAGGAUACACAACCCCGCGGCUACUGACGGUCGUCGCUGAUCUCGCUCGCAUGACACCAUGCCUGUGGCCUCUGGCACCGAUUUGCACAACCAAGGAGCGAUGUCCCGACCACCACCAUCGACCAUUGUACCAGUGUGGAGAGGGAUCCCAUCGCUCACGAGCACCAACCAGACUGAGCCCACCAUCGUCUACCAAGAGCCAGAGCUCCAACCCGUCCCGGGUCAACAUGGCAGUCGGGUCAGGUUUGGUCGGGUUGACCUCUCCCAAACCCAUGCCCGAUUCUCUAGUCGGGUCCAUCACCCGCCCAUGACACUACGCAUGGGUCAAAGUUCAGACCCAUGCCCGAACCCGUCGGGUAACCCGGCCCACUCAGGCACCCAUCGGGUCCGUGUUAAUGUUAAAAUAAUUUUAAUUUUGCUCUUUCCAAGCGUUUUUAAGUUAAAUUAAUUUCGUUUUUUUCCGAAUGGAAAGGGGCAAAAAAUAUCUUUGCAAGGUUACCGGAAUGGAACACACGAACAAACUCUGCAUCGAGGUGGUUCUGGUUCUUAUUUUUAUUCGAAAUGGAGGUUAACCCCCGGCCUCUGCAUCAGAAUGAUGCAUACGUCCAUAUUAUUAAUAAGCAAAGGUUGAACAAAGUCUUCAGGUCUGAAAAGAAAUAAAUGCUCACAUAGAGCAAAAACACACAAAAACAGGAUAGCCACAACCGGCAGGCAAAAGAGAAGAUAGGAAGCUUAACUCCUAUCCUAUUACAUGACCGCCAUCCAAACCGGUUAAAAAUAGCCCGUUCUACCGUCUCCCACCGGAUAGACCCAGUAACCAUACGCUCCCUGGCAUCCGUCGGAGUGAGUAGCAACCACAUACGGAUCACCGAAGUGGCCCAGAAAAUAACCUGCAAGAAACGAAUAUUUGUUGUUCUGUUAAAAACCAAAUCAUUUCCGCAGUUCCAUAAUGCCCAUAAUAAAGCACACACUCUUACACGGAUAUGUCUCGCCGUUUCUGAAUCUAUUCCAUCUAACCACGUCCCAAAUAACGUGUUGAUAGAAUUCGGAGGAGUAAUAUUAAAUGCUAUGUGGACAGACCGCCAUCAAUUUUUUGCCAUUGGGCAGUCAAGAAAGAGGUGUUUGAUGGACUCAUCAUGAGCACAGAAGCAACAUCUUCUAGAACCUGUCCAGUUGUGUUUUGCCAAAUUGUCCUUAGUUAGAAUGACUUGUUUAUGGACAAAUAAUACGUCUCCAACGUAUUUAUAAUUUUUGAUUGUUCCAUGCUAUUAUAUUACCCCUUUUUGGAUAUUUAUGGGCUUUAUUUUACACAUUUAUAUCAUUUUUGGGACUAACCAACUAACCGGAGGCCCAGCCCAUAUUGCUGUUUUUUUACCUAUUUCAGUAUUUUGAAGAAAAGGAAUAUCAAACGGAAUGAAACCUUCGGGAGCGUGAUUUUUGGAACGAACGUGAUCUAGGGGACUUGGAGUGCAAGUCAAGAAGCAGCCNNNNNNNNNNNNNNNNNNNNNNNNNNNNNNNNNNNNNNNNNNNNNNNNNNNNNNNNNNNNNNNNNNNNNNNNNNNNNNNNNNNNNNNNNNNNNNNNNNNNNNNNNNNNNNNNNNNNNNNNNNNNNNNNNNNNNNNNNNNNNNNNNNNNNNNNNNNNNNNNNNNNNNNNNNNNNNNNNNNNNNNNNNNNNNNNNNNNNNNNNNGUGGGCCCUUCGGGCGGCCGCCGACGUACUUCUUCCUCCUAUAUAUACCUACGUACCCCGAAAACAUCCAGGGGCACCAUAAAACACAAUUUUCACCACCGUAACCUUCUGUAUCCGCGAGAUCCCAUCUUGGAGCCUUCGCCAACACUCUGCCGGAGGGGGAAUCGACCACAGAGGGCUUCUACAUCAACAUCCUUGCCCCUCCGAUGAGCUGUGAGUAGUUUACCACAAACCUACGGGUCCAUAGUUAUUAGCUAGAUGGUUUCUUCUCUCUUUUUGGAUCUCAAUACAAUGUUCUCCCCCUCUCUUGUGGUGUGUUUGUCGAGAUCCGAUGAAUUGUGGGUUUAUGAUCAAGUUUAUCUAUAAAUAAUAUUUGAAUCUUCUCUGAAUUCUUUUAUGUAUGAUUGAGUUAUCUUUGCAAGUCUCUUCAAAUUAUCAGUUUGGUUUGGCCUACUAGAUUGAUCUUUCUUGCCAUGGGAGAAGUGCUUAGCUUUGGGUUCAAUCUUGCGGUGUCCUUACGCAGUGACAGAAAGGGUUGCAAGGCACGUAUUGUAUUGUGGCCAUCGAGGAUAACAAGAUGGGGUUUAUAUCAUACUACUUGAGUUUAUCCCUCUACAUCAUGUUAUCUUGCUUAAUGUGUUACUCUGUUCUUAUGAACUUAAUACUCUAGAUGCAGGCAGGAGUCGGUCGAUGUGUGGAGUAAUAGUAGUAGAUGAAGGAAGGAGUUGGUCUACUUGUUAUGGACGUGAUGCCUAUAUACAAGAUCAUGCCUAGAUAAUCUCAUAACUAUGCGCUUUUCUAUCAAUUGCUCGAUAGUAAUUUGUUCACCCACCGUAAUACUUAUGCUAUCUUGAGAGAAGCCACUAGUGAAACCUAUGGCCCUCGGGUCUAUCUCUUAUCGUAUUUGCUUUCAAUCUACUUUUAUUUGCAUCUUUACUUUUUGCAUCUAUAUUAUAAAAUACCAAAAAUAUAUUUAUCUUAGCAUACUAUCUUUAUUAGAUCUCACUUUCGCAAGUGGCCGUGAAGGGAUUGACAACCCCUUUAUUGCGUUGGUUGCGUGUUCUCAGUUUGUUUGUGUAGGUGCGUGGGACUUUUGAGGAGCCUCCUACUGGAUUGAUACCUUGGUUCUCAAAAACUGAGGGAAAUACUUACGCUACUAUUGUUGCAUCACCCUCUCCUCUUCGAGGAAAACCAACGCAAGCUCAAGACGUAGCAAGAAGGAUUUUUGGUGCCGUUACCGGGGAGGUCUUCGCUCAAGUCAAUACAUAUCAAGUACCCAUCACAAACCCAUCUCCCUCGCAUUUACAUUAUUUGCCAUUUGCCUCUUGUUUUCCUCUCCCCCACUUCACCCUUGCCGUUUUAUUCGCCCUCUCUUUCCCAAUCUUCUCCUUUCUUUUUUGCUUGCCUUUUUCUGUUUGCUUGUGUGUUGGAUUACUUGUUGCCAUGGCGCAAGAUAAUACGAAAUUGUGUGAUUUCUCGAAUACCAAUAAUAAUGAUUUCCUUAGUACUCCGAUUGCUCGUCUUAAUGAUGUUGAGUCUUGUGAAAUCAAUACUGCUUUGUUGAAUCUUGUUAUGAAAGAUCAAUUCGCCGGCCUUCCUAGUGAAGAUGCCGCUACUCAUCUAAACAAUUUUGUUGAUUUGUGUGAUAUGCAAAAGAAGAAAGAUACGGAUAACAAUAUUGUUAAAUUGAAGUUAUUUCCGUUUUCGCUUAGAGAACGUGCUAAAGUUUGGUUUUCGUAUUUGCCUAAAAAUAGUAUUGAUUCUUGGAACAAGUGCAAAGAUGCUUUUAUCUCUAAGUAUUUUCCUCCCGCUAAGAUCAUCACUCUUAGGAACGAUAUUAUGAAUUUUAGACAACUUGAUCAUGAGCAUGUUGCCCAAUCUUGGGAAAGAAUGAAAUUGAUGCUUCGCAAUUGCCCUACUCAUGGUUUGAAUUUAUGGAUGAUCAUACAAAAUUUUUAUGCCGGUUUGAACUUUGCUUCUAGAAACCUUUUAGAUUCGGCCGCGGGAGGCACGUUUAUAUCACGUUAGGAGAUGCUACAAAACUUCUUGAUAAUAUUAUGGCUAAUUAUUCUCAAUGGCACACCGAAAGAUCUUCUAGUAAAAAAGUGCAUGCAAUAGAGGAAAUCAAUUUUUUGAGUGGAAAGAUGGAUGAACUUAUGAAGAUGUUUGCUACUAAAAAUACUCCUCUUGAUCCCAAUGAUAUGCAUUUGUCUUAUUUGAUUGAGAAUAAUAAUGAAUCUAUGGAUGUGAAUUUUGUUGGUAGGAAAAGUUUUGGAAAUAACGCUUAUAGAGGAAACUUUAAUGCUAGAUCGUUCCCUAGUAAUUCCUCUAAUAAUUAUGGAAAUUCCUACAAUAAUUCUUAUCAUAAUUUUAAUAAGAUGCCCUCUGAUUUUGAGAAUAGUGUGAAAGAAUUUAUGAUUUCUCAAAAGAAUUUAAUGCUUUGCUUGAAGAAAAAUUGCUCAAAGUUGAUGAUUUGGCUAGGAACGUUGAUAGACUUUCGCUUGAUGUUGAUUCUCUUAAACUUAGAUCUUCUCCUCCUAAGCAUGAUAUCAAUGAGUCUCACAAAGUAAUGAGAAUUUCCAUUGAUGAGUGUAAGGAAAGAACCGCUAGAUUGUGUUCUAAGAAAGAAAGCUUUAUAAAAGCGUGGUCUUCUAGUUUCCAUGAAAAUAAUGAUGAGGAUUUUAAAGUUAUUGAUGUGUCUCCUAUUAGAUCUAUGUUUUGCAAUAUGAAUUUUGAUGAUUAUGGGACUGAUGAUGAAUCAACUUUUCCUAGAAGGCAUCCCAAGAAUUCGGAGUCUUUAGAUCUUAAUACUAAAAUUGGUAAAAUGAGAUUGGAGAAUCCUCAACUUCUAAUAACAUUGAACCUACUAUCUUGGAUUUCAAGGAAUUUGAUUAUGAUAAUUGCUCUUUAAAAGGUUGUAUUUCCUUAUUGCAAUCCGUUUUUAAUUCUCCUCAUGCUUAUAGUCAAAAUAAAGCUUUUACCAAACAUAUUGUUGAUGCCUUGAUGCAAUCUUAUGAUGAAAAACUUAAUUUGGAAGUUUCUAUACCUAGAAAACUUAAUGAUGAGUGGGAACCUACUAUAAAGAUUAGAAUUAAAGAUUAUGAGUGUUUUGCUUUGUGUGAUUUGGGUGCUAGUGUUUCCACGAUUCCGAAAAUUUUAUGUGAUAUUCUAGGUUUCCAUGAUCUUGAUGAUUGCUCUUUAAAUUUGCACCUUGCGGAUCCACCAUUAAAAAACCAAUGGGAAGGAUCAAUGAUGUUCUUAUUGUUGCAAAUAGAAAUUUGGUUCCCGUGGAUUUUAUCGUUCUUGAUAUAUAUUGCAAUCUUUCUUGCCCUAUUAUUCUUGGUAGGCCUUUCCUUAGAACGAUUGGUGCGAUUAUUGAUAUGAAGGAAGGGAAUAUUAGAUUCCUAUUCCCAUUAAAGAAAGGCAUGGAGCACUUUCCAAGAAAGAAAGUCAAAUUACCUUAUGAAUCCAUCAUGCGGGCUACUUAUGAAUUUAGUGCCAAAGAUGGCACCCGUUAGAUCUAUCUUCGCUUUUAUGCCUAGCUAGGGGCGUUAAACGAUAGCGCUAGUUGGGAGGCAACCCAAUUUUCUUUAUGUUCUUUGUUUUUGCUCCUGUUUAGUAAAACAUCUUGCAUCUACCUUCUUCUUAGAUGUGUUUUUAUCUUUUAAUUAGUGUUUGUGCCGAGUAGAACCUAUAGGAUAACCUACGAUGAUAGUUGAUUUGAUUCUGCUGAAAAACAGAAACUUUGCACGCACGAAUAUAAUUUUGUUAAAUCACAGGAACGUGCUUUUGCGUUGAUUCUUUUUGAUGCUAUUCAAUAAACAAAUUGUUCAGGACUUCCUAUUUUGGUAGGAUUUUUAGAGUUCCAUAAAUUGGUGUUAGUUACAGAUUGCUACAGACUGUUCUAUUUUUGACAGAUUCUGUUUUUCGUGUGUUGUUUGCUUAUUUUGAUGCAUCUAUGACUAGUAAAAUAGUUUAUGAACCAUAGAGAAGUUGGAAUACAGUAGGUUUAACACCAAAAUAAAUAAAGAAUGAGUUCAUUGCAGUACCUUAUGUGGUGGUUUUGUUUUCUUUCACUAACGGAGCUUAUAAGAUUUCCUGUUGAGUUUUGUGUUGUGAAGUUUUCAAGUUUUGGGUAAAGCUUUUAUGGACUAUGGAAUAAGGAGUGGCAAGAGCCUAAGCUUGGGGAUGCCCAUGGCACCCCAAGAUAUUAAAGGAUAGCCAAAAGCCUAAGCUUGGGGAUGCCCCGGGAAGGCAUCCCCUCUUUUGUCUUCGUUCAUUGGUAACGUUACUUGGAGCAAUAUUUUUAUUCGCCACAUGGUAUGUGUUUUGCUUGGAGCGUCAUGUAUUAUAUUAGUCUCUGCUUUUUAGUUUAUCAUAAUGAUCUUUGCUGUACACACCUUUUGUGAGAAGCCUAUUUGAUUAAAAUUUGCUAGAAUACUCUAUGUGCUUCACUUAUAUCUUUUGAGCUUAAUAGUUUUUGCUCUAGUGCUUCACUUAUAUUUUUUAGAGCACGGUGGUGUCUUAAUUUUGAAGAAAUUUCUAGUCUCUCAUGCCUCACUUAUAUCUUUUUGAGAGUCUUUUAGAACAUCAUGGUAUUUGAUAUGGUUACAAAGUUGGUCUUAGAAUGAUGAGCAUCCAAGUUGAGUAUAAUAAAAACUAUCAUAGAAAAAGAAUUGGAUGCUAUGAUCAAUUUGAUGCUUGAUAAUUGUUUUGAGAUAUAAAGGUAGUAAUGUUAGGGUCAUGCUAGUGGGUAAUUAUGAAAUUGAGAAAUACUUUUGUUGAAGUUGGCAAGUCCCGUAGCAUGCACGUAUGGUAAAAGUUGUGUGACAAAUUUGUUGCAUGAGGUGCUCUUUUGAUUGUCUUCCUUAUGAGUGGCAGUCGGAGACGAGCGAUGGUUUUUUCCUACCAAUCUAUCCCUCUUGGGGCAUGCAUAGUAGUACUUUGCUUCGAGGGCUAAGUAGGCUUUUGCAAUAAGUAUAUGAGUUCUUUUGACUAAUGUGAGUCCAUGGAUAUAUGCACACUCAUCCUUUCACUUUGCUAGCCUUUAUUAUUACCGCGCAACUCUCGCCGGUAUCAUGAACCCUUUAUUUACCUUCCUCAAAAUAGCCACCAUACCUACCUAUGAUGGCAUUUCCAUAGCCAUUCCGAGAUAUAUUGCCAUGCAACUUUCCACCGUUCCGUUUAUUAUGACAUGUUCCAUCAUUGUCAUAUUGCUCUUUGCAUGGUCAUGUAGUUGACAUCGUAUUUGUGGCAAGGCCACUUUCAUAAUUUUCAUACAUGUCGCUCUUGGUUCAUUGCAUAUCCCGGUACACCGCCGGAGGCAUUCAUAUAGAGUCAUAUCUUGUUCCAGCUUUGAGUUGUAAUUCUUGAGUUGUAAAUCCAUAAAAGUGUGAUGAUCUUCAUUAUUAGAGCAUUGUCCUAGUGAGGAAAGGAUGAUGAAGGCUAUGAUUCCCCCACAAGUCGGGAUCAGACUUCGGACUUUACAAAAAAAUGAGAAAAGAAAAAAAAGGCCAAAAAAAGGCCAAAGAAAAAAAGAAAAGAAAAGAAAAAAUAAAAUGAGAGAAAAAAAGAAGGGACAAUGCUACUAUCUCUUUUUCCACACUUGUGCUUUAAAAUAGCACCAUGAUCUUCGUGAUAGAGAGUCUCCUAUGUUGUCACUUUCAUAUACUAGUGGAAAUUUUUCAUUAUAGAACUUGGCUUGUAUAUUCCAAUGAUGGGCUUCCUCAAAAUGUCCUAGGUCUUCGUGAGCAAGCAAGUUGGAUGCACACCCACUUAGUUUCUUUUGUUGAGCUUUCAUAUAUUUAUAGCUCUAGUGCAUCUGUUGCAUGGAAAUCCCUACUCACUCACAUUGAUAUCUAUUAAUGGGCAUCUCUAUAUAGCCCAUUAAUACGCCUAGUUGAUGUGAGACUAUCUUCUCCCUUUUUGUACUCACAACCACCACCAUAUACCACCAUAGUGCUAUGUCCAUGGCAUACGCUCAUGUAUUGCGUAAGAGUUGAAAAAGCUGAAGCGCGUUAAAAAGUAUGAAACAAUUGCUCGGCUCAUCAUCGGGGUUGUGCAUGAUGGGAGUAUUUUGUGUAAUGAAAAUGAAGCAUGGCCUAACUAUAUGAUUUUGUAGGGAUAAGCUUUCUUUGGCUAUGCUAUUUUGAUAGGAAAUGAUUAUUUGUUAGUAUGCUUCGAAGCAUUAUUAUUUUUAUGUUUUAUAAGCUUUUAUUUUGUAUCACAUGGUUCAGAACAUUCAUGCCACAAUCAAGACAAUUACAUUGAGAAUUAUGCUAGGUAGCAUUCCACAUCAAAAAUUUCUUUUUUAUCAUUUACCUACUCGAGGACGAGCAGGAAUUAAGCUUGGGGAUGCUUGAUAAGUCUCCAACGUAUCUAUAAUUUUUGAUUGUUCCAUGCUAUUAUAUUACCCCCUUUUGGAUGUUUAUGGGCAUUAUUUUACACAUUUAUAUCAUUUUUGGGACUAACCUACUAACCGGAGGUCCAGCCCAUAUUGCUGUUUUUUUGCCUAUUUCAGUAUUUCGAAGAAAAGGAAUAUCAAACGGAGUCCAAACGGAAUGAAACCUUCGGGAGCGUGAUUUUUGGAACGAACGUGAUCCAGGGGACUUGGAGUGCAAGUCAAGAAGCAGCCGAGGCCCCCAAGAGAUAGGAGGCCGCGCCCCCUGUAGGGCGCGCCCCCUGUCUCGUGGGCCCUUCGGGCGGCCACCGACGUACUUAUUCCUCCUAUAUAUACCUACGUACCCCGAAAACAUCCAGGGGCACCACGAAACACAAUUUCCACCAACGUAACCUUCUGUAUCCGCAAGAUCCCAUCUUGGAGCCUUCGCCGGCACUCUGCCGGAGGGGGAAUCAACCAUGGAGGGCUUCUACAUCAACAUCCUUGCCCCUCCGAUGAGCUGUGAGUAGUUUACCACAGACCUACGAGUCCAUAGUUAUUAGAUAGAUGGCUUCUUCUCUCUUUUUGGAUCUCAAUACAAUGUUCUCCCCCUCUCUUGUGGAGAUCUAUUCAAUGUAAACUCUUUUUGCAGUGUGUUUGUCGAGAUCCGAUGAAUUGUGGGUUUAUGAUCAAGUUUAUCUAUGAAUAACAUUUGAAUCUUCUCUGAAUUCUUUUAUGUAUGAUUGAGUUAUCUUUGCAAGUCUCUUAGAAUUAUCAGUUUGGUUUGGCCUACUAGAUUGAUCUUUCUUGCCAUGGGAGAAGUGCUUAGCUUUGGGUUCAAUCUUGCGGUGUCCUUACCCAGUGACAGAAAGGGUUGCAAGGCACGUAUUGUAUUGUGGCCAUCGAGGAUAACAAGAUGGGGUUUAUAUCAUAUUGCUUGAGUUUAUCCCUCUACAUCAUGUCAUCUUGCUUAAUGCGUUACUCUGUUCUUAUGAACUUAAUACUCUAGAUGCAGGCAGGACUCGGUCGAUGUGUGGAGUAAUAGUAGUAGAUGCAGGCAGGAGUCGGUCUACUUGUUAUGGACGUGAUGCCUAUAUACAUGAUCAUGCCUAGAUAAUCUCAUAACUAUGCGCUUUUCUAUCAAUUGCUCGAUAGUAAUUUGUUCACCCACCGUAAUACUUAUGCUAUCUUGAGAGAAGCCACUAGUGAAACCUAUGGCCCUCGGGUCUAUCUCUUAUCGUAUUUGCUUUCAAUCUACUUUUAUUUGCAUCUUUACUUUUUGCAUCUAUAUUAUAAAAUACCAAAAAUAUAUUUAUCUUAUCAUACUAUCUUUAUUAGAUCUCACUUUCGCAAGUGGCCGUGAAGGGAUUGACAACCCCUUUAUUGCGUUGGUUGCGAGUUCUCAGUUUGUUUGUGUAGGUGCGUGGGACUUUUGAGGAGCCUCCUACUGGAUUGAUACCUUGGUUCUCAAAAACUGAGGGAAAUACUUACGCUACUAUUGCUGCAUCACCCUCUCCUCUUCGAGGAAAACCAAUGCAAGCUCAAGACGUAGCAACAAACCACAUAAACACUUUAAUUUUUAAAGGCACUUUAAUUCUCCAAACAUGCUUUGAGCGAGGAAUAGGGUCAGUGUUUAUAAUAUCCAAAUACAUGGACUUAACUGAAAACUCUCCAUUCUUAGUUAGUUUCCAGUGCAAUUGAUCUGGCUAUUGAGAGCGGUGAACAUCCAUCAAUCUUCUCACAAGAUGGAGCCAAACUUCCCAACGGUUUCCCGCUAAAGUCCUCCUUAAUUGAAUAUUGAGAGGGUUGGACUGUAAUACUGUUGCAACGUAAGCAUCUCUUCACUGAACAAUAUUAUAGAGAGAAGGAUAUUGGAGUGCAAGGGGUGUCUCCCCUAACCAAUGUUCCUCCCAGAAUCUCGUGGUAAUACCAUUUCCAACUAUGAAUUUUGUCAUGUUGAAGAAAACUGAUCACUCUCAUCUGUCCCUUUCAAAAUGGUUUGUCGUUCGGUCUGACCGUCACCUAGGAUAAGGUGGUUCUUAUAUAGGCAUCCAUCCUUUCUCACUGUGCUUCCACUUUCGAGGCGGUACUAAUACCACAGAUGAUACCUUCGCUACUACUACUCGGCAGGUUAAUUUACACCAUCUAGGUGGGGAACACAAGCAGUGCGUUGGAUGCAUGGCCGAGCCGUUUUGAUGCACGGAGAAGCCGGUAAAGUACGCAUUGUGCAACUAACCUCAUGGAACAUAGUUUUGGGUUCUUUGCGGCUCUUGUCUAUACAAAAGAAAUCUCCGUUCUUAUAGGGAAAUACCCUUUGGUUCUUUGGUGUAUAAUACACCUAAUUUGGGAAAAUUAAUAACUUAUAGAAGUCAAAAAAGUUUAGAACUUUUUUAGUAUAAACUUGACUUCCUUUUACACUAGUAGUAUAUAAAUUUUCAUGAAUAAAAAUCACCAUUGAUUUUAGGGAAAAAAACAAAAAAUAUUGGUAUUAUAGGUCACCAUACAAAUUAUUUUUGGCUGAAUUUUUUGUUGAUUUAAAUGAAGUCAACGGGGUUUAUUCUUUUUUGGCAUUUUUUACAAGUACAAUCAAAGGUCAAAUUUAUUUCAAAAAUAAUUUCAACAUUUUUCAAAAAAAUUAUUUAUUUAUUAUAUUUUUUACAUAUAAGUUGUAUAAACAGCCAUAGACCAAGGACAUGUUUGGUUGCCCGCAUUAGGCCCAACCAGGCCGAGUUGGGCAAAGAAAAGUGUGUUUGGUUGGAUACGCGGUGGGCUGGCUCACAUGGGCACGAACCUUAAAGCCCAGAGCCUGGCUUGCUGGAAACCUCGAAUCGGUUUCCGGGGCGAGCCAAGCUCAGUGCAGCGCAAGCUCGCACUUGCCGCGGCAACCCGUAAACGAGUGGGGAUGGUGGGAGAUGCAAAUUGGGAGCGGCGGCACGAUGCCAAAUCNNNNNNNNNNNNNNNNNNNNNNNNNNNNNNNNNNNNNNNNNNNNNNNNNNNNNNNNNNNNNNNNNNNNNNNNNNNNNNNNNNNNNNNNNNNNNNNNNNNNNNNNNNNNNNNNNNNNNNNNNNNNNNNNNNNNNNNNNNNNNNNNNNNNNNNNNNNNNNNNNNNNNNNNNNNNNNNNNNNNNNNNNNNNNNNNNNNNNNNNNNNNNNNNNNNNNNNNNNNNNNNNNNNNNNNNNNNNNNNNNNNNNNNNNNNNNNNNNNNNNNNNNNNNNNNNNNNNNNNNNNNNNNNNNNNNNNNNNNNNNNNNNNNNNNNNNNNNNNNNNNNNNNNNNNNNNNNNNNNNNNNNNNNNNNNNNNNNNNNNNNNNNNNNNNNNNNNNNNNGGACGGCCACUUCCUCUAGCAUCACCACUAGCGACGGUGACUCGGAUUUGCGCAAGCAGUGGUGGGCGCGGUAGCAGCACUAUCCGAUAAAAGGAAGUGGUGCUCCCCUUCCUGUUGGCCACUGUCGGGUCGUCCUUGUUGGGGAACGUUGCCAUGGAAAACAAAAACAAAAUCUACGCACACGCAAUGAUCUAUCCAUGGAGAUGCAUAGCAACGGGGGGAGUGUGUAAGUGCAUCUAGUGCCACCCCUAGUUGGUUUUGGAGUAUUGACGACAAACCUGGUUGAUCGACUAAUGUGUUUGUGAGAAUUGUAGGAUAACAUAGGUAGUAGUCCCUCAUUGAUUUGGUUUACCUACCAGAGAUGACCCCUAAAAAUGUGUGAAGACAUUGAAGACAAUGGUGUUCUGUGAAGCUAUUCACGUUGAAGACUAUGACAUGAGAAGACAUUGAGUCAAGACUAUGGAGCGCGAAGAUUUAGUUGUUUUGUUGUGUCCUUUUCUUCUUUGUUGAGUCAUAGGAACCACCGCACUAUUAAGUGGGGUCCAAGUGAACAAAGUCAGAGUGACUGAAGUGAUGCUCAACCAAAUCCUAUGUCUUCGAGCGAAGACAAUGAGAGCAAAUCUUAUCCAUAGUCGGAUGAGUCAGCUUUACUUGUAGCCCAAGUCAAGUUGUCGCGUGCAUUUGAAAUAUGACCGUUGUGACACAUGUCAGUUCUUUAGUGACCCAGGGUCAUUUCAGACAAAUCAGAUCGGGUUGCCCAGUGGCUAUAAAUAGCAAACCCCCUACACCAUAAAUUGGUGGCUGCUUAGAGUUAGUACACGGCUUUUGUCGUUUGAGAGCAACCCACCGCCGAAGCUUUUGAGAGAGAAUCCUUGCGAGGACAAAGCCCAAACCACCCAGAGCCCAAAGAGUGUUUGGCAUCACUGAAGACUUUCUGUCCGCGUGAUCUGAAGACUUGUUACACUUGAGGACUGUGAAUCCUCCAGCCGGUUAGGCGUCACGUUCUGAGCAUCCGAGAGUCAUUGUGGAUUGCCGGUGAAUGGAGUCUGUGAAGGUUCGGAAGUCUACCUUGAAGACUUACCAGAGUGAUUGGGCGGGGACUAGGUGUCCUUAGCUCAAGGGGAAUAAGGUGAAGACGCAGUCUUCUGAGUUGAAUCUCAGCCUCCCUAACCAGACGUACAGUUGUAACAGCAACUGGAACUGGUCGAACAAAUCCCUGUCCUCCUGAUGCUACUGGUUCUAUCUCUCACUUCUCUCUACUUUCAGUUUGUCUUCGUGAAGUCAUUGCCUGCUUGCAUUAUCUGUUUGACUUCACUGUGUGACUACCUGUUCUGAUUGGCUUCAUACUAUCUUCCAUCCUGAUAUUUACUACCUUGCUGCUAUUAGUCUUCGUGCUUUCACUUUAUUGAAUACUUGACUAUGGCUUGUCUAGUGUAGUCUACCUUCCGCUGCAUACGAAUAGUGUCGUUUCUAUUGUGUGUCUUCGAAACUCCCAUGUUUUGAAGACUUUAAUAAAAAUCGCCUAUUCACCCCCCCUCUAGUCGAUAACUAGCCCUUUCAAUUGGUAUCAGAGCAAGGUAUUCCCUUGUUCUGUGUGAUUCGGUUUAACCACCUGGAGUUUUAGCUAUGUCGACUGUAGGGAUAAUCAAAGUCUCCGCUGUGUGCCCCAUCUUUGAUGGCACUGAAUAUCCCUACUAGAAGAAUAGGAUGCACAUGCAUCUUGAAGCCAUUGAUGUCGAUCUAUGGUAUGUUUCAAGAAUGGUGUUCCCAAGACUGGUGAAGGUGUCACCCCUGCUGACGUCAAGAAGUUCAUUCAACUGGACUCCACCGCCAAGAACAUCAUCUGUGGUCAUCUGACCAAAGGACAGUAUGGCCGUUGAUACGUCUCCAACGUAUCUAUAAUUGUUGAUUGCUCCAUGCUACUUUAUCUACUGUUUUGGACUAUAUUGGGCUUUAUUUUCCACUUUUAUAUUAUUUUUGGGACUAACCUAUUAACCGGAGGCCCAGCCUAGAAUUGUUGUUUUUUGCCUAUUUCAGUGUUUCGAAGAAACGGAAUAUCAAACGGAGUCCAAACGGAAUGAAACCUUCGGAAACGUGAUUUUCUCACCGAACGUGAUCCAGGAGACUUGGACCCUACUCCAAGAAGUAACAGAGGCGGUCACGAGGGUGGGGGGCGCCCCCCUAGGGCGCGCCCCCUGCCUCCUGGCCCCCCUGUUGCUCCACCGACGUACUCCUUCCUCCUAUAUAUACCUAUGUACCCCCAAACGAUCAAAAGAGGAGCCAAAAUCCUAAUUCCACCGCCGCAACCUUCUGUAUCCAUGAGAUCCCAUCUUGGGGCAUGGUCCGGAGCUCCGCCGGAGGGGGCAUCCACCAUGGAGUGCUUCUACAUCAACACCAUAGCCCCUCCGAUGAAGUGUGAGUAGUUUACUUCAGACCUUCGGGUCCAUAGCUAGUAGCUAGAUGGCUUUUUCUCUCUUUUUGGAUCUCAAUACAAUGUUCUCCCCCUCUCUCAUGGAGAUCUAUUCGAUGUAAUCUUCUUUUUGCGGUGUGUUUGUUGAGAUCGAUGAAUUGUGGGUUUAUGAUCCAGCUUAUCUAUGAAUAAUAUUUGAAUCUUUUCUGAAUUCUUUUAUGUAUGAUUGAGUUAUCUUUGCAAGUCUCUUUGAAUUAUCCGUUUGGUUUGGCCAACUAGAUUGGUAGUUCUUGCAAUGGGAGAAGUGCUUAGCUUUGGGUUCAAUCUUGCGGUGUCCUUUCCCAGUGACAGAAGGGGCAUCAAGGCACGUAUUGUAUUGUUGCCAUUGAGGAUAACAAGAUGGAUUUUUUAUCAUAUUGCAUGAAUUUAUCCCUCUACAUCAUGUCAUCUUGCUUAAGGCGUUACUCUGUUUUUAACUUAAUACUCUAGAUGCAUGCUGGAUAGUGGUCGAUGAGUGGAGUAAUAGUAGUAGAUGCAGAAUUGUUUCGGUCUAUUUGUCUUGGACUUGAUGCCUAUAUACAUGAUCAUACCUAGAUAUACUCAUAACUAUGCUCAGUUCUGUCAAUUGCUCAACAGUAAUUUGUUCACCGACCGUAGAAUAUCUAUGCUCUUGAGAGAAGCCACUAGUGAAACCUAUAUAUGGCCCCCGGGUCUACUCUCAUCAUAUCAAUCUCCAUUACUUUAUUACUUGCUUUGUUUUUACUUUGCCUUUUACUUUUCACUUUGCAUCUAUAUACCAAAAAUACCAAAAAUAUUAUUUAGCAUCUCUAUCAGAUCUCACUCUCGUAAGUGACCGUGAAGGGAUUGACAACCCCUAAUCACGUUGGUUGCGAGGAGCUAUCGUUUUGUGUAGGUACGAGGGACUUGUGCGUGGCCUCCUACUGGAUUGAUACCUUGGUUCUCAAAAACCGAGGGAAAUACUUACGCUACUUUGCUGCAUCAUCCUCUCCUCUUCGGGGAAAUCCAACGCAGUGCUCAAGAGGUAGCAGCCGUGUGAGUGCUCUGGAAACGUUGAAGCUAGUCUGGGACUGGCUCUCCAAGGUCAAUGAAGGCGUCUCAACUCAGCGAUAUCAACGGAUCAGUACUCUCCACAACCUCUUCAACCGCUUCAAGAGACACGACAAUGAGAAUGUCCAACUCACAUUUGAUCGCCCCACUGAUAUCACAAAUGAGCUCCAAGCACUCGGCGCCACUGAGAUUAUGAUGCAUGAGAUAGUGAAGAUACUACUGAGAUCUCUUGACAGCUCAUUUGACACCUUAGCCCUGAUGAUACAAGAACGCCCUGACUUCAAGUCUCUCGAUCCGUUUGACAUACUUGAGAGGCUCAACACACAUGAGUACCAGCUAUCUGAGAAACGAGAUAUUUAUGGCCCCCACUAUGGCCGAACUCGCGCUUUGAUGGCAGAGGCUGCUGCUUCCUCAUCUGAAGAAAAAUCUGACUGCAGUUCUGGUGAUCCUGAAGACAUUGGAAAGGAGCUUGCUAUGCUUGUGAAGAAGUUCCAGAAAUUCACCAAGAAGAAAGGCUUCAGAAAGUCUUCACGAUCCAGCUCAAGGAAUGAUGAAGCUUCUGCCUAUGACCACAAGAAGAGAACCUGCCACAAGUGCAAGAAACCUGGUCACUACAUCUCUGAGUGUCCACACUAGUGCAGAACCGGGCAAUAGCACCGGUUCGUAAGGCCCUUUAGUGCCGGUUCCAAAACCAGCACUAAAGUGUGGUCACUAAAGGCCCCCCCCUUUAGUACCGGUUCAGCAUGAACCGGUGCUAAAGGGCAACCACGUGGCACGAGCCAGCUCCGGGGGCCUGGAGCCCUUUAGUACCGGUUGGUAAGACCAACCGGUACUAUAAGGUUUGGGGUUUUUUUUAGUUUUAUGAUUUCUUUUUCAUUUAAUUUUGUGUUUCCAUUUUAAUUCUUUUUCGUUUGCUGGUAUUUUACGAUACUACACAUUGUGUUACUAUUCAUCACCCGGGUGCAGAAUAAGUUAUUCUUCACCCAAGGUAAUAUUACGAUCAUUUCACAAAUAAAUUAUGUUUCAAAUACAAAUAGUUACAGCCAUAUUGAUUCACUGCGUAAAAAUUGGCAUAAAAAAGAUCAGAAGACAAGAAAAAUUACAUUUUAUGUACAUUUUACAAUAUGUUUUUACAUUUGUAAUUUACGUAACANNNNNNNNNNNNNNNNNNNNNNNNNNNNNNNNNNNNNNNNNNNNNNNNNNNNNNNNNNNNNNNNNNNNNNNNNNNNNNNNNNNNNNNNNNNNNNNNNNNNNNNNNNNNNNNNNNNNNNNNNNNNNNNNNNNNNNNNNNNNNNNNNNNNNNNNNNNNNNNNNNNNNNNNNNNNNNNNNNNNNNNNNNNNNNNNNNNNNNNNNNNNNNNNNNNNNNNNNNNNNNNNNNNNNNNNNNNNNNNNNNNNNNNNNNNNNNNNNNNNNNNNNNNNNNNNNNNNNNNNNNNNNNNNNNNNNNNNNNNNNNNNNNNNNNNNNNNNNNNNNNNNNNNNNNNNNNNNNNNNNNNNNNNNNNNNNNNNNNNNNNNNNNNNNNNNNNNNNNNNNNNNNNNNNNNNNNNNNNNNNNNNNNNNNNNNNNNNNNNNNNNNNNNNNNNNNNNNNNNNNNNNNNNNNNNNNNNNNNNNNNNNNNNNNNNNNNNNNNNNAAAUAUUUUUACGGCAAUUAUAUAUUUUUCUUACGUUCUCUUUUUGCAUCUGAAAUAAGAUAAAAUUUAAGAAACGUAAAAUUACGGUGCAUUAAUGUUAAAAUAGAGAGGGGUGAAGAAUAACUAUUUCUCACCUAGGGUGACGAAUAUAUAUAUAUAUAUAUAUAUAUAUAUAUAUAUAUAUAUAUAUAUAUAUAUAUAUAUAUAUAUAUAUAUAUAUAUAUAUAUAUAACUAUUCUGCUAAUAUUAGCAGAAUAACUAUUCUGCACAUCACUUCGACACUGCACGCUCAACAGAAGUGCACUACAUCAUUUUGACGACGAGCACUGCAAUAGAGACUAGUGAACUUCUCGUCGGAAAAAACUGCACGCGUUAGUUUUUUGGUACUGUUUUCGCUCUAAUUUUUUAACCGUUUAUUGGAAUAAGGCGUGUAAUAUAUCAUUGAAAAGCUAUGGAUUAGGCGCAACUUCGACAUGUUGAACACUUUUCGAGAUUCCACACGGUUUAAGAGCAGUUUUGAAAAUAGUGCGGCGGAUGACGAGUGGCAGCGAGCGUUUUUUCGCGUUUUUUUCUAAACCGCUUGUCGGAACGAAGCAAAUGAUACGCCGUUGGAUAGAUAUCGUCGAGGCACAUCUUUUCCAUAUAUAAAUCUUUCUCUAAUUCAUUACGGUUUAAGAGCAGUUUCAAAUUUACUAAAUCACGGAACUCUGUUUUUCAAAAAAAUUUGAGAUUUUUGGUACUAUUUUAGCUCCAGUUUUCUAACCGUUUGUCGAAAUGAGACAUAUGAUACGCCGUUGGAAAGCUACGGACCAGGCGCAACUUUCAUAUGUUGAAAUGGUUUUGAGAUUCCUUACAAUUUUUAGUUAAUUUUGAAAAUCGUGCGGCUGACUUCGAGAGGCAGCGGCUGUUUUUUCGCGAAAUUUUUACGAACCGCUGGUCAGGAUAAUUCAAAUCAUACGCCGUUGGAAAGAUAUCGACGAGACGCAACUUUUUCAUGUAGAACACUCUCUCUAAUUCAUUACGGUUUAAGAGCAGUUUUCAAAUUACCGAAAUGCGGGCACUCUGUUUUUCGCGACACCAAAAUCGACGUGGGUACUUCUCCGACUGAAAACCGCACUGCAUCGGACGAAAAAUCGCACUGCAUCGGACGGGUAAAACAACUGCAUGAUUUCUUUUUUGUGGGACGUAAAUUUUUGAAGACGAGGAAGAAAACCACACUGCUUUUAGACUGAAAACCGCACUGCAUCAGACGGGCUAGCGGACUGCAUGAUUUCUUUUUUGUGGGACGCAAACUUUUGAAGACAAGGAAGAAAACCGCACUGCUUUUAGACUGAAAACUCGCACUUCAUCGGACAGACAAGUGCACUUUAUGAUUUCUUUUUUGUGGGACAUAAAUUUUUCCCAAACGAGGUAGCAAACCGCACUGCUUCAGACUAAAAACCACAGUACAUGAGAAGGGCAAGUGCACUGCACCGUUUCUUUUGUCAGACAUAAUUUUUCUGAUGCGAGGAAGUGAAGUGCGCUUCACAUCGUGCGUAAGUUAACCGCAAAAUUAUGGAGAAGUGAACCGCGUUACUUUUUGUUCUUGUUUCGGUAACGCUUUUUUAUUUGCACUUACGAGAUGAACAUCAUCAGACGGCCGUCCGCACUGCUUCAUAUGGAGAACCGCACUACAAUAGACGCUUCAUAUGGAAAACCGCAAUGCCAUAGACGGGCAAGCGAACUUAAUUGUUUUUAUGCAUUUUAUUUUAAAUGGAGUGGACAAAAAAGUCCUUCAUAGUGGACAUUUUUUAAGACCAAAGUGCACCACAUUUGCAUAUUUUUUAAAAUGUGUUUUGUUCUAAAUGGGAUGUACUGAAUAGUCCUUCGUAGUGGACUUCUUUUAGUCCAAAGUGCACCGCAUUUGCAUGUUUUUUAAAUACAUUUUGUUUUAAAUGGGGUGUACCGAAAAAUCCUUCAUAGUGGACUUUAGUGCUAAAUGAAGUGUACUGAAGAGUCCUUCGUAGCAGACUUUUUUUUAAACCAAAAAGUGCACUGCAUUUGCAUUUUUUUAAAUGCAUUUUGUUUUAAAUGGAGUGUAUUGAAAAAUCCUUCGUGCUGGAAUUUUUUGGUAAGACCAAAGUGCACUGCAUUUGCAUUUUUUUUAAAUGCACUUUGGUAUAAAUGUAGUAGAAUAGUUCUUCCUAGUGGACCUUUUUUUAGACCAAAGUGCACCGCAUGAUCGAAAAGAAUGAACCACAAGACCAUGCUUUUUAUGGACAACAAUAUUUUAAACACAAAUCAUGUAUGUGUUCACCGUACAUGGCAACCGAGUUAAUGUAUUCAAACACAAACAAAAUUGCACGCGCCCAAACGACAAUGCUUUUGCCCACAACCGCUACCCUUUUGUGCCGGACUGAACUUUUGUUCACUAGUAUAGUAGAAGUGUUAGUUUCCUUAUAGGAUGCAAAUAUGUACAACUCUCUCUUGAAGGAUGAGGAGGUGGGGAGACGCCGGGCGGGAGGAGGAGGAGGCGGGGCUGCGCCGGCCGGGAGGUGGAGGCGGGGCGGCACCGGCCGGGGGUAGGAGGAGGCGGGGUUGGAGGUGGAGGUUGUGCGACGGCGGGGCAGGAGGUGGUGGUCGCGGGGAGUGGAGGGGCACGGGAAGGGAGGGGAGUUGGUGCUCGAACAAGAUAAGGUGGUUUGUUUGUAGCUACAUCGGUACGUGGGGUGUUAGCAGAAUAACGCGGGUGUUAGCAGAAUAAGGGUCUUAAGGGUGUUAUCAUAAUAGACCCAUCCUAUAUAUAGGGUGGGUCUAUUAUGAUAACACCCAUAAGAGUCUUAUUCUGCACACCAAAUCGCUUAUUCUGCUAACACCCCAAACGCACUCCCCACGUGCCUCCCACCCCACCUCCGGCACGAAACCUACCUCCUGCCCCGAUCCAAACCCCCACCUCCCUGCACCUUCUUCCCCGGCCACGCACAACUACUCGCCGCGUCCACCUUCUCUCUUUCUGGCCGGCGUGCAUGCCACCAGCGCCGCCCCCGCGGGCUUCCUUCCCCACGGCCGCGAGCUUCCCCUCCCCUUCCCCACUCCGCCCGUUCGAGCUCCCCCAACCUGUCCCCUCCCCUGACACCUUCUUCCUACGCCGCCGCCCACAACCCAGCGCCGUCCCGCCCCCCACGUGCCAUCGGGAUCCCGCGCCGCCGCCACGAAAACACCAGAUCGGGCCUCCCCCAGGUGCAGCCGNNNNNNNNNNNNNNNNNNNNNNNNNNNNNNNNNNNNNNNNNNNNNNNNNNNNNNNNNNNNNNNNNNNNNNNNNNNNNNNNNNNNNNNNNNNNNNNNNNNNNNNNNNNNNNNNNNNNNNNNNNNNNNNNNNNNNNNNNNNNNNNNNNNNNNNNNNNNNNNNNNNNNNNNNNNNNNNNNNNNNNNNNNNNNNNNNNNNNNNNNNNNNNNNNNNNNNNNNNNNNNNNNNNNNNNNNNNNNNNNNNNNNNNNNNNNNNNNNNNNNNNNNNNNNNNNNNNNNNNNNNNNNNNNNNNNNNNNNNNNNNNNNNNNNNNNNNNNNNNNNNNNNNNNNNNNNNNNNNNNNNNNNNNNNNNNNNNNNNNNNNNNNNNNNNNNNNNNNNNNNNNNNNNNNNNNNNNNNNCCCUCCCACCACCAACCUUCGGCCAGCCUCUGCCCCAUACUGCACUGCCCCACCAUCCUCCUCGUGCGCCGCGUAGGAGCGCCACCUCACCCGCGCCGCCCCCACCAUCCUCCUCCUGCUCCCAACCCACUUCCCUCUCUGGUAGCUCAAUCCAAAUCGGGAUCGAGUGCAUCUCCCUCGUCGGCGAGCUCGCUCUGCCUCGUAGGCUCCUGUGCGGCAACAUCUAGAGGAGCACGAGGGCCGAGCGAUUUGGUUGCUCCUCCCCGUGCAGUUCGCCUUCACCACCGCUCACUCGACUGCCGCUCCUCCUCCAAUCUCCCUUCCCCAGCGACUAUCCCAAGAUGUUGUUGUCUCCUCCCUUCCUCUCUUAUCUCCACAGUCGGUGAGUUCCCCUGUCCCUUCUUGCCACUCCAUCCUACUCCCUCUAGCACUGGCGCAGAGCUCCUAACAGCAUGUGCUUUGAAAAAGCUUGAGAUGCAGCUCGCCGACGUGUGCUCGAUGCCACCCGUUCCUGGCAGUGUCCACAAAGCCGUUCUGUUUGCACGGGAAAGCGGUUCUGCAACUCGUCCCUGCAGUUCCUGGUCGUGGAUCCAUUUUCUUAACCUUUUUUAAUGUGAUGUAUCGGCGUAUUUUGCAUCAAAGUUUACUGCUCGGGGGUGCACUUCAGUCCGAUGGAGGGGCACGUGCAGCUCUGUUAUUUUAUUUUUGACCUGUUGUGCUUUGUUUGUUUUUGUGUAAAAAGAAGUCACGCUCGGGCCGCACUGCAGUCCGAUGGCGGGGCGCGUUCAGUGCUCUGUUGCUUCAGUGGGAGAAAAGGGAGUCCUAGUGUCGCCUCUAAACUCUUUUGGUGAUGCGGUUAUGUCCACCUACACGCACAACCCAAAAAAAGUGUCGAGUGGACUAUACGGUUGGUUGUUCCUGGGUUCAAUUCACUAAUGUGAGUGUGGCUGUGUAAAUGAAUGGAUAUGUAUGUGUUUGAAGCUCACUUUGUCCUCUCAUGCAAUUCACUAUAAAACUCCCUUGUGGUUCACUUGGUAAUCCGAAACAAAAACACCUCGGAAAGCAGCUCACUUCUCAUUACAUGUGGUUCACUUGCUCAGUCCCUGCGAUCCACUCGCCCGGUCUACACACGUAAAAAAAUAUUGAAUUUGGAAAAAGCUCAAGCAGUUCACUUUCGGUAGUGUCGCGGCCCGUUUAUGGUAGUCUCGAGGUUCACUUUUCAUUGUAUUGUGGUUCGCCAACACUCGACAUGAAGUGCACUCCACCUCGUUUGGGAAAAUUUGCAUCCCACAAAAAAAAAUCAUGCAGUGCACUUGUCUGUCAGAUGAAGUACAGUAUUUUAUCUGAAGCAGUGCGUUCUUCUUUCCCCGUUCGAGAAAAAAUAGGUCUAAACAAAAAGAAACCAUGCAGUGCACUUGCCCAUCUAAUGAAGUGCGGUAUUUCAUCAGAAGCGGUGCGUUCUUCUUUCCUCGUCCGAGGAAAAAUACGUCUAAACAAAAAGAAACCACGCAGUGAACUUGUCCAUCUGAUGCAGUGCGGUAUUUCGUCUGAAAUAGUGCGUUCUUCUGUCCGAUGCAGUACAUACGACGAUUUUGGUCUCGCGAAGAACAGUGUCCGCUUUUCGGUAAAAUCAAAACUGCUCUUAAAGCGUAAGGAAUUAGAGAGAGUGUUCUACAUGAAAAAAUUGCGUCUCGUCGAUAUCUUUCCAACGCCGUAUCGUUUGAAUCAUUCCGACCAGCGGUUUGCAAAAAUUUCGCGAAAAACGGCCGCUGCCACUCGUCAUCCGCCGCACGAUUUUCAAAAUUAACUUAAAACCGUAAGGAAUCUCAAAAAUAUUUCAACAUACGAAAGUUGCGCCUCAUUCAUAGCUUUCCAACGGCGUAUCACAUGCCUCGUUUCGACAAACGGUUCAAAUACUAGAGCGAAAACAGUACCGAAAAUUUGAAAAAAUUUGAAAAACAGAAUUCCGCAAUUUAGUAAAUUUGAAACUGCCCUUAAACCGUAACGAAUUAGAGAAAGAUUUAUAUAUAGAAAAGAUGCGCCUCGACGAUAUCUAUCCAACGGUGUAUCAUUUGAUUCAUUCCGACAAGCGGUUUAGAAAAAAACAUGAAAAAAGCUCGCUGCCACUCGUCAUCCGCCGCACCAUUUUUAAAACUGCUCUUGAACCGUGUGGAAUCUUGAAAAGUGUUGAACAUGUCGAAGUUGCGCCUAAUCCAUAGCUUUUCAACGGUGUAUUACACGCCUUAUUCCGAUAAACGGUUAAAAAACUAGAGCGAAAACAGUACCGAAGAAACACCGCGUGCAGUUUUUUUCGACACGAAGUUCACUCGUGCGAGUACUGUAGCACACUUGGUUCAAACAAUGACGUGCACUUGCAUUGAGAGUGCAGUGCGGAAGUGGUGUGCAGAAUAGUUAUUCUGCUAAUAUAUAUAAAUAGAAUUUCUAGUAGAACCAACCAUGCAUAUAUAUAUCAUCAAUGUCUCACAAACCACCAUAUUAAGUAAUUCACACAUACACACAUGUAUAGCUAUAUAUGAUUUCUCCUACAUAUGCAUGUUGCCUUUGGAGCCAGUGGCAUUAGCCUAAUUGGUGCCUUCGGAUCACGAUGACAAUUGGAAGUGGUUUUCAUGGGGGCGGUAGCGGGUAAUAGUAUUCUCCCUUCGGAUUUAUGACCUGGUCGAGCAAAAAUCCCGCUAUUUCCUCUUGAAGUGCUUCUAUGCGCUCCGUUUCUAGGAGCUUCUUCCGCACCUCUUUGAACUGUUAAGAAGGAGAUCAAUAUGCAUGUGUAUUAGUUGUGUGACUAGAUAUCGAUAAUGGUGUAAAAAUUGUGAAUAGUGUUCUGACAAGCGUACCCAUUCCUGUCUUUGAGAUCUGCUCCUUUAGGACGCCAUCAUGCGAAUGUUCUCGCAAACGCAGAAUGCACACAGAUCAGUCCCCUGCGCCUGCUUCAGGGCCUUUACGAGAAUGGAAUUUGAUUAGAUAAUAAUUAAUCAAGCAUGAUAAUUAAAGAGAUGGCAGCUAGCUAGCUAGUACUACUUAAUUACUUACCUUGGGUUGAAACCAUUUAAGCUUUUUUUUCCAUUCGCCUUCCGUGACGCUGAUGAACCUUGCCCAAGCCCUGCCCGCCGACAAAGAAAAUGAAUAAAGGGGUUAUUAAAUAGUUCAUAUCAUGAAAUGACGAACUAAAUAGGCCGAGAUAUAUAGUUAAUAAUGAUUGAAAUUACCUGUUGACUAUCCCAAACAAGAUGUUAUAGUCAGUUUUUUCUUUGAGUAGUGAGUCCAGUACUUCAACUGUUCUGGUGUCAACUUUAAUGAUACACAAGACACAGUGAAAUCUGCAUGCACACACGUUUGCAUGUCUUAAUUAAGCGGGUAUAUGUAAGCAAAAACAUGUAGCUAGCUAGUAGGCAAAAACAGAGAAUUUGUAGUACAAGACAGUGACUCACUGGAAGUUGUAAGGAAGUAGUAUAUUUUCAUUGUAUUUGAGGCGCUUCAAGAACUCUAGCAUGUUGUCCUCUACGUUCUUUUGAUGAUGUGGAUUUAUUAGCCAUGUGUAUUCAUUAACAGUGUUUGGGUCAAUGAACCCAAUGCCAAAGCGUCCACCUUUUCUCAUUUCAUACAUAUUCAUCCUGCAUAAUACCAAAGAAAAGAAUAUAGUGAGGAUAAUUACAGGUAAUGAUUGAUCAAAAUGAUCACUACAGCUAGCUUGAGACUUAAAUUACAGAAAGAAAUCACUUACAGAUAAUAGCAACUGACGAUAGAUUUGUUGAGUGCGUCUUGAUUGUAUAACUGAAACAGUUCAGAAUACUCAACAGACAGAGCUUUCUCAUGGAAGUAAUGCUCCUCCUUGACAUUCACCAUGAGGGACAAUCGAUCUGAAAUCUUGGUAAUGUUCAUGUACCAUUGAUGCAAUUCAUACAUUCUCGUUGGGAGGUUCUUGACCUUGUCUGGCUCGACCAAAGGUUGGCUCGAUCUCGAGGAGUUGUCCAACAGUGAUGUUGAGAACUUCAUCCUGCAUUAUAUGCUCCUCCGUUAUUACCACAUUGCCCACCUCGGGAACGUGCACUGUUUGCCCACAAUAAUAUUGGGCGCGCGUACUGUCAUGUGUUGUUGGCACAACAAGCGAGGGGAUCGAUUGCGCCGCCUGUUCUCCCAGCUGGGGAAUGGUUUUCCCGCAUUUUUUGACAGCUGCUUCUUGUUUGCUCGAUCCCGAGCCAGCCUCCUUACGUAGACGUUCUCGAUUUAACUUCCUGAUGUGACGCUCAUAGUCUGUGUCAACAGGCUUGGGAGCUGGUGGUUGAGCCAUAUGAAUGAAGUGGUCAAUCGUUUCCUCAGGCACUUUCUCCCUUGGCGGCGGUGGCGGUUUCGGUGCAAAAUGGGCUUCCACCUCGGCCUUCGAUAUGGCUGCGAUUUCCUCCUUGGACCUGUCAUAAGCCCUCUGCGGAAGAGGCGUGAGACUUGGACCAUAUUUAUAUCGCUUGCCUCCGCCUGUACUUCCUGUACUACCUCGACUCGUACCGCUACGCACCAUAGCUGCGGGGUGUCUCUUCUGCGAUUGCUGAGGCGGCGGAGACGGCUGACGGGGCUGAGUUGGAUGAGGAGGAGUGGCCUGAAGCUGUGCCGUACUUGGAGGAGGAGUGGCCUGAGGUUGUGCCGGACUUGGAGGAGGAGUGGACGUCUGAUGCUGUGGUGGACUUGGAGGAGGAGGAGUGGCCUGACACUUUGCCGGACUUGGAGGAGGAGUGGCCUGACACUUUCCGGACUUGGUGGACUUGCAAGAGCUGGAGUCUGCUGACUCGGUGGUGGACUUCGACGAGGAGUCGGCUGACGCGGUGUCGGUGGCCUUCGCAAGAUGAUGCAAUCCUUUUUCCAUAGGAUGAUACGAUGUUUGGCCUCUCCGAGAAAGCGCUCGCCGUCACCUCCAGGAAUGUCAAGCUGUAGCUCCGAAUAUGGUGGGUCCACCACCUCAUCAACCAAGACACGAGCAUAGCCCGCUGGAAUCGGGUUGCAAUGGAAGGUUGCCUCGGGGGGAUUUGUAAAAGCAACACCGUCUGCCACCUUCAUGGAUAUGUUCUUCAUUUUGACGUGUAGCUCGCAGUUAGUGUUCUCCGUGAUGUCAUCCAUGGGGUAUCUACCCAGCAUUGCGUCGUCCGGGACGGAACCCACGCUGCUUCUCGGCAUGGAUGGGCCGGUGCUAUCCAAUGCUGGAUCAUCCGCUAGCUGCUGCAGCUGCUGAGACCCCCUUUGCUGGGUAAGUGAGUCGAUCUGCUCCUGCUGCCGCUGGAAUUUGACUGCCAAUUCCACUUGACUUGCUUCUAGGCCUUGAAGGCGUUCAUAGUCCCGCUUCCUCUGCUCCUCCUCCAUCUUCCUCUUCUUCUCCUCCGCAAUCUUCUUUCUCGCAUGGGUUCUGUAGUCGGUGUUCCAUUCUGAAAACCCCUCAUACCACGGAAUAGCGCCCUUGCCUCGUGUUCUUCCCGGGUGUUCAGGAUUUCCCAGGGCACGCGUAAGCUCGUCGUUCUCUCUGUUGGGCUGGAACACCCCCGAUCGUGCCUCUUCUGUUGCAACAAGUAUCGCAUCGUCGGCUCCCUUCAGACUUGCCCUCGUCGAAACAUUGCCUGUCUCCGGGUCCAACUCCCCCCAUGCGCAUAGAACCAAGUCCUGACCCUAGGGGGCCAGCUCUUAGUAACCGGAGUGAUACCUGCGUCCUCCAUCUCUUUCUCAGACUUAUCCCAGUUAGGCAUUGCCACCGCAUAGCCACCUGGCCCCAGCUUAUGGGACUUAUCCUUUUUUUGGCAUUCUUCUUGUUUAUUCUCGACCGUUCCUUAGCUAAUUCCGAAUCCUUGAAUUUCACGAAAUCGUCCCAAUGAACACGUUGGUUCUCUAGUGUUCCCUCGAAUAUUGGAGUCUUCCUUCCUCCCUUGACGUACUUGUUCCAUUCAUGAUUCUUGUGGUUCUUGAAUGCAACCGCCAUCUUCCUAAGAGCAAUGUCCUUGACUUUCUGCACAUCUGCUUCUGUGAAAUGAUCUGGUAGGGUGAAAUGUUCCAUGAGAGUAUCCCAAAGCAGAUCUUUUUGAUUCUUGUCGACAAAAGUAACAUCUGGACGUGGCUUUGCUGGCUCUCUCCAUUCUUGAAGUUUGAUCGGGAGUUGGUCCUUCACAAGAAUUCCGCACUGACGAACGAACUUGUCCGCAAUCUUCUUAGGCGCUAAUGGUUCGCCAGUAGGGCUGCAUGCCUCGAUAUUGUACUUUACGCCCUGCUUCAACUUUUUGUUCGGGCCUCGUUUCGUCCUUUUGCCUGAACAUUUGCUCGAUCCGGAUGGCUGAAAGAACAAAGAUCGAUUCGUUAAUAUAUCUUCAAGUCCUUUAAAACAUGCGAUGAUCACCAGAUGCCUGCUUAUAUAAAUAUAUAUACCUCGCCGGUCUUUGUUGUUUCAGGAUCAACAUGUUCUUCGUCAUCGUCAUAAUCGUAGUUCAUGACUUCAUCAAUUCGGUCGUCGCGAUCGAAUAUCAUAUCACCCUCUCCGGUGUUGUUUAGAAAUUCGGAGCCGUCAUAAUCUUCUUCAUUCUGAUCAUCAUCUGGCCCGCGUAUCAUAUCUAACAUGGUCUGUUCUCCCCCUCUGUCGUAUUGUCUGCCAUAGCUUUUAUUUAACUAAUCCAAAAGAAAUAUAAAACAAUUUAGUAUUCAAAUUACAUCGUCUCGAAUAAUAGAUAUAAUCUCGAAUACAUUGUCUAGAAUAAUAGAUAUAAUCUUGAAUACAUCGUCUCGAAUAAUAUAUAAUAUUGAAUAGUACAUCACUGGCUAGGUAGCUAAUAAAGAUCAAAUACUACAGAAGAAUCUAGGACACUUGCGGUUCCUGCGGCGCGGGCGGUGGACACCCAAAGAGAAGGAACCCUCACAGGAUCAUAGCUGAAGUGAGAUCCCCGAAGAAACUGCCAGGUAUUGGAGAACCUGCCGCCCUCUAACGCAACCAUGUAGCGAUGGAUGUGCUCGUCCUCCUCCCUGACACGGUGACGUACCACCUCCGGCGGGGCCGGGUCCCUUCGCACCGAAACUGGCCCACGCGAACGCCACCAAACGAGAUCAGGGUCGACGACGGGACCUGGGGCUGGGUUCCUCAUCAAGCGGCGCGCCCCUCCAGGCAGCACCUCCCAGUGCCAGCCCGGCGGAGCCCAGUCCCGGACAUGGGUCGGCUGGACGUCGUCGCGGACAGGUCGACGGCGAGGAUGCGGGCCGGGCAUUGUCGAGAACAAAUACUAGCUAUAUGCCCGCAAAAAGUAACAUUUUUUUAAUGAUUGGAUUUUGAUAACUAAAAUUUCUAACAUUUCUAUAUAACACUAAUUAUGCUAUCAUUGCAUAUGUCAAAAAUCUAUAUACUAUUUCAUACUAAUUAAGCAUCUAACACUAAAAACAGAAAACACAACUUCUAUACAUCCAUUAAAAAACUGAAAAACAACAUUAUAUAAAAAAUUUCCAUACUAAUUAAACACUAAUUAUAUCCAUCUAACAUGCAUUCAUACAUAUAUAAUAGUGAAAAAAUAAUAAUCUAAAUAAUCUAAACUAAUUAAACAUACAAAAUACGUAUAUACUAAUAUAUACAUGCAUUAAUUCAUACAUAUGUACGUGUGUGUGUGUGUGUNNNNNNNNNNNNNNNNNNNNNNNNNNNNNNNNNNNNNNNNNNNNNNNNNNNNNNNNNNNNNNNNNNNNNNNNNNNNNNNNNNNNNNNNNNNNNNNNNNNNNNNNNNNNNNNNNNNNNNNNNNNNNNNNNNNNNNNNNNNNNNNNNNNNNNNNNNNNNNNNNNNNNNNNNNNNNNNNNNNNNNNNNNNNNNNNNNNNNNNNNNNNNNNNNNNNNNNNNNNNNNNNNNNNNNNNNNNNNNNNNNNNNNNNNNNNNNNNNNNNNNNNNNNNNNNNNNNNNNNNNNNNNNNNNNNNNNNNNNNNNNNNNNNNNNNNNNNNNNNNNNNNNNNNNNNNNNNNNNNNNNNNNNNNNNNNNNNNNNNNNNNNNNNNNNNNNNNNNNNNNNNNNNNNNNNNNNNNNNNNNNNNNNNNNNNNNNNNNNNNNNNNNNNNNNNNNNNNNNNNNNNNNNNNNNNNNNNNNNNNNNNNNNNNNGGGGGCGGUGACGGGCCGGGGCGUGACACGGGGGCGGAGACGCGGGGACGACGCGACGGGGACGGGCCCGGGGGCGGCGACGGCGACGGAGACAAGGGCGGCGACGGGGACGGGGACGGGGGCGGCGACGGCGACGGAGACGACGGAAACAGAGGAACAAACAGAGGGAAAAUGAAAUUUUCAUACCUGUUGUAUAUAUAGAAGGCACCUUUAGUACCGGUUGGAGCCACCAACCGGUACUAAAGGCCUGUUUUGGCCAGGCCAAGCGGCGGGAACCGCACCCCUUUAGUACCGGGUCGUGGCACCAACCGGUACUAAAGGCCCCCCUUUAGUACCGGUUGGAGCCACCAACCGGUACUAAUGGCCGUGCGCUGCCACCCGCGGUGCGCUAUGUUUAGUCCCACCUCGCCGAGCGAAGGGCAGCCGCACUGGUUUAUAAACCCAGCCGCGGCUACCCUUUCGAACUCCUCUAUAUAUAACUGGGGCAGCAAGUACAGGUCAUCUUCAAUAGAGGUGUCAUGCAUGGUACGUGUCUACAACCAGCUGGCGAAACUCCUGGUUUGUUCACGUGUAAUCCAGUCAUCAGACCGCUCCGGGUGUUUGGAGCGUAGCAAAUUCUUGUGUUCAUCCAUAUACGGAGCCACCAAGGUGGAAUUCUGUAGAACUGUGUAGUGUGCAUCAGUGAGAGAAUGUCCGUCCAUAGAUAUUAUUUGUUUCCCUCCUAGCGUGCCUUUUCCAUCCAGUCUGCCCUUAUGCCGGAUUCAGGAACACCAAUCGGCUUAAGGUCAGCAAUAAAGUCAAUACGAAACUCAAUGACCUCCUCAUUUUAAUGGCCCUUGGAGAUGCUUCCUUCUGGCCUAGCACGGUUAUGAACAUAUUUCUUUAAUACUCCCAUGAACCUCUCAAAGGGGAACAUAUUGUGUAGAAAUACAGGACCCAAAACGUUAAUCUCUUCGCAUAGGUGAACUAGGACGUGCGUCAUGAUGUUGAAGAAGGAUGGUGGGAACACCAACUCGAAACUGACAAGACAUUGCACCAAAUCAUUCUGUAACCUUGGUAUGAUUUCUGGAUCGAUUACCUUCUGAGAGAUUGCAUUGAGAAAUGCACAUAGCUUCACAAUGGCUAAUCGAACGUUUUCCGGUAGAAGCCCCCUCAAUGAAACCAGAAGCAGUUGCGUCAUAAUCACGUGGCAGUCAUGAGACUUUAGGUUCUGUAACUUUUUCUCUGCCAUGUUGAUUAUUCCCUUUAUAUUCGACGAGAAGCCAGACGGUACCUUAAUACUGAGCAGGCAUUCAAAGAAGAUUUCCUUCUCUUCUUUGGUAAGAGCGUAGCUUGCAUGACCCUGAUGUAUGCCGUCUUCUCCGUGCAUACGUUGCUGGUCCUCCCGUGCCUCAGGUGUAUCUUUUGUCUUCCCAUACACGCCCAAGAAGCCAAGCAGGGUCACGCAAAGAUUCUUCGUCACGUGCAUCACGUCGAUUGCGGAGCGGACCUCUAGGUCUUUCCAAUAUGGCAGGUCCCAAAAUAUAGAUUUCUUCUUCCACAUGGGUGCGCGUCCGUCAGCGUCCUUCGGAACAGGUUGUCCGCCAGGACCCUUUCCAAAUAUCACCUUCAAAUCCUUGAGCAUAUCAUGUACAUCAGCACCAGUACAGUGGCGAGGCUUCGUCCGGUGAUCCGCCUCACCUUUGAAAUGCUUGCCUUUCUUUCUUACGGGAUGCCUGCUCAGAAGAAAUCGACGAUGUCCCAGGUACACAUUCUUCUUACAACUAUUCAAAUAUAUAUUGUCGGUACCAUCCAAACAGUGUGUGCAUCCGCGGUAUCCCUUGUUUGUCUAUCCUGAAAGGUUACUGAGAGCAGGCCAAUCAUUGAUGGUCACGAACAGCAACGCCUUUAGGUCAAAUUCUUCCCCCAUGGGCUCAUCCCACGCACGUACACCUGUUCCAUUCCACAGUUGUAAGAGUUCUUCAACUAAUGGCCUUAGGUACACAUCAAUGUCGUUGCCGGGUUGCUUAGGGCCUUGGAUGAGCACUGGCAUCAUAAUGAACUUCCGCUUCAUGCACAACCAAGGAGGAAGGUUAUACAAACAUAGAGUCACAGGCCAGGUGCUAUGGUUGCUGCUCUGCUCCCCAAAAGGAUUAAUGCUAUCUGUGCUUAGACCAAACCAUACGCUCAUUGCGUCAUCUGCAAACUCCUUCCCAUACUUUCUUUCGAUUUUUCUCCACUGCGACCCGUCAGCGGGUACUCUCAACUUUCCGUCUUUCUUACGGUCUUCUCUGUGCCAUCGCAUCGCCUUGGCAUGCUCUUUCUUUUGGAACAAACGUUUCAACUGUGGUAUUAUAGGAGAAUACCACAUCACCUUGGCAGGAAUCUUCUUCCUGGGGCGCUCGCCCUCGACAUCACCAUGCUCAUCGCGGCUGAUCUUAUAGCGCAAUGCACCACAUACCGGGCAAGCGUUCAAAUCCUCGUACUCACCGCGGUAGAGGAUGCAAUCAUUAGGGUAUGCAUGUAUCUUCUGCACCUCUAACCCUAGAGGGCAGACAGCCUUCUUUGCUUCGUACGUACUCUCGGGCAAUUCGUUGUCCUUUGGAAGCAUAUCCUUUAUCAUUACCAGCAACCUUCCAAAUCCCUUGUCAGAUACACCAUUCUCUGCCUUCCAUUGCAGCAAUUCCAGUGUGGUGCCCAGCUUUUUCUUGUCACCUACGCAAUUCGGGUACAACAAUUUUUUGUGAUCCUCUAACAUGCGCUGCAACUUCUUCUUCUCCAAAUCACUUGCGCAGUUUCUCUUUGCAUCGGCAAUGGCCCGACCUAGAUCAUCAACGGGCUCAUCUGAUGCCUCUUCUUCAGCUUCUUCCCGCAUUGCCGGCUCAGCUUCUUCCCGCAUUACCGGCUCAGCUUCUUCCCCCAUUGUUGUAUCAUCGUAUUCAGGGAACCCAUGGCCAGGAUAGCUGUCGUCGUCCUCUUCUUCUUCAUUGUCUUCCAUCAUAACCCCUCUUUCUCCGUGCUUGGUCCAAACAUUAUAGUGGGGCAUGAAACCGGACUCAAACAGGUGGACGUGAAUGGUUCUUGACGUAGAGUAAUUGCAACCAUUCUUACAGCCAGCACAUGGACAAGGCAUAAAACCAUCCGCCCGCUUGUUUGCCUCAGCCGCAAGCAGAAAAGUAUGCACGCCCUCAACGAACUGGGGAGAGCAUCGGUCAUCGUACAUCCAUUGCCGGCUCAUCUUCAUUACACAACACCGAAUAGACCAAAUUAAUACAAGUUCAUACAUAAAGUUCAUACAAAACUUAAAUGCAACAAACAAAUAACUCUCUAGCUAAAGCAUUUAAAUGCAACAACAAAUGCGAUCAAGAUCGCAACUUAGGUAACAAUUGAUCCAACAACAUAAUGAUACCAAGCCUCACUAUUGAUGGCAUAUUUUCUAAUCUUUCUAAUCUUCAAGCGCAUUUUCUCCAUCUUGAUCUUGUGAUCAUCGACGACAUCGGCAACAUGCAACUCCAAUUCCAUCUUCUCCCCCUCAAUUCUUUUCAAUUUUUCUUUCAUGUACUCAUUUUCUCUUUCAACUAAAUUUAACCUCUCGACAAUAGGGUCGGUUGGAAUUUCCGGUUCACAUACCUCCUAGAUAAAAAUAUCUAUGUCAACUUUAUGGGCAUAAUUUGUCAUAAACACAAAAUGCAACAAAUAGUUUUAAAAGAGAAUAUUCCACAUCUGAAUCAUAACAAGGACGAGGGCCGACGGGGACGGAUAUCAAAACCAUGGCACUAUGUAUAACAGACAACGUACGGGUAAGAUAAUUAUUAUACGAGUAACUAUAUAUCCAAAUCACACAAACAUCAAUUUUUUAUAUAAAAUUUCAUGAACAAGAGGCUCACCACAAGGUGGUGCCAGCGACGGGACGGUGCGGGCGAUCGACGGUGGUUACGACGGAGAUUUAGAAGGCACUAAGUAAACCACACCUACAUAUGCAAACUAAGUGUUAUUUUUGACCUCAAAUUGCAUAUAAAUCAAAUACUAGCACAUAUAUGUAUUUCCUCCCAAAUUACUAAACUCACAAAUUAAUAACUAUAUAAAGCAUUGCAAGAGCUAAUCUAGCAAUGAGAGAUGAAAGGACAAAGUUGCUAACCUUUGUGAUCAUUUGAAUGGAUGGGGGCCUUCAAAUCUUGACAAAUUUUGGGCAAAAUGUGUGAUGAGCUCGAGAGGAAGAGGGGAAGAACAGAGAGGAGAGGGGAAAGGGGAAGAACAGAGCGAGCUCGGGUGGACGAAGGGUUUAUGUAGGACGACCUUUAGUACCGGUUCGUGCCAAGAACCGGUACUAAAGGUGCUGGAGGGGGCCCAGACUGACAACAUCCUGCCACCACUCUCAUUAGUACCGGUUCGUGGCACGAACCGGUGCUAAAGGUUAGUCACGAACCAGUACUAAUGAGAGCGGCCCGGCUAGCCGUUGGAACCGGCACUAAUGUAUACAUUUGUGCCAGCUCUAAUACAAACCGGCACUAAUGUGCUUCACGUUUGACCCUUUUUCUACUAGUGCCAUAGUGGUACAAUGAGAAGAAGAAUAAUAAGAAGAGCAAAUAAUAUGAUUCUGAUGACAAGAAGAAGAAGAAAUCCUCCAAGUCUUCUUCCAAGUCUUCAUCACACAAGAAGAGCUCAUCUCGCAAGGCUCGUGCUUUUGUUGGCAAGGAAAUGGAUUCAUAGGAGGAGUCUGCUUCUGAGGAGGCGAAGGUUGAGUCUGAGGAAGACUCUGACUCUGGUGUUGUGAGUCUGGCUCUAGCUACAGCCUAUGUCGCCAAGUCCAUCUUUACCACUGAAGACAAUGGCUCCGUCACCAACGCUGAUGAUAAUGACAAGGACGACUCGCCUCCCACCUACUGCUUCAUGGCACAUGGUGCCAAGGUAAAAUCAUGCGAUGCUUACUUUCAAACAUCAAGUGAAGAUGACUCUGAUGGUGAAUCCAAACCUAGUUACAAAACACUUGCUAAAAUUGCAACUGAAGAAGAGAAAGCUAUGGAACAUACUCAAAAACUGUUAGACAAAAGCGAUGACCUGUUGGACGCGGAAAUGACCAAGUCUCAGUCCUUAAUUGAAGACAUUAAAAAUCUUCAUGUUAAGUACCAGGAACUUGAAGGUCGACCUGAAUCGCUCUCAACUUCUCAUGAAAAGCUUUCCUAUGAUUAUCUUCAAAGGAAGCAGGAACUUGAGAAAUUGAGAUCGGCUCAUGAGGAUCUUCAAAAGGAGAACGAGUCACUUCGCGCUCAACAGAUCAGUCCCGCUCGGGAAGGAUUUGAACCACCAUGUCUAAAAUGCAUUGAGCGUGAUAACGUUGCCUCUGUUGCUGAAUGUUCUACUGCUACUACUAUUGCAAUAUCUUCAACUGCUGAUGUGGUAACUAACCCCUCUACUGACGAUACCACUACUAUUGCUGAUGAGAAUGCCAUGUUGAAGACACUGCUUGAGACAGGGACGUACAAAAGUCUCAAAGGGCAUCAGACAUUAUGUGAUGUCCUCAAAAAGCAGAUUCUGAACCGAAACCCUAGGAAAGAGGGUGUUGGGUUCGAGAGGAAAAUGAAUGUUGAUGGGUCGUACUGGAAGCCUGAGCAGUACCCCAAAACCACAUGGGUUGCUUCAAAGGAACCUUCAGUAGAUCCAUCCACCUUGUCUGGUUUCACUUGUGCUAACCCCAUUAUCAUUGAUGAAUCCUUUGAUGCAAACUAUAAACUGUUUAAGAAUCAGAAUGGUGAAGUGUUUGCCAGGUAUAUUGGUACUAACUACAGGAAUGGGCCACCUAUGAAGAAGAUAUGGGUACCCAAAAGCUGUCUUGAGAAUCUUCCAGUGAAUGUCAUCAUGACACCUCCUGUGAAGAAGACAAACCCCAUACCAAAGGCUUCAUAUGGUCCAAAAGCUUCAUACAGACCGAGGACUCAUCUGAGUCACCCUAACGUCAAUGUUUUGCAGGGAAAUCAUACUCAGACCCAUGAAUAUGAGCGUGUUUCCUCAAAUCGCUAUGUUCAUAGAACUAAGAACUUUUCUGCUUAUUCCUAUGAGUAUUAUUCAUCUCCUGUAAAGCUAUUUACUAGGGCUCCAAAGCCGAAAUUCCCAGAUGCUGCACUUAGACUCAUUGCUUCUAAGCCACACCUGAAAAUGUGGGUGAUUAAGAAAACUUAACUCUCUUUUGCAGGGAAAGGUCUCCAGCCGGAAAUCUAAGGCGUCCAAAACUAAUGCUGGGGACCUUAAACAUCUUGUGGGGCGCAAGAUAAAAUGCCCAAAUGGUCUUACUAUGUAUUUCGUUCUGGGAUUCCUUGACACUCAUCCUAUCUAUUCUAACCAAGAUCUGAAUUUUCAUGUUCCACUUGUUUGUCAAAUGUUUAUGCUUCACAACUCGCUUGGUGAAGCCUAUCCCCCAAACUGCACUGUAGGCUAUGACACCUCGUGCUUCAGAAUGGAUUAUGGACAAUGGAUGCACUAACCACAUGAGGCGAUCGAAGUCUUCUGAUGGAUUCAACGCUACGUCCAUCAGACAAGAAUCACAUCACAUUUACUGACACUGGUAAAAGCAAGGUAUUGGGUCUAGGUAAAGUUGCAAUAUCAAGGGAUCAGCACAUGGAUAAAGUGAUGCUUGUUGAAUCCCUUGGUUUCAACUUAAUGUCUGUCUCAAUGCUUUGUGACUUAAACAUGAUUGUGCUAUUUGGAAAAUAUCGAUGCCUUGUGCUAAUGGAAUCUGACACGUCUCUAGUCUUUGAAGGGUAUCGGAAAGAUGAUCUGUAUAUGGUAGAUUUCUCAGCAGGACCACAGAUGGCCGUAUGUCUUCUAGCAAAAGCUUGAGAAUGCUGGCUUUGGCAUCGAAGGCUAGGACAAGCUGGCAUGAAGAACUUGCACACUCUCGUGAAGAAGAAGCAUGUCGUGGGCAUCGAAGCCGUCAAGUUCAAGAAGGAUCAUCUGUGUGGUGCCUGCGAAGCUGGAAAGAUGACCAGGGCCAAGCAUCCUUCAAAGACAAUCAUGACUACAUCUCAACCCUUUGAGCUGCUACACAUGGACUUAUUCGGCCCUACUCACUACUCUACUCUCAAUGCUACUGCUUGCCUCUAUGGCUUUAUCGUUGUUGAUGAUUACUCUAGAUAUACUUGGGUGCAUAUAAUCCUCUACAAGACUGAAGUUCAGGAUGUCUUCAGACGCUUUGCCAAUCAUGCCAUGACGAUCUAUGCACUACUAGGAAAAGGCCUACUAAUGGCGCACCAGUUUUGCCUACUAAUGGCGCAUUACUGGUGCGCCAUUAGUAUCACGCCACUAGUAUUUUUUACUAAUGGCGCACCACUGGUGUGCCGUUAGUAUCUGGUAUACUAAUGGCGCACCACGCAGUGCGCCAUUAGUAUUGUUCACAGUGCGCCACUAGUGUCUGCUAUACUAAUGGCGCACCACAUGGUAGUGCGCCAUUAGUAACAAUUUUUUUUAAAAAAAAUCGUUUUUUCUUAAUCUCAGGUCACUAUUUCACAUAUGAGAUAUCCAACACAUAUAUAUACAACAAGCAUCCAUAUAAAAAUCAUAUCCAACACACAAGUUUCAUCGUAUAUACAUACAUAGCCAACACAUAGUUCCAUUGUUACAUAUUACAAAAGUUUCACAUUGUUCAUCCAACACCGUUAUCCAUCAAUUCACAAAAGUUUCACAUUGAUACAAAAUAAAAACACAAAUGGAAAAGAAGCACUCCAUCCAUGCAAGCUUCCGUGAAUUAAAUCAAAUCUGCAAAAUGAUAAACAAGAAGUUAGAAGAAGAAGAAGAAGAAGAGAAGAAGAAGACUAGAAGAAUACUAGAAGAAGAAGAACACUAGAAGAAGAAUAAGAAGAAGAAUAAGAAGAAUAAGAAGAAGACUAUAAGAUUUAUUAUGUAAACUUGAUCAUUUUGUGCUAACAUAAGUAAUUUUGGAGCUAACCUAUAGGAAACUAAGCAUAUAAGCUCUCUAAGUUAGCAUAUUAGAACCAACUUAGGUAAAAUGAAGCUAACCUAUGUCAUUUUGGAAAAGAAGAAGAAUAAGAAGAAUAAGAAGAAGACUACAAGCUUAUUAUGUAAACUUGAUCAUUUUGUGCUAACAUAAGUAAUUUUGGAGCUAACAUAUAGGAAACUAAGCAUAUAAGCUCUAAGUUAGCAUAUUAGAGCCAACUUAGGUAAAAUGAAGCUAACCUAUGUCAUUUUGGAAAAGAAGAAGAAUAAGAAGAAGACUAUAAGCUUAUUAUGUAACUUGAUCAUUUUGUGCUAACAUAAGUUAUUUUGGAGCUAACCUAUAGGAAACUAAGCAUAUAAGCUCUAAGUUAGCAUACUAGAGCCAACUUAGGUAAAAUGAAGCUAACCUAUAGGAAACUAAGCAUAUUAGAGAUAACAUAGGUAACUAAGUAUAUAUAUAUAUAUAUAUAUAUAUAUAUCAUUUUGGAGAUCUGACAUACCUGACAUAGUUCAGUUCUCAUUGUUCUUCUCCUUCUCCUUCCUCAGCCUGAUGCGCCAAGAGCGGCGAGGCGGUGGAGGCAGUGGGAUGUAGUCUUCUACCACAAUUGGCGUGGUCAUGUCGCCCAGCUGUGGGAUCGCCGGCGCCACCAGCGGUGCGUGGUCAUUUUCAGGCACCACCACCAUCGCGAGGCCACCUUCAGGCAGGACGGGCACGACCAUCGCUAGGUCAUCCUCAGCCACCUCCAUCUCUUGCCCAUGGUCAGCCACCACCAUCUCUUGCCCAUGGUCAGCCACCACCAUCUCUUGCCCUUGGUCAGCCACCACCAGUGCUAGGUCAUCCUCAGCCUGAUUCCCAUUAUCAUCCUGCAGCUCCUCAUCCCCACUCUACUCCUCUUCUCCCGCACUCCAGUCCAGAUCAUCCUUCUUGUUGUCUAUGCUACUGCUAGAAUCGCUGCUACUUUCGCUAAAGCCAGAAUCGGUGUUGCUUUUGCUACAGCCAUAGUCGCUGCUGCUUUGGCUGUAGCCAGUGUCGCUGCUGCUGCUCCCAUUGCCUGUCGAAAUGCAACAAUGACCGUUAACAGUCGAUGUGAGACAAAGCCAAAUGUAGAGGAAUAAGAAGAGGCAGAACGUACUGGCAUCAUCAUCGUCAGCGUAGCGCAUGCGACACAUAGUCGCGUUGAACACCUUCACGAUGAGCAUGGUGGCGUCGUCGUCGUACCUGAAGAGAAGGAAGUACCCCAGCCGCAGGUCGUAGGCACGGUAGAACUUCUCCCACCCACGAUACAAGUACAUGUGGCCCUCCUUGAUCACCAACUCCACAUCCCACUGCUUGCGAAACCCGCUGCCGGUCUGUCGCAGCUUCACAUUAUUUGGCGGAUCUUCACCCAGCAUGUUCAUAAAACUGUCAGGCAGCCUCUGCAGUUUGGGAAAAUGAGUGAUGUAGCAAACAACAGAUAUCAUAAUGAUAUGGGUGAAGGGGAGAUCUCUCAUUUUAUAUACCUGCGUCAUGGAUGAUACUGAAGUCCCAAGUAUGAUACUGAAGAACUCAGAAGAAUCCAACUCGUACUGCGGUGUGGCAGAGCGGCGGUGGCUGCUUCCCCCCAUCUCUGAUAAGCAGCAGAAGAGACCAAUUAGUACCCUUACAACAGAUCAUAAAACAUGCAUGAUAACAGGCUGUACUGAUCACCGUGUGGUUUGAGUGAAACCUAUGUCUGUCACUUUAAUUCUUGUUGGGGUUUAUCCCCUAUACCUCCUAAUCCCUGUCCACUUAACUAAGUACUAAGAUACCCCGGCCCAUGCAUUAGUCGCAAGUACCCCAUAUGUCCUAUUUUUAGCAAAGUCAUGCUAAAAUUCACGGAAAAUUUCAACAUGAUCUUUGCUGAAAAUAGGACAUAUGGAGUACCCGAAUUUGCCGGAACGGAAGUUAAUCGACAUUCCGGUAAACUCAAGGGCCUCUCGGGGUACCUGCAAAUUCAUCACGACACAAUGGUCGGAGACAAAACCCAGCAACUUUACACGUCUUUCACAGAUUUGUUUGCAAGUUCUGAUAUGUAAUAAAGAUGAGCCUCCAAUGCUGAUUUGUUUGCAUUGUUUUAGGAGUAUAAACUAAGUAUGCAAACUGGAUAUACACUGAAUUUAAAUAAAUUUACAGAAAAAUACCAUGUGCUUGUGGGUGUGGUGUCCUAUUUGUAGAAAAAUACCAUGUGUGAGUGGAGUGCAGUGUUCUGCAGAAGCAGGUGUUCAGUUGGGUUUCUGCUACUGAAACUUGCCAAUUGCAAAGAGUACUGAUAUUGUAAAACUACUGUAAAUCUACUCCUCUAUACAAAUCUUAAAAGCAGGUCUACUUUACCUAAAAUUCACCUAAGAGCUACUGCAAGCAGGUCUACUUGCUUUUGGUGUGUUCUUGCACAACCUGUUUCUCUGCAAUGCCACAUAAGCAUGUGUACUAAACCUCUGUCUAAUAAGUAUUGAGGCAAACAAAUAUUGCUCCCAACUGAACAUUUUCAGUUAACUGUAGCAACAAGUAUUGGAACACUGUGCUCAAAAAGUUCAGUUAACAGUAUUGACUACAACUCAUUGAAACAAAAAGGGCAGAUAAUCCUUUUAACCAUUCUGUGAGUUUUGAAUGAGCUAGUUACUUGGCUGCUGCUAUGUCCUAGUACUAUGCAAAAGUACUACUCAUUUGAUACGACGAUGAUAGCACUCCGGGUCAUGGUUAGGAGUAGGCUUGGGACAUGGACCUGAUUUAGCAUUUAGUAACAUCAUCAAUUCUGAUGCCAAACUAGUUUAAUCCCUAGGAAUUAGUUGUUAACAUAAUCACCCAGGGCCCCAACAUUAGGCAAUAAUGAGCUUCUUUUGCAUAGUUUUCUAUGCGAAAGCGAUGCUAAAGGAAAGAUUUUAUUUUGUUUGCGCUAAACAAGGCCUACUAAUGAAGCUCCAACUACGAAGAAGAAUCAGACCCUAUCCACCAAGAUAUAUUGGCGUAUGAGACUGCCAUAAUCUUGAUGAAGUAUCUUUGUGCAAAGAACAGGCACAAAUUGAAGUGAGCAUCUGAAACCAUGAGGCCGGCUAAAAGUUUUUGAGCACAUCUCCAAGCUACUACUAGAGUUUAUCACUUGAAUCCAUGGACCGUCCAGCAAAGCAAGGCAACCAAGAACAAGACAUGGCACAAAUCCUCGAAGAUAUAUUAUUGGCAUAGUAUAAAACUGUCAUGAUCUUGAUGAAGUACACUGCAGAUGUAUCAUGUUGAUACUACUAUAUAUCAACAAAUCUGCGAGUUGAUGAUUACACACAUAAAACUUGCAAUGAUGAAGGAAGCACUCAUGUCAAAUACUAGCAGUGACUAAAAACUGAGAAUUUGAUGUCAGUGCAUAAUUUUAUCCCUCCCCUGCCUUCCAUCUACUCUGCAUCUGAUGCAUACUACCAGUUGUGACAACAUAUUCAGAAAGUGCAUUCUGCAGGGUGCGGCCACAGCGAGGCAGGACGUGGGUGGCGCACGACCACGCGAGGGGCGGCCGGCGCGGUGAGCACGAGCCCGCAGGGAAGUGGUGGGCGGCACAAACGGCGACUAAACAAGGGGAAAAGAGGGGGAAUCGAUGGAGACGCUCACCGCGGAGCUGGGGAAGGAGAUGGAGAGGCCGACGGUGGUCGGAGUAGCGCGGAUCGACGCCGAGAAGCAGUGGUCGGUGAUGAGGAAGAAGAGGUCGAUGCGCUCGAUCCUUGAUGACCCGACUCCAAUCCGUGGACGCCGCUCCGGUGGCCGCGGUGACGUGGACGUGGGGCCUCCUCUCCUGGUGGACGUGGGGCGGCGCCGAGGCUCCAAGUCUCCGGCGGCUCCGAGGGUUAGGGAGGGAGGCGGCGCUCGCGGGGGAGGCGGUGCUCGGAGGGAGGCGGCGCUCGAGGGGGAGGAAGGGAAGAGGGAGGCGGCGGGGGCGUGUGGGCGGUUGAGGCAGACGGAGGCGGCGGACGUCGGGGGCGCGUGGGCGGCUGUGGAGGCGGCGUAGUUUGGGGUCGAUCGAGUGGGGAAUCUGGCGAGGAAGGGAGGGAGGCCACAGUGCGAGGGCAAUAGGUGGAGUGGGGGGAGGGUUCUAAUUGCGCACCUCCCCCAAGUGCGCCAUAAGUAUGACUAUUCUAAUGGCGCACCUCACCUCGGUGCGCCAUUAGAAUUUUGUUUUAAUUACUAGUCCGACUGGUCAGGUUAUAUUCCACCUAACCCUAUCUAAAUUAGAACCCACCCACUAGCUUGACUGGUUAGCACGCAGCACACACACUAGGAGGUCCUGGGUUCGAUUCCCAGGCUCCUCAAUUUUUGUUUUUAUGCAUUUAAAAUGCUGUUUGAUAUUUAUUUGUGUUUAAAUAUGUUCAAACUUGUUUAAAUCAUAACAGUAAUAUUUUUUAUAAAAACAGUAAUAAUUUUUUAAAAAAUAUGUUCAAAUUUGUUAUUUGAAAAUAUUUAUGAAUAUGAAAAAAUAUUUAUAUGGGGGGAGGGUGCGGGGGGUCGGCGGCGGCGGUGGAGUGGGGGAGGGUGCGGGCCGGGGGUCGGCGGCGGCGGCCGGUGGAGCGGGGGAGGGUGCGGUGGCUGCCAAAUGGAUUGACUCCAUCGGUGCUCGCGCCCAGCACGAUGUUCCUUGGAUCCUUUCCAAAUUCUGGGUGUUCGAAGUUCAACGCUUGCCACUGGCUCGCAUCCUUUGGGUGACUCAGCAUCUUGUCUUUUUUAUUUAUCUCCGGAUCAUUUGCGUCAUCUUCUCGCUUCUUCUCCUCCAUAUCCGCGUGCCAACGCAGGAGCUUUGCUACCUUAGGGUCCGCGAAAUACCGCUGCAGACAAGGAGUGAUCGGAAAGUACCACACCACUUUUCGAGGAGCUUUCUUCCUCUUCUUGUAUCGACUGACGCCGCACACCGGACAUAUGGUAGACUCCGCGUGCUCGUCCCAAUAAAUGAUGCAAUUGUUCAUGCACACAUGGUAUUUCACGUGCGGUAAAUCUAGAGGACACACGAUUUUCUUCGCCUCCUCGAAACUGGUCGGGCACUUGUUCCCCUUGGGAAGACGUUCGUGCUAGAAUGACAUGUUCUCGUUGAAGCAUGCGUCGGUCAUUUUGUGUUUUACCUUCAUCUCCAAAGCCAUGAGCGUUACUUUCAGGAGGGUAUCCUCGGGCUUGCAUCCUUCAUACAAUGGAGUAACCGCGUCUAUCUCCAGUUGAUCCAGCUUGGCUUUCUCUCGGGCGGCAGCUCUUGCGUUAUCCGUUUGCUUGAGAAGCAGCUCUUGAAUAUGAGGGUCUUGCACCCAGCCCAUCGAUGGUCCAUCGUCGUCUGCUCUGCCGGCAUCUUCAUCUUCAUGAUCAUGCCCUUCGUCUGCUCCGACAUCUUCCUCAUCAUCUUGUCCGACAUCUUCUACAUGAUGACUGUGUACAGCAUCACCGUCGUGAUCAUGUCCUGGAGAUUCUUCGUCUUCUCGCCCGCCCUAGCCGUGGUGGUUGUCUUGCUGCCCUUCCUCAUUUCUUGCCCGGCCCCCAUGGACGACUUCAUAGUCAUCUUCAUCACCUUGCUACCGAUAGCCAUCCAUGAAACCACGCAAGAGCAGGUGGUCCCGCACCUGCCCGGAAUCCGGGUCCGUAAUAAGGCUCUUCAGCUUGCAUCUUCGACACGGACAUCUUAUCUCCGUCUCGUUCUUUUGAAGCAUCUCGGCCUUCGCAGAGCUCAAAAACCUAUUCACGAUGCCUUUGGUCAUCGUGCGGACCAUGGUCGCCUGCGGGGUAGAGCAAAACGAUAUUUUAGAACCAAGAAAAAAUUAGUAACCCUGGUACUAAUGGCGCACCAUAUGCAAAUGCGCCAUUAGUAACCCUGGUUACUAAUGGUGCACCUGCUUCUGGUGUGCCAUUAGAAGUUUUGCAAAAAAAUUAAAAAAAAGUAUAUAUUCUAAUGGCACACCGUGGCAUAGUGCGCCAUUACUAGUUUAAACUAGUAAUGGCGCACUGAACCACGGUGCGCCAUUAGUAGUUUUGCAAAAAAAGAAUAAAAGAUAAACAACAGUAGUGGCGCACCAUGUUCCUGGUGCGCCAUUAGUGUCUUCCACACUAAUGGCGCACCACAUGACAGGUGCGCCAUUAGUGUCCAUCCCAUCUAUAGCCCUUUUCCUAGUAGUGAUGGCAUCAAGAUCAAGCACAUCAGAAGCGACAACGUCACUGAGUUCAAGAACACCGGCCUCGACCUCUAUCUGGAUACUCUGGGUAUCAAUCAUGAGUUCUCUGCUCCUUACACACCUCAGCAGAAUGGCAUCACAGAGCGCAAGAACAGAACUCUUAUUGAGAUGGCUCGAACGAUGCUUGAUGAGUACAAGACUCCAUGGAAGUUCUGGCCCGAAGCCAUUGACACUGGUUGCCACAUCAUCAACCAUGUUUAUCUUCACAAGCUUCUGAAGAAAACAUCCUAUGAACUCCUAACUGGUAAGAAGCCAAAUGUAAGCUACUUCAGAGUAUUUGGUGCUAGGUGUUGGAUCAAGGAUCCACAUCACACGUCAAAAUUUGCACCGAAAGCACAUGAAGGUUUUAUGCUUGGUUAUGGAAAGGAUUCACACUCCUACAGAGUCUUCAACCUCUUUCACUAUAAAGUGGUUGAAACUGUGGAUGUGCGGUUCAAUGAGACUAACAGCUCGCAAAGAGAGCACCUGCCAAAUGUGCUAGAUGAAGUACCUCCAAGUGAAUCAAUCAAGCAGAUGGGAAUUGGAGAUAUCAUACCUUCUGAGAAUCACACUGAAGAAGAGCUUAUCAUUUCUGCACCUAAUCAACCUGAAGACAAUGCUCAGACUGAAGACAAUCCCCCAAAUGAUGACAUUGAUCAGCAAGAGCAAAAUCUUCGUCCUGUUCAUCCUCGUGUUGCAAAUGAAGUUCAGAUUGAGAAUAUAAUUGACAGCUUGAAUGCACCUGGUCCACUCACUCGUUCAAAAGCAACUCAAAGAGCAACACAUCUAACCAAUUUCUGUGGGCGUUUUGCAUUCGUCUCAAUCUCUGAACCCAAGAAAGUCGAUGAAGCCUUCAUGGAACCUGAAUGGAUUCAAACUAUGCAACAAGAGCUUCAACAGUUCGAGCUGAAUAAUGUGUGGGAAUUGGUCAAGCGUCCUGAUCCUCGGAAGCACAAUAUCAUUGGCACCAAAUGGAUAUAUCACAACAAGCAAGAUGAGCAUGGACAAGUCGUCAGAAACAAGGCUCAUCUCGUUACACAAGGUUACACUCAAGUGGAAGGAAUUAACUUCGAUAAAACAUUUGCUCCGAUGGCAAGGCUUGAAGCCAUUCUCAUACUGCUAACCUAUGCAAAUCAUCACAACAUCCUUCUGUAUCAAAUGGAUGUGAAGAGUGCUUUUCUCAAUAGAAAGAUAGAAGAAGAAAUAUAUGUCGCACAACCUCCUGGCUUUGAAGAUCCAAAACAUCCUGAUAUGGUAUACAAGCUCAACAAGGCACUGUAUGGCCUCAAACAAGCCCCUCGUGCUUGGUAUGAUACGCUCAAAGACUUCUUGAAGAGCAAAGGCUUCAAACCUGGUUCACUAGAUCCUACUCUCUUCACGAAGACAUAUGAUGGUGAACUGUUUGUGUGCCAAAUCUAUGUGGAUGACAUUAUCUUCGGCUGCACCAACAAGAAAUACAGUGAUGAGUUUGGUCACAUGAUGCAAGAGCAAUAUCAGAUGUCCAUGAUGGGCGAGCUGAAAUUCUUUAUGGGUCUCCAAAUCCGUCAGCAAUGCAACGGCAUCUUCAUAUCUCAAGAAAAUACCUCAAAGAUUGCCUAAAGAAGUUUGGAAUGCAAGACUGCAAAGGAUACACGAUGCCAAUGCCAACCAAAAGUCAUCUGGGUCCCGACGACAAUGGUAAAGAGUUUGAUCAAAAGGUAUACCGCUCCAUGAUUGGUUCUUUGCUUUAUUUAUGUGCAUCUAGGCUAGAUAUAAUGCUUAGUGUUUGCAUGUGUGCCCGAUUCCAAGCGGCACCAAAGGAAUCGCAUCACUUAACUGUGAAGUGAAUUCUUCGAUAUUUGGCUUACACCCCAACAUUAGGAUUAUGGUAUCCAAAGGGCCCAGAGUUUGAUCUAGUUGGAUUCUCAGAUGAUGAUUAUGCUGGUGACAAGGUUGAUCGCAAGUCCACAUCAGGCACAUGUCACUUUCUGGGACGAUCUCUUGUCUGUUGGUCUUCAAGGAAGCAGAACUAUGUAUCUCUCUCCACUGUUGAAUCUGAAUACAUUGCUGCUGGAUCUUGCUAUGCUCAGCUUCUCUGGAUAAAGCAAACUCUCAAGUACUAUGGUAUUCAUUGAAGAAUGUGCCUCUCUACUGCGACAAUGAGAGUGCCAUCAAGAUAGCCAACAACCCAGUUCAGCACUUGAAGACAAAGCACAUUGAAAUUCGUCAUCACUUUCUCAGAGAUCAUGUUAUGAAGGAAGAUAUUGAUAUCAUUCAUGUCAAGACAGAAGAGCAAUUGGCUGAUAUCUUCACAAAGCCCUAGGAUAAGAAAAGGUUUUGCAAGUUGUGGUGUGAGCUAAAUAUCUUGGAAUCCUCAAAUGUCCUGUGAUUAGGCACACAUCCUAACACUUAUGCAUUUUGAUGACUUAGAUGUGCAACACACAAAGUAAUGUAUAUCUUCAAUCACUGAAGACAUACACUGUAAGUGUGAAUACAUUAAUGCGGAAUUUGAGUUCGGUGCGCCACGAUAAUUGUGCAUCGUGUCUGGGUCUAAUACUUCCUAUACGGUUGGUAACGCCACCACCAAACUUUUGUUUGAAGUGUUUCUCUAGGCGUCAUAUUUGCGAAGCCUUCAUCUUGUUGAUUUGGUCUUAUACUAGUUAUAUACAUAUUUGUGUUUUGUCCUCUACAACAUUCACUUAUAGCUAUGACUUCGUGCUGAAUCUUUUGAUCUAAGUGAAUGUGAUCGGACCCUAAACUAUCUAUGCUUCUACCUCAACUCUAUCUGUCCAAAUCAUAUGCAUUCUAUUGAAAACUGUCGAUUGUCUUCACUGAGACCUUGUCAGCUGAAGACAAUCUGACAAACAUUUAUAUCUGUUUUUAAUGCUAUAUCCUUUUUGCCUGAAAGCCGGAGAAUUCGGACGACCACUCCGACAAUCCAGGCGUGCGUGGGAACAUGGAACAACUUCCAAGGUGUUGCAUGCUUGCCACGUGCCCUUCAGAUAUGAACCGCUAGGGGCACCUAUGUAAUUGCGAUGUGCCGUCCCUUUCCUUAUAAAUACCCAUCACAUCUUGGUCAAAAAUUCUUCUUCCACCUCGCCACCGCUCGCAAACCCUAGCGCCUCCGCUAGCUCUCAACGACACCGGUGAUGAAGCGCUUAGCUACCGCGACUUCUCCGACGCCGUCCCCACGCCGGCCGCGGACCUCGUCCUCUCUGCCAUCGCCGUAGGUGUCCUCCAUCGCCAAGUUAGGGCAUAGAAGAUCGAACUGCUCGGCCUCCAACUUCGCUCCGUCUAGCAGUUCUUCAUGUGGUAAUUAAAAUUCACUUUUUACCGUCUUUUCAAUCUGAUGGAUUCAUCCUUCUUUACCAAAAGUAGUUUCUAGAUCUCCAAAGUUGAAUCUAUCUCUUUCUCCAUCUCAUACUAUGCCUAGUCUGUUCACUUAUGCUUCUCUACAAGUUAGAUUCCUCACUUGUACUUAUUCUUGGAUUCAUACAAAUCUGGAACCAACUCUCAUCAAAUAAGUGAAUGUCUUCGCGUUAUGAGGUCAAUGUCUUCAAACUGAUUUAUCUUCAAAAUCUUCUGAGAAUGCAUAUGACCUCUUCCCCUUCCCUCGCACCUCUAAUGCUGUCACAGGUACAUGUCCGUGGGAGAAUCCCUUGGUUCUCAUAGUCUGCAUUCGUUUGCAGAAUUCUUACAGAGUCACAUCAAUUCUCCUGAAGCUAGUUCUUGUCUGACCAGCCGUCGGAAGCCCUUGCAAGUACUGAAGCCUUUCAGAUUAAGCUUCAUGGCCACUGACAAAUCAGCACAGAAGGGUGGCAGACAGCACCGUGGGAACACUUCCAAAGAUUUGCCUCCAGAUUUGCACGAGCUGUACAAAACAGACCCGGAGCAAACCUAUGGAGGACGCAAGAAUCAAAUCCAAUGGACUCGAAGAUAUUGGGCAGAGGAAUGGUUCAAGUGCCGAUUCGUCACAGAAGAGCAUGCAGAGAAGAAUGCCAUCAAGCAACCCUGGGGUGAUAUACUAUACAAAAAUCUUCCUCCCAGGACCCAGGCUGAAGCUAUUGAGCAAGGUUUCUAUCCAUGCAUGGUGCGCGGACCACAACCAGAGAAUGCUCACCCUACUUCUCUGCUGUGGUGCCAUGAAGACAAUCUAUUCAAGCGCAACUACCAGUUCGCCAAAGACUCAGCUGUAAAGAACAAGAAGGAAUUCGGACUUGACUUGAACCCAGGUCAAUUUGCUCCUCGGGAAGAUGGGACCCGUGAAGCCAAUGAAAACAGGAUCGUCCCCUUCUACAACCUUGCAGGCCUCAUCACACACAUUGUCAUCCAAGGUGCAAAAGUGGAUCAUUCUGGUGAUGAUGCUGACACUGAUGAUGCACCAGCUCCUCCUCCUAAGCCACAGAAGCAAAACAAAGCUAAGGCUUCAAAAUCAACUGAGGCACCAAAAGCUUCUCGAGUGAAGUCAUUGGCAACUGCCCCUCCUGCUCCAAGUAACACUUCUGAAGAUCUCUCUCGCAUCUCGAAGAAGAAAGAGAAGACUCAGAAGAAAGAUGUUCAAAGUUCUGGUCAAGCCCUAACACCUGCUGCCGUUCUGAGGAAUGAGACUGAAGCCAUUGAUCUGUCAACAGACGAUGAGUGCGGUGAUGAUGCUCUUGAGCAACUGAUUAAGAGCAAGCAAGAGGCGGAGAUCUUCAAUGAUCUGCCCCUCUUCGAUGUGAACAUUCUUGACAACUUCACUGAUGAGUGCUUUGACAACCCAAAUCUCAGCUUUGACGAUCUUUAGCUCCCGAUUGGCAUCAGCGUCGCCUUCCAAGGCGCAAUUGCUCUUGAGCUGGCUCUGGCUCAGAGAAUUGUUGAAUUGAAGAACAAGAUUGACUAUGAGAAAGAGCAGUUCAAGAAGCAUGUGGCCAAGCUCAGCGUGGCUGAUGUUCAAAACUUCAAGGUGAUGCUGCAUGACCUCAAGGAGGCGUUUCGCAAGAAGCACGAAGAAGCCAAAGGUUCAAGAGAGCGCAUGAAGAAUCUAGUUGCCAAGUGUGUUCAAGCUUACAAUGAAGCUGAGAAGCGCAAGGCGCUUGGGCGUCCUGGCAUCGACCCCAAGCUGGCUGCCAAGAAGAAGAAGAAGCCUAUUGUGCCCCAAACUGAAGCACCAAGGCGGGAAGAACCUCACAUUGUCUUCCCUGCCAGCAUGACAGGCUCGAAGCCUAAGGUCCCCACAGUGGCUUCAGAACAGAAGACAUGGGUCCUUGAGUGGAUGACAGGCAAUGUCCAUCAUGAAGCCAAAGCUCUUGACCUCAUUGAGCUUACUGGCCUAUCCACUCCAGGUGAAAUCUAUGAACCUGGUUGUCAGCUUCACCGCAAUGUGUUGGAAAGUAUCUUUUAGAAGCCAGAGCCCAACAUGAGCCAAAUGUUGAGCAUGAUGAAGCCACUGCCACAGGAUGCUGAAUAUCCCAAGGAAUUCUUUGUUGAAGACCUAGAGUAUCUACCCCGCACCAUCUAUCACAUUAUCAGGCAAACUCUAUGGCCCAUCAAAGGACAUUCUUCCUCAGCAAAACUCAAAGGCGCAAUGAAUACAUUGGUCUUCUAUAUUUUCAAUGGCAUCAGCUUCAAUGCUCAGGAUUUCUUCAUUCACCAAUUUGCUGCAUCUGGCUCAGAUAUAUUUGGUAUGAAAUUCUAUGCUCCUUGGAUUAUGCGACUGAUCAAGCUUCACUCUGCUAUUGACUAUCAGCCCUCUGCGUGCAAUCAUCUCAUAUUUCUGCCAGAGGUUGAUAUGUCCGUCGAAGCCAUCUACCCAGAGCAUGCCAAGGAAGCACUAUAUCUUCACAAUGCAGAUGAUCAGAGUUUCUCUCAGCGUGUUGAAGGUGUUCAGGCUGCUUCUCAUGUUUAUCCGCUGGCCGACAACACUCGCCGUGCACGCACUGAAGCAACAGAAAGCACUAUUGCUCCAAGGCAUCGGAAGCGAUCUCGAGGGCUCAAUGACCGAGAGCUUCUCGUGGCCUUGCAUCAGAAACAUGACAAGCAUCACUACUGGCUAAAGCGUCAAAUGCAAAGCCUCUUGGUGGAUGUCAAUCGCAUUCGCAACCUUGCCACCAAGAAUGACCUUGUUACUCAUGAAACCUGUCGGAGGUCUUGGAAGAGUCUGGCAUUGCUCAGUGCUGAAGCUGAUCUUCAAGACGAUGGCUUCACCGAGAGAUUCAAGUUCGACUCCACUCCUCCCAGGAAUGUUAUCUUGCGUCGAACCCCGUCUCUUGAAGAUUCAGAGUACUCCUCCUCCGCAGCAACUAUAAAUGCCAGAGUCCUUGAUGACGCCGAUGAUGCCACUUCACCACCUCCAAGCUCGGUGCGUAUCGACACUGCAUCAAGUUCUUCUGCACCACCAAACCUCAACGACGACCCUACUGCUUCACCUACUCCUCAUGGGAAUGAGUAGAAACUAUGUCUUCAAACCUUUUUGGUCCUCACUGACAAAAGGGGGAGAAGCAUAUGUUGAUAGUCUUCAAGCAGGUCCAUAUGGGUGGUUGCUAUACUUUUGCCUAGUGCUUACAACUCUCGCUUUUGAUACAUUUGGUUCUUUGAGUUGUAACACUUAAACUUGAUGGUCAUCUGCUACUUUUUCUGCUAUUCUGUGAUGCAACGAUAAAUUCCGCAUGUGCGAUGAUAAAUCCUGCAUGAAGUCAUUUCGCAGACGUCCAUUUUUCAUUAUGCAUGUCAUUAUUCCUGUAUAUUUGUUCAUGCAUGAUGUAUUGUCUUCAUAUGGUGAAGAGGAUCUCCACAAGUACAACCUGCCAUGUGCAUUUGCAUUCCAACGCAAAACAUUUAUAUGCACAUCUUCAGGGGGAGCCUUUUUGCCACCUAUGAAGACAAUAUCUUAAUCCUUUAAAAUUUCACAUACUUUUAUCCCCGUUGAAAACUUCAACCAGUUUGUCAUCAAUCACCAAAAAGGAGGGAGAUUGUAAGUGCAUCUAGUGCCACCCCUAGUUGGUUUUGGAGUAUUGACGACAAACCUGGUUAAGGCACUAAUGUGUUUGUGAGAAUUGCAGGAUAACAGAGGUAGUAGACCCUCAAUGAUUCGGUUUACCUACCGGAGAUGACCCCUAAAAAUGUGUGAAGACAUUGAAGACAAUGGUGGUCUGUGAAGCUAUUCACGUUGAAGACUAUGACAUGAUAAGACAUUGAGUGAAGACUAUGGAGCGCGAAGACUUAGUUGUUUCGUUGUUUCCUUUUCUUCUUUGUUGAGUCAUAGGAACCACCGCACUGUUAAGUGGGGUCCAAGUGAACAAAGUCAGAGUGACUGAAGUGAUGCUCAACCACAUCCUAUGUCUUCGAGCGAAGACAAUGAGAGCAAAUCUUAUCCAGAGUCGGAUGAGUCAGCUUUACUUGUAGCCCAAGUCAAGUUGUCGCGUGCGUUUGAAAUCUGACCGUUGUGACACGUGUCAGUUCCUUAGUGACCCAGGGUCAUUUCGGACAAAUCAGGUCGGGUUGCCCAGUGGCUAUAAAUAGCCCACCCCCUACACCAUAAAUUGGUGGCUGCUCAGAGUUAGUACACGACUUUUGUCGUUUGAGAGCAACCCACUGCCGAAGCUUUCGAGAGAGAAUCCUUGCGAGGACAAAGCCCAAACCAACCAGAGCCGAAAGAGUGUUUGGCAUCACUAAAGUCUUUUUAUCCGCGUGAUCUGAAGACUUGUUACACUUGAGGACUGUGAAUCCUCCAGCUGGUUAGCCGUCACGUUUUGAGCAUCCAAGAGUCAUUGUGGAUUGCCGGUGAAGGAGUCUGUGAAGGUUCGGAAGUCUACCUUGAAGACUUACCAGAGUGAUUGGGCGGGGAAUAAGGUGAAGACGCGGUCUUCUGAGUUGAAUCUCAGCCUCCCUAACUAGAUGUACAGUUGUCACAGCAACUGGAACUGGUCGAACAAAUCCCUGUCCUCCUGAAGCUACUGGUUCUAUCUCUCACUUCUCUCUACAUACAGUUUGUCUUCGUGAAGUCAUUGCCUUCUUGCAUUAUCUAUUUGACUUCACUGUGUGACUACCUGUUCUGAUUGGCUUCAUACUAUCUUCCAUCCUAAUCUUUACUACCUUGCUGCUAUUAGUCUUCGUGCUUUCACUUCAUUGAAUACUUGACUACGGCUUGUCUAGUGUAGUCUACCUUCCACUGCAUACGAAUAGUGUCGUUUCUAUUGUGUGUCUUCGAAACUCUCAUGUUUUGAAGACUUUCAUAAAAAUCGCCUAUUCACCCCCCCUCUAGUCGAUAACUAGCCCUUUCAGAGUGUGUCACCGAUCAAGUACCGAACGCACGGCACCUCCGUGUUCUGCACACGUUUAGCUCAGUGACGUCCCUUGUCUUCUUGAUCUAGCAAGACAUCAAGGAAGUAGAUGAGUUCCGUCAGCACGACGGCGUGGUGACGGUGAUGGUGAAGUGAUCUCCGCAGGACUUCGCCUAAGCACUAGAAAAAUAUGACCAGGGUGUAAACAAUGGAGGGGGCACCGCACACGGCUAACAAUUGAUCUAUUGUGUGCUAGGCACCCCCUCCCACAUAUAUAUAGGUGGGAGGGAGGGAGGAGAAGCCAAAGGAUACGCCCAAGUAGGAGGAAUCCUACUUGCGCGUCCCUCCCAAGCCGCGCCCUUUCCUGCUCCACACUUUCCUUUCCCUCCCCUCUUUCCUUCUCCUCCUCAUAGGGACAGCUUCUAUAGGGGUGCACCAUCCUCUUGUGGGCUGGUGUGUUGCCUCACUUGGCCCAUAAGGCCCAUAUCUUUGCCGGGGUGCCCGAAACUCCUUUCCGGUGACCUGAUAUGUACCUGGUACCCUCCGAAACGCUUCCGGUAUUCGAAUACCAUCAUCCUAUAUAUCAAUCUUUACCUCUCGACCAUUUCAAGACUCCUCGUCAUGUCCGUGAUCUCAUCCGGGACUCCGAACAACAUUCGGUCACCAAAUCAUAUAACUCAUAUAACACUAUAUCGUCAACGAACGUUAAGCGUGCGGACCCUACGGGUUCGAGAACUAUGUAGACAUGACCAAUACACCUCUUUGGUCAAUAACCAAUAGAGGAACCUGGAUGCCCAUACUGGUUCCUACAUAUUCUACAAAGAUAUUUAUCGGUCGAACCGUUAUGACAACAUACGUAAUUCCCUUUGUCCAUCGGUAUGUUACUUGCCCGAGAUUCAAUCGUCGUUAUCUUCAUACCUAGUUCAAUCUCGUUACUGUCAAGUCUCUUUACUUGUUCCAUAAUACAUCACCUCGUGACUAACUCCUUAGUCGUUUGCUUGCAAGCUUAUGUAUUACCGAGAGGGCCAAGAGAUACCUCUCCGAUACUCAGAGUGACAAAUCCUAAUCUCGAUCUAUGCCAACUCAACAAACACCUUCAGAGAUACCUGUAGAUCAUCUUUAUGAUCUCCCACUUACGUCGUGACGUUUGAUAGCACACAAGGUAUUCCUACAGUAUCCGGGAGUUGCAUAAUCUCAUAGUCGAAGGAAUAUGUAUUUGACAUGAAGAAAGCAAUAGCAAUAAACUGAACGAUCAUUAUGCUAAGCUAACGGAUGGGUCUUGUCCAUCACAUCAUUCUCCUAAUGAUGUGAUCCCAUUAUCAAAUGACAACACAUGUCUAUGGUUAGGAAACCUUAACCAUCUUUGAUCAACGAGCUAGUCUAGUAGAGGCUUACUAGGGACAUGGUAUUUGUUUUAUGUAUUCACACAUGUAUUUAGGUUUCCGAUCAAUACAAUUCUAGCAUGAAUAAUAAAGCUUUAUCAUCAAUAAGGAAAUAUAAAAUAACAACUUUAUUAUUGCCUCUAGGGCAUAUUUCCUUCAGUCCUUGACUCAGCCAUGGCCCCCCUUCAUCAUCCGCGUCUCUGAUGCCAGUAAGCAACGCCCCCCUCUCCCCUGUGUUAGGUUGGUUGUUAGUAUCGAUUUCCCCAUUGCUCAACAUACCCUCGAUGUUGACUAGGUUAUGGACGCACAGAUGAGGCUAGUAGUUCAGGCAGCAGCACUAAUAGCUGUGAUUCAGGCAUGGCUCAUGUUCAUAUGCACAAGAGAGCUAUUCAUCAUGGUGAGAGACAUGUCAUCAGUUAUGCUCCAAUGCUUAUGCGGGAGUAGGAGAGGAUCGCCAAUCUGAACUACAUCUACAACUGCAACGACACAGAGGCCCUGUGGAUGCUUCGAAUGAAAAGAGCACCAUUUGCCAGACUUGUCCAGACCGUCAGGAGUAGGGGGCUGCUACAAGAUAGCAUCCACGCCAGUGUGGAAGAGAAAGUGGCCAUGUUCCUCCAUGUGUUGGCCAUAACCAGAGGUUCAGAGUUAUAUACAACACAUUCAGGAGAUCAAUGGAGACCAUAUCAAGGUACUUCAAGCAAGUGCUCUAUGUUGUUGGGGAGCUUAGAGGAGAGAUGAUCAAGUCACCAACCGGCUGGACUCCUACCAAGAUUUGCACUAGCACAAGAUGGUAUCCAUACUUCAAGGUGAGCACUGACGAUAUGUACUUCAUGUCUUGAUAUGCUUGAAUUGUUAAAGGUGAGCACUAACACAAUCAUCAUUAUCCAUUUCAAGAUUGCAAUGGGGCAAUAGAUGGUACUCAUGUCACUGCCAAAGGGCCUGAGGUCACAAUCUGCAGCAUAUAGGGGGAGGAAGCACUACACAAGGCAGAAUGUGCUUGUUGUUGUUGACUUCGAUCUGAAGUUCACCUAUGUGUUGGCUGGCUGGGAAGGGUUAGCACAUGAUGCUAACAUUCUCAAUGACAACAUGAGUCGUCCCGAUGGCAUCAACAUCCCCGAUGGCAAGUUCUACCUACGAGAUGGUGACUAUGCAUGUCGGCCAGGUAUUCUUCCACCCUUCAGGAAAACUAGGUACCAUCUGAACGAGUUCGCUGGUAGAAACUAUCCUAGGACUCCACAGGAACUAUUCAAUCUCAGACACUCCAGCCUUAGAGUUACUGUUGAGAGGGCCUUUGGAGCUCUAAAGAACAAGUUUAAGAUCUUAGAUCAAAAGCCAUCCACGCUUUCCCCACUCAGGUUAAGCUUGCUCUUACUUGUUGCAUUAUGUAUAACUGGAUCCUGCAAUGGGGUUGUGAUGAACUGGUGCCUAAGGAGAAAAAUGUGACGCUUGACGAUGUUGUCAGCUCCAGUCAUGGUGUGGAGGCAUUUGACAACGAAGCCUGGAAGAACAAAAGAAUGGAGUGGGCACAGGCAAUGUGGGAUAAUAGAUGUCCGACAAGGGUCUGAAGAAGAGGAAGAGGAAGAGCAGCAGAAGAAGAAGAGGAAGAGCAACAGCAGGAGAAGAGGAAGAGGAAGAACUACUAAUAGCAGUAGAAGAGGAAGAGGAAGAACUGCCAGCAGCGGCAAAAGAGGAAGACGACGAGGAUGGACUUGCAUCUAGUUAGCAUCGACGAUGAACUUUCCCCUAUUCAGCCAUAUGGCUCUUAAUAAUGUGUACUGCCAUUUGAUAGUAGUUAGGAUGAACCGUAAUUUGUUUCGUAGCUAGGACUGAAGUUGUUCAGAUCGUGUGUGGUAAGGUCACCGCUAGUGAGAAGUAUGACAGCACAUUAUUCAGGUUGCAACCAAACAGCGUGUCAUAUGUGCGCCUAAUGCGAUGCGGCGAACCAAACGGCAUGUGAAAAUUAGUCCCUGAUGCAGCUAACCUAUAUGCGGACAACCAAACUAUGUGCAAAUGGUGGUUUAUAGGCUUUUUUUCCGCAGUCAGGCCCAUCUGAGAAUCACAUGCAAUGUAGCCAAAAUCGAUGCGGCCAACCAAACACGACCCAAAUGUCCAUGCCCCGUUUCCUUUUACAUAUAAGGUGUAUAUACACCCAUAGACCAAAUGUUCCUGAAAUGACGUUUACUUUUUGGGUGUAUAUACACCUGACAUGGAAAAAUAAAUUUAGAAGUUUUUUAUAGAGAAGAAAGAAAAAGAUGGUGACGCUUAUACGCUGCACGCGUUGCUGUCAGCUACUGCCCCACCGAGCAACCCCCUCCCUAUUGUUGUCUCUUUCAUCCCCUCUUAAAUGCCACGUUUUGGUAUCUGCGACACUUAAAUGCGACGGUUGAAAACCGUUGAGAUCGGGCUAGGGUAGGCAUGCAGUGGCAGUCCAUGGGCAGGCAGUGACAGCGCUACAGUCCAGAGGUCGUCAGAGACCCAUUCCGUGGGCAACGACAGUAGCUGCGCCGUCCGGUAUGCCGCCUAGGUUAGUAGCCUGUGCCCCACGCGGACCCAGCCCCGCCGCCCUCACACGUCUACACGUCGGGAUGCCUCCACUCACAGUAGGCAUGUGUGAACCUCGACGAGCCAAGUGCAAACGCUGCCGCUGGCUGCAAGCUCGUGCCAAGUGCGUGCCCUUUCCAACCGCCGACCGACCACGACCCCCCACCACUGAACCCCGAUCGAGCGUCCCGGGCCACUAACCAGGAGCAUGGGCGCGCACUUGCCGUCUCUCCCGCCGCGCGCGCGCACGAAAGCGAACGCUCUUUCGACGACGUGUAGCCGUCUCGGCAUGGCGCGCGCGCUCCCGAUCUGUCGCGGAGGCGGACGCGCGCGCUCCGCGCGCCGACCCGCAGCACUUUGCGAGCCGAUCGGGUGCCGCGCGUACCUAGGUAGCACUACUCUACUACUACUACCACGUGCGUUAGAUGCAUGGGCGCGCGGCCGCGUGCCGUCCGUUCACAACCUGAUCGAGCCAAAAUACGUAUACCUACUUAGCUUAGAGUACUUCCUACGUUCAACAGCACUAGCAACCUUUGCAUGUGGCUCCCUACGUCCGUCCACGCUGCGGGCGGCGGUGCGCCGUGCCCCAUGCAUAUAUUCAUGCAUCCAUGCAUGAUGCAUGUGCGGACUGACACACGUAGCCGCGCGGAGACGUACAACGCAUGGUAAUUAUCGAUCCGGCCGGUACUUGCUCUCCUUUUUGACCCGGCCAUGCAUGGACUAGGGUCCUUCCCGGCCUGCUCACUGUCUAGGAUCCGGGCUACACGAAGGCUCGCUUCACAUGCAUGCGAAUGCGACCACGACCCUCGAGCUCGGCCGGAAUGUUUUCGCUUGGACUCGUGCUGGGACACGAGAAUAUUCGCAGGCUUUCGGGUACAGAUGCAAGUGCAUCAAGUCAAUCAACUUGCAAAGCAGAUCGUACGACCCUCUUUUGGGGAUCCCUAAACAAUGGGCCCCCGGACUUGCGCUCCAUACAAGUGUCUCCCCGCUCCUGGUUUCCCGCCUCGGUUACCGUUAUGUCCUUCGAAUAAACUACUUCAGAUGAGGUUCAUUACCUCGAUCAUACAUGCACAAAUCGAGAGCUUGGUGGCCCAACUGCCCACGACAAGUGUUCGACCAUUGUCUCCAUGUACUAUCGGCUCAAAAAAUAUGUCUCAAUGUACAACUACUCCCUCUGUUUUUAUUUACUUUGCAUAUUAGAGUUGACUGAAGUCAAACUCGUUGAAGUUUGACCAAAUUUAUAGAAAAAAAAUACAAACAUUUACUAUAGCAAAUCUAUAUAAUACGAAAGUACAUUCAAUAGUAAAUCUAAUGGUCUUGAUUUUUUAUUGUAUAAGUUAAUAUUUCUGUUUAUAAAUUUGGUCAAAGUUUAUAAAGCUACGCGGACAAAAUAAAAACGGAGGGAGUAUGUUUUUUGAUUACUUUGUUUGAAGAACUGUAAGGUUAGUCAGAAAGGUGAGCUUCUUCUUCCUCAAGAAAUUCUGCGUGUUGCUUUUGCCUCUCUCAUUGGCCGGCUGCCUCACAAAGCUAGCUAGCUACCCCCACCAUGCACGAUGUGUCGUCUAGGUCGCUCCUCUCUCUCUCUCUCUCUCUCUCCCGCGACCGAACGAGACGGCAUUGUUAUUGUCGUCAUGUUAAUUGGCAAGAUACGGGACGUCAAAGAUAAAUUAGAUACGGCAUUAUAUAUCAGUUUUCAAACCCCGGACAGAUCAGCAAUACGUGCAUAGACCAACAUUACGGCGACAAUUGUUGCUUCGGUGAAUAUACUAAACUUCAAGAUCUGGCUGGAGAAGUGAACCGAGUACCUUCCUCGUCACCUACCUGGGGGUAUCAUGCAUGCGCUACGUACCGACACAACACGUACUCCACUAGUUGUAUUCAGUUCCUGUCAUGAGUCAUCACGUACGUGUGGACGGUGACGGGUAGCUAACUGUAUUUGACGGUGCUGCUCCACGUCUCGAGGUCCCAAGACUCGUUCGUUCAGUGUGUGUGUUUUGUCAGUGGGUGUUUUCUCUACGCUUCAGAAAGAUAUCUUUGUCUUUUUUUUUUAUAUCUAGCUAAGCUAGCUACGUAGUGUGAGAGAAGGAAGAGAUUGCCAACUGACUAAAGCUUCAUCGUUCAAAUAAAUACAAUGCGAUGCAUGGGUAGUUUGGGACAAACAAAACAAAUGAAUUGUGUAUGAUGUCAUGGAUUACCUCUCUUGCUGUAAACGUUUCGUUUUCUCUUCUUCUUUCUGAUUAGGGCAGUUUAUAUAUAAUCAUGGAGAAUAUUUCAAGAUGCCCGUUUGAACGAAGAACUAGGCCACUUUCUCAUUCCCGCGCGGCGAUUUGCCUACAUGGCGAUGGCUUGUGAGGUUGGCGAACAUGCGUACGGCGGCUUUGACCGCCCGGCCGGCGUAGAACAUAGGGUGAGAAUAGUUUACAUCAAAAGCACAUCCAGGACCAUGAAGCGUGCAUGCAUGCACUGAUAGCACGUUCCCUUGCAGCCUAGGAUCUUGCCGGCAACUGAGAGGAGGUGCGCAAGCGCAAGGCAUGCGCUGUCAAGAAUCUUGCCCACAAGGAAUAUACACCCACUAUACUUGUUUUCCGUGCUGCUUCGAUCCAAGUUGACAAGAAAAACACACUAGAUCGAUACUACUUGUAGGCCAAGAAAAAAAAGAAUGCGAUAUUGGCGUGCGUGCCCGCUGCAAGCCAGCUGUUCUCUCCAGUGCGUGUCGAUGUUCACCAGAUCUCUCCGGUGCGUGUCGAUCGACGACGACGCAUGCAUGCAUGGAAUCACUCGACCGUGCAGCUCCAGUUGCUGCCUAGCUGUUCUCAUCAACGCAUGGGUGUCAGGGCCUGUCCCUGCCACCUUGCUCAUGAUCAACGACAAAGAUUUUCUGUUCCAAAAAUCAAAUUUUGUUACGAUACGGUCAGCCGGUCUUGGCAGCUGUACAUGUAUGCACGUAUAUACAGUAUGAAACUGACGAUCCUCCGAGCUGUGCUGUUAGUCUAUUCAUGUGUGCUUUCGUUGUUUCAGGGAAAGAACUUGUAAGAAGCAAACCAAGAGGUAAAGUUCUCACUAGUACUCCCUUCAGUCCUUUUUACUCUACGUAUUAGAUUUGUGUGUGUGUGACUAUAUAUAUAAUAUAAUACAAAACUAUAUUUCACAAUGAAUCUAACAAUAUUGAUUUGGCAUUGUGAAUGUUGAUACUUUUCUCUACAAGUUUAGUCACGGUAUGGAUACUUUGAUUUCAGAUAAAACUUAUAUGCAGACAAAAAAGAACCGGACGAAGUACAUUUGCAAGCAAGCAUAUGGUAGGAUUCAUGUGGAGUAAGUCAGUAAAUUUGGACGACUUUAGAGAGUCCUCUCCGAGCGGUGCAAUACAAAAGGGUACGUGUGGACCUCCCCGGCCUUGUGACCAACUAGAGGAAAUGCCGACAUAUAAGGUAGUCACAUGCGAUUAUAAUAAAGCACGCCUCCCUGGCUCCAAAGUCUACGUAUUAGAUUGCUAUGUGUCUUCUUCUAUGAAUUAAGAUGACCAAUGAAUGCGUUGAGCAGAACAUAGUAAUGUUUGGCUGGGAUUUCGGUGGGUGAAGCACGUCAAAGCGACAAAUCCGUGUGCCGCCCGCCACUUUGAGCAUUUUCUUUCUUUCAGUAACCGCCACAUUUGUACGUUUUUCUUAACUGUCGAUUUAAUUGAGCUUCUCCGUUAUUUUUCUAAAACAAUGGGCAUCUUGUCUGGUUUUCAUUAAAAAAACCCGCUCCAACCCGCUUCUGUGUUUAGCCAACACAAUUCAUAUGUACUGUAUAAAAUGGUAGCAAUAGAUUCUAUACAUGUUUGAGUAGAUGAGUGUGUAUGACUAGUUUUGGAACAACAAAACUAUAAUAAUCAAAUCCCUUUUUGGAGUUGUGUUUGCCACUUGUUCGCUUUUGUUGUUAUAGGAAGGACUACUGAAGCUGAAGCAUGCUGCAGAGCUAAGGAUUGGAGCCGAAAGCGUCAAGAGUAAUGUUGUCAACAUGCCAUGUCUUUGCCAAGAAUCUAUCGAGGAUCUAUAUUUGGCUAUAGAGAGUAGAGAUGACGGGUUUGUUGGGGAACGUUGCAGAAAAUUAAAAUUUUUUCCUACGGUUUCACCAAGAUCCAUCUAUGAGUUCAUCUAAGCAACGAGUCAAGGGAGUGAGUUUGCAUCUACAUACCACUUGUAGAUCGAGUGCGGAAGCGUUCAAGGGGAUGGUGAUGAUGGAGUCGUACUCGUCGUGAUUCGGAUCACCGAUGACCAAGUGCUGAACGGACAGCACCUCCGCGUUCAACACACGUACGGUACGGGCGACGUCUCCUUCGUCUUGAUCCAGCAAGGAGGAAGGAGAGGAUGAGGAAGACAGCUCCAACGGCAGCACGACGGCGUGGUGUAGUUGGUGCAGCAGUACUCCGACAGGGCUUCGCCAAGCACGUACGGAGGAGGAGAGGUGUUGGGGAAGGGGAGGGGCUGCGCCUUGAGUUGUGGUGUGGCUGCCCUCCCCUCACCCCUCUAUUUACAGGGGAAGGGGCAAGGGGGGCCGGCCCUCUAGGGGAAACCCUAGAGGGGGGCGGCGGCCAAAGGGAGAGGGGAAAGAGGGGAGGCUUGCCCCCCAAGCUAGGGGGGCGCCCCCUUUAGGGUUCCCCCCCAUGCCUUAGCCGCAUGGGCCUAGGUGGGGAGGCGCGCCCAGCCCACCAGGGGCUGGUCCCUCUCCCACACAGCCCAUGUGCCCCCCCGGGAGGGGUGUCCCCUCCCGAUGGACCCCCGGAACCCUUCCGGUGGCCCCGGUACAAUACCGGUAUGCCCCCGAAACUUUCCGGAGUCCGUUUAACAACUUUCCAUAUAUAAAUCUUUACCUCCGGACCAUUCCGGAACUCCUCGUGACAUCCGGGAUCUCAUCCGGGACUCCGAACAACAUUCGGUAAUCACAUACAAGUCUUCCUAAUAACCCUAGCGUCACCGAACCUUAAGUGUGUAGACCCUACGGGUUCGGGAGACAUGCAGACAUGACCGAGAUGCUCUCAGGUCAAUAACCAACAGCGGGAUCUGGAUACCCAUGUUGGCUCCCACAUGCUCCUCGAUGUUGUCAUCGGAUGAACCACGAUGUCAAGGGUUCAAGCAACCCCGUAUACUAUUUCCUUUAUCAUACGGUAUGUUACUUGCCCGAGACUCGAUCGUCGGUAUCCCAAUACCUCGUUCAGUCUCGUUACCGGCAAGUCACUUUACUCGUACCGUAAUGCAUGAUCCCGUGACCAGACACUUGGCCACCUUGAGCUCAUUAUGAUGAUGCACUACCGAGUGGGCCCAGUGAUACCUCUCCGUAACACGGAGUGACAAAUCCCAGUCUCGAUCCGUGUCAACCCAACAGACACUUUCGGAGAUACCUGUAAUGCACCUUUAUAGUCACCCAGUUACGUUGUGACGUUUGGUACACCCAAAGCAUUCCUAUGGUAUCCGGGAGUUACACGAUCUCAUGGUCUAAGGAAGAGAUACUUGACAUUGGAGAAGCUCUAGCAAACGAACUAAUCGACCUUUGUGCUAUGCUUAGGAUUGGGUCUUGUCCAUCAUAUCAUUCUCCUAAUGAUGUGAUCCCGUUAUCAACGACAUCCAAUGUCCAUAGCCAGGAAACCAUGACUAUCUGUUGAUCACAACGAGCUAGUCAACUAGAGGCUCACUAGGGACAUAUUGUGGUCUAUGUAUUCACACGUGUAUUACGAUUUCCGGAUAAUACAGUUAUAGCAUGAAUAAAAGACUAUUAUCAUGAAUAAAGAAAUAUAAUAAUAACACUUUUAUUAUUGCCUCUAGGGCAUAUUUCCAACAGUCUCCCACUUGCACCAGAGUCAAUAAUCUAGUUACAUUGUGAUGAAUCGAACACCCAUAGAGUUCUGGUGUUGAUCAUGUUUCGCUCGCGAGAGAGGUUUAGUCAACGGAUCUGCGACAUUCAGAUCUGUAUGUACUUUGCAAAUUUCUAUGUCUCCAUCCUGAACAUUCUCACAGAUGGACUUGAAACGACGCUUGAUGUGCCUGGUCUUCUUGUGAAAUCUGGGCUCCUUCGCAAGGGCAAUAGCUCCAGUAUUGUCACAGAAAAGUUUGUCGGCCCCGACGCAUUGUGUAUGACUCCUAGGUCGGUGAUGAACUCCUUCACCCAAAUAGCUUCAUGCGCUGCCUCCGAGGCUGCCAUGUACUCCGCUUCACAUGUAGAUCCCGCCACGACGCUCUGCUUGCAGCUGCACCAGCUUACUGCUCCACCAUUCAACAUAUACACGUAUCCGGUUUGUGACUUAGAGUCAUCCAGAUCUGUGGCAAAGCUAGCGUCGACGUAACCCUUUACGACGAGCUCUUCGUCACCUCCAUAAACGAGAAACAUGUCCUUUGUCCUUUUCAGGUACUUCAGGAUAUUCUUGACCGCUGUCCAGUGUUCCUUGCUGGGAUUACUUUGGUACCUUCCUACCAAACUUACGGCAAGGUUUACAUCAGGUCUGGUACACAGCAUGGCAUACAUAAUAGAUCCUAUGGCUGAAGCAUAGGGGAUGACACUCAUCUCUUCUAUAUCUUUUGCCGUGGUCGGGCAUUGAGCCGAGCUCAAUCUCACACCUUGCAAUACAGGCAAGAACCCCUUCUUGGACUGAUCCAUUUUGAACUUCUUCAAAAUUUUAUCAAGGUAUGUGCUUUGUGAAAGACCUAUGAGGCGUCUCGAUCUAUUUCUAUAGAUCUUGAUGCCUAAUAUAUAAGCAACUUCUCCAAGGUCCUUCAUUGAAAAACACUUAUUCAAGUAGGCCUUAAUGAUGUCCAAGAAUUCUAUAUCAUUUCCCAUCAAAAGUAUGUCAUCUACAUAUAAUAUGAUAAAUGCUACAGAGCUCCCACUCACUUUCUUGUAAACGCAGGCUUCUCCAUAAGUAUGCAUAAACCCAAACGCUUUGAUCAUCUCAUCAAAGCGAAUGUUCCAACUCCGAGAUGCUUGCACCAGCCCAUAAAUGGAUCGCUGGAGCUUGCAUACUUUGUUAGCGUUGUUAGGAUCGACGAAACCUUCUGGCUGCAUCAUAUACAGCUAUCCUUAAGAUAACCGUUAAGGAAUGCCGUUUUGACGUCCAUCUGCCAUAUCUCAUAAUCAUAGUAUGCGGCAAUUGCUAACAUGAUUCGGACGGACUUAAGUUUCGCUACGGGAGAGAAAGUCUCAUCGUAGUCAAUCCCUUGAACUUGCCGAUAACCCUUAGCGACAAGUCGAGCUUUAUAGAUGGUGACAUUACCAUCCGCGUCCGUCUUCUUCUUAAAGAUCCAUUUGUUUUCUAUCGCUCGCCGAUCAUCGGGCAAGUCAGUCAAAGUCCAUACUUUGUUUUCAUACAUGGAUUCUAUCUCGGAUUUCAUAGCUCCAAGCCAUUUGUUGGAAUCUGGGCCCGCCAUCGCUUCUUCAUAGUUCGAAGGUUCACCGUUGUCUAACAACAUGAUUUCCAGGACAGGGUUGCCGUACCACUCUGGUGCGGAACGUGUCCUUGUGGACCUACGAAGUUCAGUAGCAACUUGAUCCGAAGUACCUUGAUCAUCAUUAUUUUUCUCUUCAGUUGGUGUAGGCAUCACAGGAACAUUUUCCUGGGUUGCACUACUUUCCCGUUCAAGAGGUAGUACUUCAUCGAGUUCUACUUUCCUCCCACUUACUUCUUUCGAGAGAAACUCUUUUUCCAGAAAGGAUCCGUUCUUGGCAACAAAGAUCUUGCCCUCGGAUCUUAAGUAGAAGGUAUACCCAAUGGUUUCCUUAGGGUAUCCUAUGAAGACGCAUUUUUCCGACUUGGGUUCGAGCUUUUCAGGUUGAAGUUUCUUGACAUAAGCAUCGCAUCCCCAAACUUUUAGAAACGACAGCUUAGGUUUCUUCCCAAACCAUAAUUCAUACGGUGUCGUCUCAACGGAUUUAGACGGUGCCCUAUUUAAAGUGAAUGUAGCUGUCUCUAGAGCGUAUCCCCAAAAUGAUAGUGGUAAAUCGGUAAGAGACAUCAUAGACCGCACCAUAUCUAAUAGAGUGCAAUUACGACGUUCGGACACACCGGUACGCUGAGGUGUUCCAGGCGGCGUUAGUUGUGAAACGAUUCCACAUUUCCUUAAGUGUGUACCAAAUUCGUGACUUAAGUAUUCUCCUCCACGAUCUGAUCGUAGGAAUUUUAUCUUUCGGUCACGUUGAUUCUCUACCUCAUUCUGAAAUUCCUUGAACUUUUCAAAGGUCUCAGACUUGUGUUUCAUUAAGUAGAUAUACCCAUAUCUACUCAAGUCAUCAGUGAGAGUGAGAACAUAACGAUAUCCUCCGCGAGCCUCAACGCUCAUUGGACCGCACACAUCGGUAUGUAUGAUUUCCAACAAGUUGGUUGCUCGCUCCAUUGUUCCGGAGAACGGAGUCUUGGUCAUCUUGCCCAUGAGGCAUGGUUCGCAUGUGUCAAACGAUUCAUAAUCGAGAGACUCCAAAAGUCCAUCAGCAUGGAGUUUCUUCAUGCGCUUGACACCAAUGUGACCAAGGCGGCAGUGCCACAAGUAUGUGGGACUAUCGUUAUCAACUUUACAUCUUUUGGUAUUCACACUAUGAAUAUGUGUAACAUUAUGCUCGAGAUUCAUUAUGAAUAAACCAUUGACCAUAGGGGCAUGACCAUAAAACAUAUCUCUCAUAUAAAUAGAACAACCAUUAUUCUCGGAUUUAAAUGAGUAGCCAUCUCGUAUCAAACGAGAUCCAGAUACAAUGUUCAUGCUCAAACUUGGCACAAAAUAACAAUUAUUAAGGUUUAUAACUAAUCCCGUAGGUAAAUGUAGAGGUAGCGUGCCGACUGCGAUCACAUCGACCUUGGAACCGUUCCCGACGCGCAUCGUCACCUCGUCCUUCGCCAGUCUCCGCUUAUUCCGCAGCUCCUGCUGUGAGUUACAAAUAUGAGCAAUGGCACCGGUAUCAAAUACCCAGGAGUUACUACGAGUACUGGUAAGGUACACAUCAAUUACAUGUAUAUCAAAUAUACAUUUAGUGUUGCCGACCUUCUUAUCCGCUAAGUAUUUGGGGCAGUUCCGCUUCCAGUGACCCUUCCCCUUGCAAUAAAAGCACUCAGUCUCAGGCUUGGGUCCAUUCUUUGACUUCUUCCCGGCAACUGGCUUACCGGGCGCGGCAACCUCCUUGCCGUCCUUCUUGAAGUUCUUCUUACCCUUGCCCUUCUUGAACUUAGUGGUCUUAUUGACCAUCAACACUUGAUGUUCUUUCUUGAUUUCAACCUCUGCUGACUUCAGCAUAGAAAAUACUUCAGGAAUGGUCUUUACCAUCCCCUGCAUACUGUAGUUCAUCACAAAGCUCUUGUAGCUUGGUGGGAGCGACUGAAGGAUUUUGUCAAUGACUGCCUCAUGAGGGAGGUUGAUAUUCAGCUGGGUCAUACGGUUGUGCAACCCAGACAUCUUGAGUAUGUGCUCACUGACAGAACUAUUUUCCUCCAUCUUACAACUAUAGAACUUGUCGGAGAUGUCAUAUCUCUCGACCCGGGCGUGAGCUUGGAAAACUAGUUUCAGCUCCUCGAACAUCUCAUAUGCUCCGUGAUGCUCAAAACGCUUUUGGAGCCCCGGUUCUAAGCUGUAAAGUAUGCCGCACUGAACGAGGGAGUAAUCAUUAGCACGAGACUGCCAAGCAUUCAUAAUGUCUUGGUUCUCUGGGACGGGAGCGUCACCUAGCGGUCCUUCUAGGACAUAUUGUUUCCUGGCAGCUAUGAGGAUGAUCCUCAAGUUCCGGACCCAGUCCGUAUAGUUGCUGCCAUCAUCUUUCAGCUUGGUUUUCUCUAGGAACGCGUUGAAGUUCAUGUUGACAUGAGCGUUGGCCAUUUGAUCUACAAGACAUAUUAUGCAAAAGGUUUUAGACUAAGUUCAUGAUAAUUAAGUUCAUCUAAUCAAAUUAUUGAAUGAACUCCCACUUAGAUUAGACAUCCCUCUAGUCAUCUAAGUGUUACACGAUCCGAGUCGACUAGGCCGUGUCCGAUCAUCACGUGAGACGGACUAGUCAUCGUCGGUGAACAUUCUCAUGUUGAUCGUAUCUUCUAUACGACUCGUGUUCGACCUUUCGGUCUCCGUGUUCCGAUGCCAUGUCUGUACAUGCUAGGCUCGUCAAGUUAACCCUAAGUGUUUUGCAUGUGUAAAACUGUCUUACACCCGUUGUAUGUGAACGUAAGGAUCUAUCACACCCGAUCAUCACGUGGUGCUUCGAAACGACGAACUUUAGCAACGGUGCACAGUUAGGGGAGAACACUUCUUGAAAUUGUUGUAAGGGAUCAUCUUAUUUACUACCGUCGUUCUAAGUAAACAAGAUGCAUAAAACAUAAUAAACAUCACAUGCAAUUAUAUAAAGUAGUGACAUGAUAUGGCCAAUAUCAUAUAGCUCCUUUGAUCUUCAUCUUCGGGGCUCCAUGAUUAUCUUGUCACCGGCAUGACACCAUGAUCUCCAUCAUCAUGAUCUCCAUCAUCGUGUCUUCAUGAAGUUGUCACGCCAACGACUACUUCUACUUCUAUGACUAACGCGUUUAGCAAUAAAGUAAAGUAGUUUACAUGGCAUUCUUCAAUGGCACGCAUGUCAUACAAAAAUAAAGACAACUCCUAUGGCUCCUGCCGGUUGUCAUACUCAUCGACAUGCAAGUCGUGAUUCCUAUUACAAGAACAUGAUCUAAUACAUCACAAUAUAUCAUUCAUCAUUCAUCACAACUUCUGGCCAUAUCACAUCACAUGACAAUUGCUGCAAAAACGAGUUAGACGUCCUCUAAUUGUUGUUGCAUCUUUUACGUGGCUGCAAUUGGGUUCUAGCAAGAACGUUUUCUUACCUACGAAUAACCGCAACGUGAUCUUGUCAACUUCUAUUUACCCUUCAUAAGGACCCUUUUCAUCGAAUCCACUUCAACUAAAGUGGGAGAGACAGACACCCGCCAGCCACCUUAUGCAACUAGUGCAUGUUAGUCGGUGGAACCGGUCUCACGUAAGCGUACGUGUAAGGUUGGUCCGGGCCGCUUCAUCCCACAAUACCGCUGAAGCAAGAUAAGACUAGUAGCGGCAAGCAAGUUGACAAGAUCUACGCCCACAACAAAAUUGUGUACUACUCGUGCAAAGAGAACUACGCAUAAACCGGGCUCAUGAUGCCACUGUUGGGGAACGUUGCAGAAAAUUAAAUUUUAUUCCUACGGUUUCACCAAGAUCCAUCUAUGAGUUCAUCUAAGCAACGAGUCAAGGGAGUGAGUUUGCAUCUACAUACCACUUGUAGAUCGAGUGCGGAAGCGUUCAAGGGGAUGGUGAUGAUGGAGUCGUACUCGUCGUGAUUCGGAUCACCGAUGACCAAGUGCUGAACGGACAACACCUCCGCGUUCAACACACGUACGGUACGGGCGACGUCUCCUUCGUCUUGAUCCAGCAAGGAGGAAGGAGAGGAUGAGGAAGACAGCUCCAACGGCAGCACGACGGCGUGGUGUAGUUGGUGCAGCAGUACUCCGACAGGGCUUCGCCAAGCACGUACGGAGGAGGAGAGGUGUUGGAGAAGGGGAGGGGCUACGCCUUGAGUUGUGGUGUGGCUGCCCUCCCCUCACCCCUCUAUUUAUAGGGGAAGGGGCAAGGGGGGCCGGCCCUCUAGGGGAAACCCUAGAGGGGGGCGGCGGCCAAAGGGAGAGGGGAAAGAGGGGAGGCUUGCCCCCCCCCCCCAAGCUAGNNNNNNNNNNNNNNNNNNNNNNNNNNNNNNNNNNNNNNNNNNNNNNNNNNNNNNNNNNNNNNNNNNNNNNNNNNNNNNNNNNNNNNNNNNNNNNNNNNNNNNNNNNNNNNNNNNNNNNNNNNNNNNNNNNNNNNNNNNNNNNNNNNNNNNNNNNNNNNNNNNNNNNNNNNNNNNNNNNNNNNNNNNNNNNNNNNNNNNNNNNNNNNNNNNNNNNNNNNNNNNNNNNNNNNNNNNNNNNNNNNNNNNNNNNNNNNNNNNNNNNNNNNNNNNNNNNNNNNNNNNNNNNNNNNNNCCCGGAACCCUUCCGGUGGCCCCGGUACAAUACCGGUAUGCCCCCGAAACUUUCCGGAGUCCGUUUAGCAACUUUCCAUAUAUAAAUCUUUACCUCCGGACCAUUCCGGAACUCCUCGUGACAUCCGGGAUCUCAUCCGGGACUCCGAACAACAUUCGGUAAUCACAUACAAGUCUUCCUAAUAACCCUAGCGUCACCGAACCUUAAGUGUGUAGACCCUACGGGUUCGGGAGACAUGCAGACAUGACCGAGAUGCUCUCAGGUCAAUAACCAACAGCGGGAUCUGGAUACCCAUGUUGGCUCCCACAUGCUCCUCGAUGUUGUCAUCGGAUGAACCACGAUGUCAAGGGUUCAAGCAACCCCGUAUACUAUUCCCUUUAUCAGACGGUAUGUUACUUGCCCGAGACUCGAUCAUCGGUAUCCCAAUACCUCGUUCAGUCUCGUUACCGGCAAGUCACUUUACUCGUACCGUAAUGCAUGAUCCCGUGACCAGACACUUGGCCACCUUGAGCUCAUUAUGAUGAUGCACUACCGAGUGGGCCCAGUGAUACCUCUCCGUAACACGGAGUGACAAAUCCCAGUCUCGAUCCGUGUCAACCCAACAGACACUUUCGGAGAUACCUGUAAUGCACCUUUAUAGUCACCCAGUUACGUUGUGACGUUUGGUACACCCAAAGCACUCCUACGGUAUCCGGGAGUUACACGAUCUCAUGGUCUAAGGAAGAGAUACUUGACAUUGGAAAAGCUCUAGCAAACGAACUAAUCGACCUUUGUGCUAUGCUUAGGAUUGGGUCUUGUCCAUCAUAUCAUUCUCCUAAUGAUGUGAUCCCAUUAUCAACGACAUCCAAUGUCCAUAGCCAGGAAACCAUGACUAUCUGUUGAUCACAACGAGCUAGUCAACUAGAGGUUCACUAGGGACAUAUUGUGGUCUAUGUAUUCACACGUGUAUUAUGAUUUCCGGAUAAUACAGUUAUAGCAUGAAUAAAAGACUAUUAUCAUGAACAAAGAAAUAUAAUAAUAACACUUUUAUUAUUGCCUCUAGGGCAUAUUUCCAACAGGGUUAGCUCGCUUUUUGUUUUUUCUCAUGUGCUAGCCUCUUAUGUUGGUCUGUAAAACCAUGUAACCGUUCCUUAUUUUGGUUGCGCUCUGCAUUGUGGGGUCUCUUCGAUUUUGCGGAUUUGUAAAACAUAGGAAUAGAAAGAAAAAAGAAAAAAAAUGAGUGGCAUGUCAUCUUGGAUUCUACAAGAAUAGUAUGAGUGUUUGAUUGUGCACAAGAAAACAUCAAAUGGUUGGAGCGAAUGAAAAUUUUCCUAUGAAAUUAUUACAAAUGAAUUCUAAGGAAAAUUUCUAUGGGUUGUAAUCAUACAAAUCAAACAAGGCGUGCAAGAAAAACAAAUCUUAGGAUUAGAAUCCUUCUAAACUCCUUUAGAAAUCCUUUUAAUAAAAAAACUUGAUAGGGUUACACUACAUGAAUCAGGUAAUUUGUUGUCAGCCUUUUGUCGGGACAGACGACAAAGACCAAACUGUGUUUUUGCCAUGUAGUACAUGUGUCAAAGACUACUAGGUUUUUGCCAUGUAGUACAGUGUCAGAUUGCGGGCAUGUACUGCAUCAGUUUUUUUGGUAAUGUUCGCUUUCUUUCCUUUUUCUCUUCAUAUAUCCAAUAAAUUGUAUACUUCUAGUAUCAAAAGUAAUGGAAAGGGGAAAGGUUGGUUGAAAAAAUAUAGCAUGAAAAUAAAUUUAGUUUCCAUUUUCUCAUUCAUUCAAUCAAUUUGUAGUCCAUUACUGUGUUUUUCAUACUUCAAAUUGUUAGCACUUAGUUUUGAGUAUUAAUGUUAAAAUAUGGUACCAGUAACUUUUGUAGCGUUCCUAUACCAGACAUGGAAUUCCCAAUUUUUGAUUAUGACUUUCUCACGGGAGUAAAUUGUGUUGCAAUAUUUGCAGGUGCAAACAAGAAAAUGGUACGUCUAUGCUUUAAUCGGCUUAAGUGCAAAUAAGAAAAUGAUUCGUCCAUGCCAUACCUGGCUGAGAUUUUGUUAAGGCACAAUCGAUUCCGAAAAGUGAUCUUCAUUUUACUAAAAAGUGCAUUUUUCUCACUUCCGAAAAAGGUACAUGAUGCACUUUCCAUGAAAUAAAGUUGCACUUUUCAAUGUCAAUUGGGACUCGACAAAAUCUGAAGGGAUUGAAUUUUGCAAAAUCAGUACAAAUAACUUAGGGCAUUGAGUGGUCACUUAGAAAUAAAUUUUCACAUUCAACUCGAAACCAUGAUAUGUAGAUGCCAACAAGAAGUAUGAAAUCAAGGCAUACACUCGCACGUGGUAAAAUCAAAUUCAUAAUACCUUGAGUUUCUGCUACAAGACCAGGGUUGAAGUCGUGCUACGUACCCUGGACUUGGCUCCUCGACCAUGAGGAAGGUUCCACUAUACGUUAUUUACCUUAUAAUGUAUAAUGUGCAUAGUAAGUUACCCAAGCCUCCGUCGACCGCUAUGCGACAUCGCCAUAUUUGGCAUAGAAGUGACGUGACAUUAUCAGCAAAAACAAGUAGUAGAAGAAAAGGUCAUGCAAUUUUUGUAUUCCCUUCGUUCCUAAAUACAAGUCUUUUUAAACAUUUUAAAUGGAUUAUAACAUACGGAUGUAUGUAGACAUAUUUUAAAGUGUAGAUUCACUCACUUUACUACGUAUAUAGUCACUUGUUGGAAUCUCUAAACAGACUUAUAUUUGAAAACGGAGGGAGUAUUUCAAGAUAAACAUAUCGCCUCACUAUUACUCUUGGAGUAACAUGAAGCGCAAAAUACUUGGAGUAUACAUAUUCUUCUUUGCCCGAGGUAUUCGCCAAGCAUCAAAAUGUUGCACUUCCGCAUCAGAAAUUCGGAGAGGUGGGCCAGCCCUUACGCCCUAUAUAUAGACCCGGAUUCCACCGCCCCAACCAUCAAACCACCUUCCUCUCCCUCCUCCACUCCCCCCGAACCAUCGCCAUCACAUCUUCUCCUUCUCUUCGUCCGUUGCUCCCGUUGAAGCCCACGCACCUUGUUGCUUUCUCCCACCGCUUCUUCGGUCUCCCUCCCUGUGUCGGUCCGUGCUCUCGUCAUGACGAACCACGCCGCCUUUGCUGCCGAGGACGCGGUCACCGCCGUGGCGGCGCCGGCGCAGCCGGGUCGCCAUUUCGCGUCGUUCCCGCCGCGGAGAGCGCGCGACUGCAGGAAGGCCGCUCUGGGCCGCAUGGACCUCGCCACCUCGGGGGUGCUGAUGGCCGGGUCUCUGCUGGACUCGAUGAAGGCCUCCUCGCCCCGCCACGCCAUGUCCCCCGCCGGCGCCGACCACGAGGAGUGGAUCGUAAGUUUCUUUCUUUCACAUGCACCCAUGGCUGCUGCUUGCUCUCUUUCUCACCCUCCCUCCCUCUCUUCAACUAAUUAUUGACGAAUCUUUGCCUGGAUCGCAGGAGAAGCACCCGUCAGCAUUGGAGUGGUUCGAGGGCGUGCUCGCGGCGGCUGAGGGGAAGCAGAUCGUCAUGUUCCUCGACUACGACGGCACCCUUUCGCCGAUCGUCGAGGACCCCGACCGCGCCGUCAUGACCGAGGAGGUCAGUCUCCUUCCUCCCUCGUUCCGUAUCUUCUGCAUCCUUUCCGCGACGCGAUCGAAGCAGAGCAUGCUCUGUUUACAGAGGUUUCCUCCGCAGUGUCCUGUUCUCAUUUUUCUCUUUGAUUGACGCAGAUGAGGGAGGCGGUGAGGGGCGUCGCCCAGCAUUUCCCGACCGCCAUCGUGAGUGGGAGAUGCAGAGACAAGGUACAUUCCAGCGCCAACAUAUCCUCUAGUGCUACUUUCUUGGUUCCUUGCUGCUGCUGCUGCUGCAGCCGUUGCAUUUUUUUUGUUGCUUUCUUGGUGCUGUAAAAGAAGCCGGAUUGUUUUUUUCUCCCUCUCCUCCGGGGGGCCCUAGCCUUGCACCUCACACCACGGCUCCACCAGCGUGCACCGUAAACGGAAUCUUCCAGGUUCCAUUUUGUUAUAUUUGGCCGUGAUUUUCACCGUCCACAUGACAUGGCAUGCAUGCCGCAUUUGGUUUUAUGAGCGUUAGCGAUAGCGAUAGCGAUUGUUUUUAUGAGCGUUUCCUCGCAGUACUACUUCCGCCCACAGAAAGGCCGGGACCCUUUUGCUCAUUCCUGUAUGUUUUGCCUACGCACGAAAAAAAAAA